rnacentral:lncRNA from 1 species
CCAAAGUUCUGCUUUACUCCAAUUUAAGCAGCUCUUUUCCUUUGAAAAAGAUUCUUCCUCCCUUUGUGAUGGAUAUCAACAGAUAUCUCGUCCAAAGAUGAUGUCUUGGAAAGAGGACGCUGAUUGCUGCUCCUGGGAUGGAGUAACAUGUGAUUCGGCGACGGGUCACGUGAUUGGCCUCGACCUCAGUUGCAGUUGGCUUCAUGGCAACAUCCCUUCCAACACUAGCCUUUUCUUUCUUCCUAGCCUGCGAAAGCUCAACCUAGCCAUCAAUGAUUUCAAUUACUCUAAAAUUUCUUCUGGUUUUACUCAAUUUCCAAGUUUGACACUCCUUAACCUCUCUUUAAGCAAUUUCAUGGGGUCAAUUCCUGCCUCACUAGGUAACAAUAUUACACAACUUGCUUAUUUGGAUCUCUCAUUUAACAGUUUUACCGGUCAGAUUCCAUCAUCUUUUUCAAAUCUUCAGCAGCUUCGUCAUUUAGAUCUUCUGAGAAAUAGCUUUGUUGGUAAAAUUCCGGAUAUGUUUACCAACCUAACCCAACUUUCUUAUUUAGGCCUGGAAGAGAAUCAACUGACUGGCUCGAUUCCAAGUUCAAUAUUUGAACUUUUGAAUUUGACAUAUGUCUAUCUUUCUUUCAACAAUUUCAGUGGCAGCGUUGAGCUUUACGAUUUUGCAAAGUUCAAAAAUCUUAAAGUUCUUUCUCUUUCUAAUAUUAGUUUAUCAGUGAGCACCAAAUCAACAGUCAACUCGUCUUUCCCUAAUCUUUCAACGUUGAGUUUAUCGACUUGUAAUAUAAGUGAGUUUCCAGACAUCUUGAGAACUCAAAAUCAGUUAGAGUGGUUGGACCUUUCUAUAAACCAAAUCCGUGGUAGGAUUCCCAGUUGGAUGUGGGAUAUAGGAGUACAUACUUUGUAUUACCUAGAUCUUUCACAAAACUUCCUGACAAGUAUAGACCAUCUUCCGUGGAAAAAUCUCGAAUAUCUUUUCCUUGAUUCGAACUUACUUCAAGGAUCACUUCUAGAUCUACCGCCUCAUAUGAUUUCCUUUUCAAUUUCCAACAACAAUUUGACUGGAGAGAUUCCUUCAUCAUUUUGUAAUUUGAGUUCCAUUCAAUCUUUUGACGUAUCCAACAAUAGCUUGAGCGGACAAAUUCCACAGUGUCUUGGAAACUCUACACUUCAAACAUUGGAUCUCGGAAUCAACAACUUCCAAGGUAGCAUCCCACAGACAUAUGCAAAGGGCUGCAACUUGACUUAUCUUCGGCUGAAUGGCAAUCACUUGGAGGGACCAUUACCACCAUCUUUUAUUAACUGUGUCGAUUUGCGAUUUCUUGAUGUUGGGAAUAAUAGCUUGAGCGGCCCAAUUCCAGAAUAUCUUGGAAACUCAACACUUGAAGUCUUGGAUAUGAGAAUGAACAAGUUCAACGGCAGCCUCCCUCAAGCAUUUGCAAAAAGUUGUGUUUUGGUAAGUCUUAACCUUAAUGGCAAUCGGUUGAAAGGACCAUUGCCUCCUUCUUUGGUUAAUUGUCAGUAUUUGGAAGUUUUAGAUUUUGGGAAUAAUCAGAUUGAUGAUAAAUUUCCCUAUUGGUUAGACGUUCUUCCCGAAUUGCAAGUACUUACAUUGCGUUCUAAUAGAUUUCGUGGUCCCAUUGGUGAUACCAAAACAAGAGUUCCUUUCCCCAAGUUGCGAAUAAUUGAUCUCUCUUACAAUCGAUUCACCGGUGUUUUGCCAAUAUGGUAUCUGAAUGGUUUUAAAGCCAUGAUGCACGGGGAUGACAAUAGUAUUGAAGUCAAUUAUAUGAGGGCGUCGAAUUAUUCUUACUAUGAAUCAAUAUCUCUGACUAUGAAAGGCAAUGACAUACAAAUGGAGAGGAUUUUAACCAUUUUUGCGACUAUUGAUUUGUCGAGCAACAGAUUUCAAGGGGGAAUAUCUGAAGUGUUGGGAAAGCUUAAUUCACUCAAAAGUCUCAACAUUUCUCACAACAACCUGACAGGUGGUAUUCCAUCGUCGCUAAGAAAUCUGACAGAGCUUGAAUCUCUAGACCUCUCUUCAAACAAGCUUGAUGGAAGUAUCCCAACACAGCUGGCGAGUCUCAAUUAUCUUUCGGUGUUGAAUCUUUCGAACAACCAGCUCGAGGGACCCAUACCAGGAGGACCCCAGUUUAAUACAUUUCGAAAUGAUUCCUAUUCUGGUAACUCGGGGCUGUGUGGAUUCCCAUUAGCAAAAAGCUGCAACAUUGAUGAGGCACCAGAACCAACAAUACCAACAGGAUUUAUCGAAGGAGACGAUGCUUCAAGCUGGUUUGAUUGGAAGCUCGCUAAGUUGGGUUAUGCAUCUGGAGUGGUGAUCGGCUUGUCCAUCGGAUACAUGGCAUUUGUGACUGGAAGGCCACAAUGGUUUGUAAGAAUGAUCGAAAGGAAGCAAUCCAGGAAGCUGAGAAGGGUGAUCAGACGAGGCAGAGCAAGUAGAAGAAGUUUGUAGAUGCAUCUCUAAAGGCCUAGGUGAGUAAUUAUUAGUUUGUCUUUUGGAAUUAUAAGCUGGUUUCUACUGUUCUUUACCUAGAUAGCAUGCCGAUAUUAUCGUAAUCUAACAGUUGACUUGCAAAAAUCACAAUCCUAAUUAAUUUCAAAUUAUGCUUAUUAUCAACUUCUAUAGUGAGAAACAAAAUGAAGAUAAUGUAUAAGACAGAAAAUUUUAAUUGAAUUAUUGAUGCGAUUAUUUUCUUCAGGAAUUAUAAACUAUCGGAAGCUAGCAGUGGAAGUCAAAUAAUCCUCCAGGUAUUGCCAUUUCAUUAGAACAUGUCGUCACGGACGUACAUUUUGAUGGUAAAAUGAUUUGAAGUAAUAUGGUUGCAGGAAAUUGUGUGGGGGGUAACUUUGGUUUGUUUUAUCUUGGGCCACGUACUUCAAAUUUGGGCGUAGAACGUACUAUUUCAAAGUUUGUGAGCAGAAAACAUUCUUUGCCUUUGGCUCAAUGAUAUCAAUUUAAAAACUCAGCGCUUAAUUAAUAACUCUAUUAAGGUAACGUUUACUUUUUGGAUUGGAUUGGGAAUCCUGGGGAGUAGGAAUCCUAGGAUUGGGAGUGUGGAGUGGGAGUGGGAGUAGGUUGUUUACUUACACUGGAAUGGAAGCAUGUAAUGGAGAUCAGAAUCUAAUUUAUGUGUUUACUUUGUCUUGGAUUGGGAGUAAAUAGUUUCAAAUUACAAUUUUAUCCUUAUUUAAAGAAUUAUAAUUUUUAAUUACAAAACUAAUAAAAAAUAUAUUUAAUGAAUAAUAUUUAUUUUAUUAUAUUUGUAAAUUUAUUAUAAUUAUUAAUAUUCUUAAUUAUGAACAAUAAAUUAUUAAUUGUAAUUUUAAUAUAAAAUGAAAUGUUAUUUUAUUUUAUUUAAUAUAAUUAUAUUAAAUUUAUUAUUAUAUAAAAUAAUAAUAUAAUAUUAUUUAGUAUAAAAUUAAUAUUUUCUUAAAAUAAAGUAUUUAUUAUUAUUAUUAUUAAAUAAAUAUAGUACUAUUAUUUUUAAAAUAAAUAUAAUAAUAUUAUAUUUAUUAAUUCUCUAUUAAUAUAAUAAUAUUAUUUUAAAAUAAUUUUAACUUAGAAUCAAUGUAAAUUAUUAUUUAGUUAAAUAUAAUAUUAUUAUUUAAAUAAAUAUAAUAUUAUUUAUUUUAUUUUAUUAAUUAUAAAACAUAAAAUAAAAAAAAGGGUAGAAAUGGGAGAGGUGGGAGUGGAUUCCCACUCCCACCUCCCCCAAUGGGAGUCCCACUCCCACUCCCCACUCCAAAAAUGGGUGGGGCCCAUGGAGUGGGACUCCCAAUCCCUCUCCAUUUUAAAUAAGUAAACGCUGGAGUGGGAGGAAUCCACACUCCUCACUCCCACUCCAGCAAGUAAACACAACAUAAGUGUGUGCAUUGCUCUUCGUGGAGAAAAUGUAUUAAAUGAAAUCCCACACAUCUGCCAGUGGGCUUGUACAGCGUUGACAGCACUCGAGCUCUCAAUUUCUACCCUCUAUGGUAUACAUCCGAGGGUAGAAAUUGAGAUGUGUCACGAUAAAUUUAAUUAAAAGUAAUUUUCGUAGAUCUUUUAUUGUAAUAUAUGUAUUUCAAAAGGAAGAAAUCACCUUCGUCCAAAUUUAAUUAAGAAAAAUCUGCACUUUUUCAUAUAUCAACAUUUUUCAUUUUGUAGAAACAAAAAUAAUUAUGCGCAAAAUGAAACCAAAUGGCCAUUAAAUUUAGAGGGGUUUUCAUAGCACUGCCAUACAUAACAGCAGUCCCCACGUACGGUGCGGCCCAUGAUUCCACUUAUAACACGUUCUCAAGAUUAGGAUCCUGUUUACUCCUCAAACUUCCAACAUUCUCCAUGGAUCAUGAAUUUGAUGUUUCAUGUCAUCAAGUGAUGUGAGAACGAAACAGUUGAUGAUGAGUAAUAAUGUUUGGAAUGACGCCGCAGGAAAUAAAGUAGGAAGAGCUUUCAAGUUAUGUACUUUCUUUUUUAUUAUUUUUUAUGUUAUUUAGUUGCUUUAUUAAAUAUUUCUUUUAAAUUCAAGGUUACACAAAUUAAAAUGAAAUUAAAAACAGUGGGAAAAAAAUUAAUGUCCAAUUCUGUUGCGAAAUUAAAUUUUUGUUGAUUGAUAAAUUCUCUUUUUUUGAAAAAGUGCUGUACUUAAUUAGAUUCCCCUGUUUUGGUGUGAGUUAAAGAGAUGGCCACGAUAAGUUUUUUAUUCUUGUAAGGGGGACUUGAAUAAAGUGCUCAUUAUUAACGGCUUUGAGAAAGAAAGACUUGUCCUAUAUGUCCCUCUUAAUUUCUUGCGCGCUCUAAGUCUAAAUGAACUAUAAUUAAUUAAGACUAUUCUGUCUUAAUUUCAAAAGUUAGUAUUGAUCAAGCUUUUGAAAUUAACAACUUGCUUUUGAAAGUUAGUAUUUUUUUUUUUUUAAUGACUAACAAUGAUCUAGCUCGCUGUUACAUAAGCAUAUAUGCCAAUUAACUUACAUCUCAGUAAACUAUCUUUUUACAUGAACAAAUUACUAUCAAAAUGGUUACUAAUUGGAUACAGCUUCAGCUUUAGUCUGGUUUGUGGAAAUUGAAAAAUUGAAAAAUGCUCCUUUUGAAGAAUCAAAGUCUACUUUAUAUGUAAAUAUAGGGGAUGAUCAAUAAAGAUAGCCCAUCACUGUUCAAUUACUUUCAAGCAUGUUGAUUGUUUCAUGAAGAGAAACUUCGAUUGCCCCUAAGGGUCUAGUGAAGUGAUUUAUAAGUAAUUUUAUUUGAUUAAUCACUUGAGUUCGAAUUUAAUAAAUAUGAGAGAAUAAUAUUUUAAUUGAAAUCCCCUCAUCCAAUUUUUUUUUUUUUCUAAAAAGAAAUUAGCACUUUGCCAUAUAUGAGUAAAAACUUUCAUUUUGUGGAAACAAAAAUAAUUAAUUUUGUGCAAAACGGAACCAAACUGCUGUUAAACUUAAAAUCAGUCUCAACGGUAAUGGCCGUCAUUCCCCGUCAAACACGUCGUCAAAUUCCAAAGCAAGACUUGGUACUCUAACCAAUAAGUAUUAUGUUAUUAAUUAAUUACAUACCAUUCAACUUGUAUAAAUAGUCAUAUCUCUCUUCUUGCGAUUUCAUUAACCGGCAAAGGGAGGAAAAAAAAUGGGUUAUUUGACUCAGCCUUAUCAACUUGUGAUUUGCCUCCAGUUAUUGCUCUUGUAUUCUCAGUGUUCAGCAAUAAUUUGCUCGACCAAAACCAAAGUUGGUUGGUGUGAGUGGUUCGGCACUCUCACUCCUUAAGAGAGGUCAGGGGUUCAAGCCCCGCUCUCGUAUGGAGUCACCACUUUGGCCAGCACUUUGGCCAGCACUUUACCCCUUAUGGGCCGACCCGGUGCGAGCGGGAAUUAGUCUGGGUUGUGGUACUGGCUUAAAGGUGCCUCCCACAGUUGGGGCCCACUCAGGACCACCUCAUGGUUCAAACCAAAAAAAAAAAUAAUUUGCUCGACCAAAGUUUUGCUUUACUGAUUGCUUUACGGAGUAACAUGUGAUUCGGCGACGGCCACGUGAUUGGCCUCGCCCUCAGUUGCAGUUGGCUUCAUGGCAACAUCCCUUCCAACAACAGCCUUUUCGUUCUUCCUCGUCGGUGAAAACUCAUCCUGGCUUUCAAUGACUUCAAUUACGCUCAAGAAUUCUUCUGGUUUUACUCAAUUUCUGAGUUUGACACUCCUUGACCUCCCUUUCAGCAAUUUCACGGGGUCAAUUCCUACAUCACUUGGUAACAUAACCAACUUGUUUCUUUGGAUCUUUCGAAUAACAAUUUUAGUGGUCACAUUCCAUCAUCUUUUUCAAAUCUUCAGCAGCUUCAUUUAGAUCUUUGGCACAAUAUAUUUGUUGGUAAAAUUCCGUGGUAGCAUCCCUAGUUGGAUGUGGGAUAUGGGAGUAUGUACUUGAAUUUCCUAGAUCUUUCACAAAACUUCUUGACAUGUAUAGAACAUCUUCCGUGGAAAAAUCUCCAAUAUAAUAACCUUGAUUCGAACUUGCUUCAGGGCUCGCUUACUUGAUCCACCACUUCCACCACCCCUCACUCAUCCAAUGAUAGCUCGAGUGGACAAAUUCUUAAGUGUCUUGGAAACUUUACACUUGGGCAUUUGAAUCUAAGAAUGAAUAAUCUUCAUGGUAGAAUCCCACAAACGUAUGUACAAAACUGUAAUUUGUCUGCUUAGGCUAAAAGAUGAUCACCUGAAGGGACCAUUGCAACCAUCUUUGGUUAAUCGUACCAGUUUAAUGUUUAUGGAUGUUGGGAAUAACAACUUGAGCAGCCCAAUUCGACAACUUCUGAUAAACUCAACACUUUUUAGGGUCUUGGAUAUGAGAAUGAACGGAUUUCAGGCAGCAUCCCUCAAAUGUUUGCAAAGAGUUGUGAUUUGAGAAGUCUUAUACUUAAUGGCAAUCAAUUAGAAGGACCAUUGUCUCCAUCUUUGAUUAACAGUCAAAUUUGAAAGUUUUUGAUAUUGGGAAUAAUCAUGUUAAUAAUACAUUUCCUCAUUGGUUAGAAAUUCUUCAUGAAUUGAAAGUGUUUAUAUUACGAUCUAACCAAUUUCGGAUCCAAUUGGUGAUGGCAAAAUAAGAGAAAAGGGAACUCUUGUUUUGGUACCCCGAAAUCGUUAGAUCGUAAUAUAAGCACUUGCAAUUUAUAAAGAAUUUCUCAUCAAAAAUAAAAGUAUCAUUAACAUAAUUAUUCCCAAAAUCAAAAACUUCCAAUUGCUGACAGUUAACCAAAGAUGAAGGCAAUGAUCCUUCCAAUUGAUUACCAUCAAUUUAAGACUUAUCAAAUCACAUCUAUUUGUAAACAUUUGAGGGAUGCGGCCAUUGAAUUUGUUCAUUAUCAUAUUCAAGAUCUUAAUAAGUAUUGAGUUUCCAAGACAUUGUGGAAUUGUGCUGCUCAAGUUGUUAUUUUCAAAAUUAAUAUACAUCAAACCGAUACAUUAACCAAAUAUGGUAGCAAUGGUCCCUUCAGGUGAUUGUUAUUCAGCUAAGCAUACAAAUUGUAGCCUUUUUUGCAUAUGUUUGUGGGAUUCUACCAUGAAGAUUGUUCAUUCUAACAUCUAAAUACCCCAGUGUAAAGUUUCGAAGACACUGUGGAAUUUUUCCAUUGAAGAUAUUAUUGGACAUAGAGAUGACCAAUGGGUCAAGUAGUAUGUGCGAGUAUGUUUUAGUAGGGUAUGUGGCAUGGUGUGCACACAAACAAACUGAAUUGGGCUGACAAUUUUAAGCACAUGAUCCUUACAAUCACGUCCUUCUCUAUAUGCAACAAUGGGAAAUAUCAAAUAAUCCUGAAUCAAUUAAUUGCAGCAAUAAUGAUGUAGGAGACAAUAUGGGCUUAAUUUGGGUGUACAUCUUCUAUUUUGUAAGUUGAUUUUGAAUGUGUAAUAUUACUGUUCUGAAACUCACAAUAAGAUAAUUGAUUGGGUGUAAAAAGAAAAUGGAUUGAAUAAUUGAAGUAACUUAGGUCCAAAAUCUCUGAACUUAUAUGAUCGUUGUUCAAAUGGCCAAGUAUGUGCCUCGUCAAAAUGUGGAAACUCAUCCACGUCACCAGCCUCAACACCCUCGCCAUGCCAUUACUCAAUCGGUGUUAUAACUGAUGAUAAUUUGGAUGAGAUAAACAGUUAAAUUGUGAGUCUUCACUCUUCAAAGAGAAACCAAAAUAGCCCGAGCUUUGCUUCAUUUGAAUAGCACGGCCACGGGCAUAAUGGCCAGGGCUACAAGUGCUACUACAGAGACAGUUCUUGACAGAGCUCAGUUUCAAAUGAAGAACCAAAACGGCCGCGUUUUGGUACUUGGAGGUACGGGUCGGGUCGGUGGAUCCACUGUUGUUGCUCUCUACAAGCUCUGCCCCAACAUUCAGAUUGUAGUUGGCUUUCGAAACAGGUGAGCUCAAUUUAUAUAUAUACCCUUUUCUUUCUUCUGUUUGGUUUCCGAAAAAAUGCAAGAAAUAAAGGAAGGAAAAUUUUCAAGCUUUGCUAUUUUCUGUUAUUUUUAUGUUUACUAUGUUUCUUUGGUUCUUUUAAAAUUUAAAUUCAAGGUGAUGGCUACUGGUAAACUGCAAUGCUUUUACAUGGUGCUGAAAGCACAUUUCUAAACAGUCACUCAACUACAAGUGAGUAUCCCGCAGUUGUACAUUAAGGCUCCGUUUGGCAAUGGUAUUGUGCGGUCGUGGCUUGUUAAGACACAUCUACUUUUAAAUGAGAGCUUUAGUUAUAGAAUAAAAAUUUAUAAUGUUUGGUAAUGUUAGAUGGAUCUUCUGUUGCUCCACAUUAGUAAUUCUUUUUCUUCUAGGGUCAAAGUAAAGGAAUUUUUUUCGGGAGCUGAUACUUCGUUAUUGACAAUAUUUUAAUGAUGUUUGAGUCUAUAGCUGAAAUGUUGUAACUUUGCUUCUGCAAAUGUGAUGAUUGAAGCAUGUAUACAGCUUUACUGUGUAACCGAAAUGUCAUCUCAUGUGUUCUUUUUGUGCCUCCUAACUGUUAAGGAAGCUCAUAACGUGUACAAGCAGUCAGCUCAAGGUUAGCACGUGGGAGAAUUUGCUGAGCUAAAGUUAGUUAAGUAAGCAAUGCCAGCUCAACAAAUUCAGUUAAGGCUUACUGAGAUUUUAUUCCUAUUGUUUUCUUUUCUGUUAACAAUGUAUAAAAGGUGUGCUUUGUACUCAUUUGAUCAUUAAGAAAAGAAGAAAUAAAAUCCAGAAUAUUCUCUGAAGUUUUCUCAGUAAAACAUAAUGAAUUUUCUUAGUAACCAAAUAGUACAGAUCAGUAGAAUUUACGUUUCUUUCAUGGUAUCAGAGCCAAACAGUAACCAGCAAACAAUGAUGAGAAAUCCAGCAAUCAACAAUACAAAUCAACACACUCAAAUCAAUUUCUCUCUCACGAAUCCAAUUAAACUAGAUCGAUCAAACUACCUGCUCUGGCGUUCACAAGUUCUGGCUUCGAUUAGAGGUAAUCGACUAGAAGACUUCAUAACUGGAAUCAAAUCAGCACUUGAAGAAAAUAUUUGACUCAACCUUAUCAACUUGUGAUUUGCCUCCAGUUAUUGCUCUUGUAUUCUUAGUGUUCAGCAAUAAUUUGGUUAAUUGUACCAGUUUAAUGUUUAUGGAUGUUAGGAAUAACAACUUGAGCAGCCCAAUUCGACAACUUCUUAUAAACUCAAUACUUUUUAGGGUCUUGGAUAUGAGAAUGAACGGAUUUCAGGCAACAUCCCUCAAAUGUUUGCAAAGAGUUGUGAUUUGAGAAGUCUUAUACUUAAUGGCAAUCAAUUAGAAGGACCAUUGUCUCCAUCUUUGAUUAACAGUCAAAUUUGAAAGUUUUUGAUAUUGGGAAUAAUCAUGUUAAUAAUACAUUUCCUCAUUGGUUAGAAAUUCUUCAUGAAUUGAAAGUGUUUAUAUUACGAUCUAACCAAUUUCGGAUCCAAUUGGUGAUGGCAAAAUAAGAGAAAAGGGAACUCUUGUUUUGGUACCCCGAAAUCGUUAGAUCGUAAUAUAAGCACUUGCAAUUUAUAAAGAAUUUCUCAUCAAAAAUAAAAGUAUCAUUAACAUAAUUAUUCCCAAAAUCAAAAACUUCCAAUUGCUGACAGUUAACCAAAGAUGAAGGCAAUGAUCCUUCCAAUUGAUUACCAUCAAUUUAAGACUUAUCAAAUCACAUCUAUUUGUAAACAUUUGAGGGAUGCGGCCAUUGAAUUUGUUCAUUAUCAUAUUCAAGAUCUUAAUAAGUAUUGAGUUUCCAAGACAUUGUGGAAUUGUGCUGCUCAAGUUGUUAUUUUCAAAAUUAAUAUACAUCAAACCGAUACAUUAACCAAAUAUGGUGGCAAUGGUCCCUCCAGGUGAUUGUUAUUCAACUAAGCAUAUAAAUUGUAGCCUUUUUCGCAUAUGUUUGUGGGAUUCUACCAUGAAGGUUGUUCAUUCUAACAUCUAAAUACUCCAGUGUAAAGUUUCAAAGACGCUGUGGAAUUUUUCCAUUGAAGAUAUUAUUGGACAUAGAGAUGACCAAUGGGUCAGGUGGUAUGUGCGAGUAUGUUUUAGUAGGGUAUGUAGCAUGGUGUGCACACAAACAAACUGAAUUGCGUUGAGAAUUUUAAGCACAUGAUCCUUACAAUCACGUCCUUCUCUAUAUGCAACAAUGGGAAAUAUCAAAUAAUCAUGAAUCAAUUAAUUGCAGCAAUAAUGAUGUAGGAGACGAUAUGGGCUUAAUUUGGGUGUACAUCUUCUAUUUUGUAAGUUGAUUUUGAAUGUGCAAUAUAACUGUUCUGAAACUCACAAUAAGAUAAUUGAUUGGGUGUAAAAAGAAAAUGGAUUGAAUAAUUGGAGUAACUUAGGUCCAAAAUCUCUGACCCUGGAUCAUCUUUGUUCAAAUGGCCCAGUAUGUAUGUGACACAUCAAAAUUUGAGAACUCAUCCACGUCACCAGCCUCAACACCCUCGCGACGUCAUCACUCAACCGGUGUUAUAACUGAUGAUAAUUUGAAUAAGAUAAACAGUUAAACAGCCUCAAAAUCACCUAUCCAAAGCUAAACAAGUGGCCAAAUCACAGUUUCCACGACCUAAGCAACAGAAUCCCAAACCAUCUACAUCCAUGUAUGCAAACUUACGUCCCAAUGUUCCUACGGAUUACUCCACCAAUAAUAAUGUCCCUAUCCCGAAUCCCUUAGGACAUCCUCUUAGCUUGCUCGUUAAACCUUCUUUCAUCUUGACCACCCUGGAUCCCCACAAACAUACUGCCGUGACUUUUCCCAUAACUAACCAUGAGAGUGUGGGUAAUCCACCAGGCUACUCUUGUGGAAAAGUGGCUGAUAACUCGGAACAGUAACUCUACCCAAGGAAAUUAGUUGAUCCUCCUGAUGAAAAGGACGACGGAAUUGUUAAUCCGAUGGAGUUUUAUGAUGGUGAUCCUCAACUUGCAAUUGGCUAUGAAGAGGAAAAUAUUAUGUCUGAUGAUGAAAAUACUGUUGUUAAUGAAACCCCUGGCGUGCAUGGAGGAGGGGCUGUAGGGCCUAGUAUGUAAGGGUUUCAUGCUCACCACCUUUGCAUAUAUUUUUAAUGAUGUACAACAUAAUGUUUUGGAAUUGCCAGGGAGCACUCUCGCCGGGAUUUUGCAGGACUUUUAAGACUUUUGUCAGUAAUUAUAAACUGAAUAUGGUGGCUUUAUUCGAGCCUCGCAUUAGUGGAUCAAAGGCUGAUGGGUUCAUUAAAAAAAGUGGCUUCCAGAGGUCUCACCGGGUGGAAGCUAGGGGUUUUUCUGGUGGCAUUUGGAUUCUUUGGGAUGACAGUUUUGAGGUGGAGUUUAUCAUCAAUCAUAAUCAAUUUAUUCACUUUAAAAUAAUUGAUUCGAAUGGCUGUAGUUCUUGUGUCACGGCAGUUUAUGCGAGUCCGAUUCCCAUGGCAAGGAAAAUUUUAUGGUCUGAGUUAGAUGAAGUUGCCAAGUCUGUUGAUGGUCCGUGGAUGAUUGGUGGGGACUUCAAUGCAAUUAGAAGAGUCUCGGAAAAAAAAGGAGGGUCAGCCAGGAUCAGUGGUGUGUGUGACCUUUUUAAUAGAUGGUUCCAUCGAAACCAUCUCAUGGAACCUGUCUUUAAGGGUCCCAAAUACACAUGGUCAAGAGGUAACUUAUUGAAAAGGUUGGAUCGUGUGAUUUGUAAUGAAGAGUGGAUGAUGAUGAACGAUGAGGCAGAAGUUUUCCACCUCCCCAAAUUAAAUUCCGAUCAUAGACCGGUGAUGGCUCGUUGCAGGAAAAACAAUUUCGCUCCUACGGGCGUGAAACCUUUUCGGUUUUUGGCUCCCUGGCUGACCGACGAGAGGUUCCAACCCUUUGUGGAAAAUAACUGGAGGUGCAAUUUGAACUACACUGAUGCUGUUGCUAAUUUUAUCAACAAGCUGGGAAAUUGAAAUAAAGAGAUCUUUGGCAACAUUUUUAAAAGGAAAAAGGAGCUGCUGGCUAGAAUUGGUGGCAUUCAACUUUUUCUGGAGAAGCGUCACUCUAGGAGUUUAAGCAAGCUAGAGUCUAAGCUAAAGAGGGACCUUGAAAAAGUGUUAACUCAAGAGGAAGUGUUAUGGUUCCAAAAAUCUUGGAGAGAAUGGAUUGCCUGUGGGGAUAGGAACACGGCCUUUUUCCAUCAAAAAGCUAUCGAGAGACGCCGACGAAAUAAAGUAGGUAUGAUAAAAAAUGAUGAGGGGCAAUGGAUCCAUGACGAAGCUGAUAUUAAAGCCCAUGCAGUUUCUUACUUUUGUAAUUUGUACAAGAAGGAGGGAGGUGUUCAUGUCCAAUACCCUUUUACUCUUGAGUUCCCUUUAAUUGAUAAUGUUGUUCUUAACAGUCUGAUCAGAGGUGUUGAUGAUGUAGAGAUUAGAGAUAUUGUCUUUAGCAUGAGCCCAAUGAAAGCCCCGGGAAUAGACGGCCUUCAUGCCAUUUUCUUCCAGACUCAAUGGCACGUGGUGGGGUCCUCAAUUUGUCAGCUUAUUAAAGAUUUUUUUCGCGAGAAAGCAAUUGCCCAAGGAUUUGAAUCAAACUCUUCUUGUGCUGAUUCCUAAGAUCAAUAAUCCAGAUUCUCUCAAAUUAUUUAGACCUAUUAGUCUUUGCACAGUGGUGUACAAGACUAUAACUAAACUGGUGGCUAAUCGCCUCAAAACCAUUCUGCCCCAAAUCAUUGGCCCUGCUCAGACGGGUUUUGUUCUUGGGAGACAUAUAAUAGAAAACGUCAUUGUUGUCCAAGAAAUCAUCCACUCCAUGAGGAACAAAGGGGACAAAACUGGUCAGAUGGCUAUCAAGGUUGAUAUGGAAAAGGCGUAUGAUCGUUUGAGUUGGGAUUUUAUUCAUGAGACCCUGGGGGUGAUUGGGUUACCGAUGGACUUGAUUCGUAUUAUAAUGGAGUGUAUAACCUCAGUUUCGAUGCAGCUUUUAUGAAAUGGUGAGCUCACAGAGAGUUUUAGCCCAUCUAGAGGAAUCAGACAGGGGGACCCCUUAUCCCCGUAUAUUUUUGUCAUGUGCAUCGAGAGGCUAAGUCACGUUAUCAAUCAAGCAGUUGGGAAUGGGCGUUGGAAACCAAUCAGGCUUAAUCGUGGAGGUAUUCCUAUUACACAUUUAUUUUUCGCUGAUGAUCUUCUUCUUCUAGCGGAAGCUACUAGUUCGCAAGCUCAGGUGAUUAAUGAGGUCUUGGAUAAUUUUUGUGUAAGCUCUGGCGAGAAGGUGAGCAGAGAAAAGACCCAAAUUUUCUUCUCUCGAAAUGUUCAGAAGGGCACAAUCCGAGAGAUAAAGACUACACUUGGAUUUUCAGUUACAAAAAACCUUGGUAAAUAUCUGGGUAUGCCAAUCCUUCACUCCCGAGUUACAAAGGCAACUUAUCAAGAUAUUCUAGAUAAAGUACAGAAGCGUUUAUCAGGCUGGAAUGCCAAGUAUCUCUCUCUAGCGGGCAGGAUAACUUUGGCGCAAUCGGUAAUUCAAGCCCUUCCAGUUUAUGCCAUGCAAUCAACGAAAAUUCCAGUUUCGGUUCUUACCAAAAUUGAGCAAAGCUGUAAGCAUUUUAUCUGGAGUGGAAAUGCAGAUCAAAGAAAAUUGAAUCUCAUCCGGUGGGACACUCUAUGCCAACCCAAGUCGUGUGGAGGCCUUGGUCUUAAAGAUUUAUCUCAUAUGAAUAUGGCCUUGCUGAUGAAAAUUGGGUGGGGUCUAGUCAACUCUCCUAAUACUUUUUGGGUUCAGGUUCUAACGUCUAAGUACAAGGUUGAUACCAUGUGUCUCCCGGGUAGCUUACAAACGAGGAACGGGUCUUACUUGUGGCGUGCUGUGGGGAAGGUUUGGGAUCAUGUGCUGAAGGGAACUCGUUGGGCUCUUGGGGAUGGAAAAAGGGUGAAAUUCUGGUGGGAUUUAUAGCUCAGUGAGGCUGAUAACUUACAAUCAUACGCCCAGAACCCAAUCCCUGAUCAGCUGAUUAAUCUGUGUGUGGCUGAUUUUUCAGAUAACAAUGGCAACUGGAAUUGGCAUUUAUUUGCUCAUUUGCUUCCCAACCACAUAAUUCUAAAGAUUGCUUCAGUUAAAGCUCCGUGUGCUUAUAGUGGUAAGGAUCAAUGUUACUGGGCUUACUCUAAUACAGGACACUUCACGGCAAAAUCUGCAUACCUCUCCUUGCACCAAUCCAAUAAUGUGGCUGAUAAAUCUUUGUGGAAUUUGGCUUGGAAAUGGAAGGGACCUCAAAGUAUCAUAACUUUUAUUUGGCUUGCCAUAAGCAAUAGGCUGAAAACAAAGUCGGAGCUUCUUCGAAGGCACAUUACUAUGGAUGCUACUUGUUGUAGUUGCGGCCAUCACCUGGAAGAUACCAUUCAUGUGUUGAGAGAUUGUAUCAUUGCUCGGCAGGUGUGGUUGAGAUUGGUUCCUAAUACUUUAUGGAAUAAUUUUUUGAUUUGGAAUUGACGAGUUGGAUCCACUACAAUCUCAAGAACGUGGGUUUGAUUAGGAGAGAGGAAAAUUGGCCCUAUAUUUUUGGUGUUGCUCUGUGGCGGAUUUGGUAUUGGAGAAAUCAAUUCAUCCACAAUGAUGCCAACAUCAGUGUUGCAAAUAUGGUGCUUGACAUCACGCACCGUGCGGCCGAAAUUAAUGCUUCCAUGGAGAAUAUCUGUAGACCAGGCCAUGAAAGGAUAAUCAAAUGGUUGAAAUGGUUGGCCCCACCUUGGCCCUUUUUUAAACUAAAUACAGAUGGUGCUCGGAAAACUGCAGGAAAGGCAAGUGCAGGUGGCCUCAUUAGAAAUUACUGCGGAGAAUGGGUUCACGGCUUUGGUAUGAAUAUUGGCCAUUGUACUAUUACUGGGGCGGAGCUUUGGGGUCUUUUUCAAGGGCUGCAGCUUGCCUGGAAUAUUGGGAUUAGACAAUUACUUGUUGAACUUGAUAGUCGAUGCAUUACUGAGAUCCUAGACACAGAGUUCAAUCAUCCAAAUGCUAACUCCUCUCUUAUUCAGGGAAUCAAAAGACUUCUUAACAUGGAGUGGCAGGUAUCUCUGUCACACAGCUAUAGAGAAACAAAUUUUGCAGCUGAUUACCCUGCCAACCAAGCUCUUCUUUUGCCUCUUGGGGUCCAUGUGUUUCCAACGCCUCCAUCCGGAACUGAAGGGUGGCUGCUGCACGAUGUAUCUAGGACUGCUUACCCACGAAUGGUCAUUGCUUAGUUUUUAACUUAGCCCUUUUUGUAUCAAAAAAAAAAAAAAAAGAGAAACCAAAAUGGCCCGAGCUUUGCUUCAUUUGAAUAGCACGGCCACGGCCAUUAUGGCCAGUGCUACAAGUGCUACUAAAGAAACAGUUCUUGUCAAAUCUCAGUUUCAAAUGAAGAAUCAAAACGCCCGCGUUUGGUACUUGGAGGUACGGGUCGGGUCGGUGGGUCCACUGCUGUUGCUCUCUCCAGGCUCUGCCCGGCCUUCAGAUUGUAGUUGGCUCUCCAAACAGGUGAAAUCAUUAAUACUCUUUUCUUUCUUCUAGUUGUUUCCCGAGAAAAUGCAAGAAAUAAAGGGAAAAGUUUUUCAAGCUUUGUUACUUUAUGUUAUUUUUAUGAUUACUAUGUUUCUUUGGUUAUUUUAAAAUUUAAAUUCAAGUAUUAGUCUGUCUUUAAGUAGACCGCAUGAUGGUAUUUUUCACUAUCUGAACUAGUAUUUGAACAGUAUAUUAAUUUGAUGUGUUUUUUGUUCAGGAAUUUUAUUACACUCACGGAAUCGAAGCAGUGGAAGUCAUAUAAUCCUGCAGGUACAACAAUUUUCUUUGCUUUAUUUUCCAAUCCAUAUUAAUAUGCUAGGACUUAUUUUUUGUUGGCAAACUUGAUCAAAACUCUUGAGGUAAAAAAUGAUUUGAAGAAAUAAUAAUGUUGAUGUUGGAAAUGGUGUGGGCAACUUUUAUUUGUUUGUCUUGGGCCAGUAUGUUGGAUUUGGAAAUAUUGGAAGCUUGCAACGACACAAGAAUCAUUCACCGCCUGCAGACAGCUAUGAUCCAUAUAUGCGAUUUUUGCAAUGUUUAUUUUUCAUAAGAAAUUCAAAUGCUACUUCAGAUUCUAUUAAUAAAUCCCGAAUCCUUGUACAUCCAAAUUUCAUUGUUUCAUGAUUCAUCAUAAUCCAAUAAAGUCAACCAAAGUUGGUUGGUAUGAGUGGUUCGGCACUCUCACUCCUUAAGAGAGGUCAGGGGUUCAAGCCCCACUCUCGUAUGAAGUCACCACUUUGGCCAGCACUUUACCCCUUACGGGCCAACCCGGUGCGAGCGGGAAUUAGUCUGGGUUGUGGUACGGACUUAAAGGUGCCUCCCACAGUUGGGGCCCAGGUGGUUCUGACAAAAAAAAAAUAAAAAAGAAAUAAUCCAAUAAAGUCUUGAAUGCUUGUACCAAUUCAAAGGUUAGUUGUGGAUCAACAAAAAGAAAUAAAAUGUAUGGGGGCUAGGCACAGGUCCUAUAUAUAUACCAGUUAAUUUUUUUGCCAAGAUAUCUCCACUGUUGGUUAUCUGCUUGAGUCUGAAGCAAUAACAGAAAAAAAAAUAGAAAAGAAAAAAUGACUAAUAUGACUAGUUAUUAUUAAAUUAGUCGUUAAAUAUUUAUUUAUUCUUAUUACGAUAAUAGAGGCAAUAAAUUGCAUAUUCUUGUUUAAUUUUGAGUUCUUCAUUGAUAACGUUCAAAUUUUUAUUUUUUAUUUGAUUUUUUUUCCUAAUUUUAGGGGGGAGAAAAGGUAAAGAAUGAGAGAUUAUUUAAUAAAUUAAAUUUAGAGCACAAGCACAGAAGCAUUAAGCUCCUGCUAAAUUGUUGUUCGACUUGCAAGUUUUUGGAUCAAAUAAUAAAGUUUGUGCCUUGAGAAGUUAGCUCAUGGCUGGAAUGUUAUUUCUAAUCUAGAGCUAGCGUCCUGAGAAAAUUUUGCAUCCUAGCAGGGAAAAAGGUGCUGCAAUUGUGUCUACAUUGUUGAAGUUUUCUGAAGUUAACAUUGACAACAGAAGACUCAAUUGGUAGACAUUAUUCUUUUACACUAAAUAUACAAUUGAGUUCACAGCUAUCCAAAAAAUGGGGAAGUUUUUUAUUUAAUUACAAAAUUAUCCUUAUUGAAACCCAUUUAAGAGUAUUUACAUUAAUUAGUUAUAUUGCUUCUUCAACUAUCAUCAAAUUCUUAUUCGAGUUCAUCAUUUAAGGAAUAAAUGUGUUAUCUAAAUAAUCUCAAUAAUGUACUAAGCAAAUAUUUUGAGAAAUAAGACUCAUUAUGGCUCCUUUCAUUAGUUGUAUCUUUAAUUUCUUAUUAAUGAAAUUCUCUCGCAUUGCCCAAAAAAAAAUGUUGUUAGCGUCACUAUUGAAAGGGGCCAAAUUAUGUAUUGUCUGACUAGUGAAACUCUUAUCAUAUCUGCUAAUUUGCUGCUUCUGGAUCCCUUAUUCUGACUUUUUAUCAGUUCCAUGGCAGUGAUGGGAGCAGAGCUUGUUCAUAUUGGUAGAAGUGAAAGCAAAUUAAGGAGAGACACAGAGACUAUGGUAAUAAUGUCCACUAAGUUUAAUAUGGUGAAGUCCUGGAUCAGUCGCUUUGCUGAAGUGAUUUCAAGUAAUCGCCCACAGUAAUUGGCAUUUUUCUCUUAUUUAAGUUUUGGUGAAAGUGAAGCCCAUCCAUAGAAAAUAAUUGACAGGAAGUGUUAAGGAGAAAAGAUCAGCCUAAUUCAAUGGCUAGUGAUAUUACAAUCAUUUUUUAUUACUAAAUAUUUUUAAAUUAGGAUAACGUAUUAAUGGAAAUUUUUUUUUCAUAAUCUAACAAUUGAUUUACAAAAACCAGAAUCUUGAUUAAAUUCAAAUAAUAAUUAUAAUCAACGUCUAUAGGAAAAGGGAAAACGAGAAUCAUAUGUAAGAAAAAUCAUUUCAUGAUGGAGGAAAAUUUACCUUAAUUACUGAUGUGUUUCUCUUCAGGAAUUUUAAUCUCUUCGUACCGAAAUUUAUUUUUGCUUUAAUUUAUUUCUAUAGCUCAUAAGAACUUGCUAUCACAGAACAUAUGUUUUGAUGGUAAACUUGAUCAAAUUUUUGUGGGAAAAAAAAAAUUUGAUUUGAAAUAAUAUUAUAUUGUUGCAGGAAAAUAGAUUUUCCAAAAAUUUGUCCUUUGACCGACCGACCUAUAUGAUCCUUGUUCAAAUUGGCCCCGUAUGUGGCACGUCAACACGUCAAAACUCGGCCACGUCAUCAACUUCGCAAAAUUCUCGCUACAUCAUCACUGAACUGGUUACGACGGAUGAUAAUUUGGACACGCAAAACAGUUGAUAAUUACAAAGAGGGAACACUAAAGGCAGACCAAAAUGGCGCGAGCUUCGCUUAUUUGUACCAAGUGAAUAAAUUUUAGCUGAAAAAAAAAGUAGGCCCAUAAUUAUAAAGCAAUGGCCCAGUACUAUACACGUCAUUACAAAAAAAAAAAAAAAUCGAAACAGAGCUCAAUUUCAAACGAAGAUCCAAAACGCCAGCAUUUUGGUGCAGCCGUUGCUCAGAGUUUUUUGUUUUUAUAUGCCGAAGAAGUGCUUAUUUUCCAAAUAUAUAUCCCUUCUUUCCAUUUAUUCACUUGUAUACGACAAAUUCACCUGCAUAAAGAUUGAAAUACUCUCAUUUGUGAAUUACAAGUUACAAAAUUUCUAUUUGAAGAUGAAGUUCAUUUACCUGUUCUUUACCAUCUUCAAAAUUUUCCUCUCAUUUUUAUUUCACUUUCUCAACUUCAAAAUUUACCUGCAUAAUGAUUUCUGAUUUGGAAUUGGAAUUGUGAUACUUCACUUUCUGAUCCUUCCUAUGAGUUUCAUGGCUGCGGAAAAUGUAGAAGUACUAGUUUGAAAUUUUAUAAAUUGUUCAAAAAACCACUGCCAAUAGAUUAUAAGGCUAAGCAACAAGACUUGGUGCUCAAACUAUAAAAAGUAUUAUAAAGACUUGGUAACUCCCUUAUUCACCUGCAUGGCAUAUCUGUUCUUGUGACUUCAAUAAGAAAAAAGAUAGUAUGGAUUAUUUAACUCAGCCUUUUCAACUUUUGAUUUGCCUCCAGUUAUUGCUCUUAUAUCUUCAGUGGACUUGACUGAAAUGUUAAUUAAUGACUUUGAGAAAGAAAGACUUGUUCAGUUUUUGUGUACAUACCUCUUAAUUUGGACAUAUCUUAGAUCACUAACUUUCAACUUUUCUGAUCCUUCCCAUGAGUUUCACUAUCAUAGCUGUGGAAAAGAAGUUUGGAGUUUUACAAAAUUGGCAAAAAAUAUUAAUUAAGAUUACUGCUCCGCAAUUCAUACAAUUGACCAGGAGAAAAGAUCACUUUAGAGCCUUAUAGGGGGAAGGGAUUGAAGGAAAGAUGCCUUUCUAUUUUAAGUUCAGUAGUAAGAAAGAGCAGGCAACUUGGCAUAAGUUUUCAGCUUAAGUUCAUACAGUUGACCAGUUACAUACAUAUAUGAUGACUUAAAAUAUCUGAGAGUUCGGGUUUCUUUUAGUAUAAACGCAUCUGCUUUUGGACAGGUUCGUGGAAAAACUAGAAUAUGUUUUUGAUUUGGUAAAUUAUGUAUUGUUUUGACCAGUUACAUACAUAUAUGAUAACUAAUGGAAGGUCUAACAACUUAGCUUAACAAACUGUAACAGAGUCUUAUUAAUUUGUGUAAAUGAAUGUUAGUCUAGCUAGCUGUUACACCGGCAAAUAUGACAGAUAACGAACAUCUCGCCGAACUUAAGUAAAUAUCUAAAUGGUUAUUAAUUGGAUACAGCUUCAGCUUUUGGACUGGUUUGUGAAAAUUGAAAAAAUUUGAAAAGUGUUCCUCUUGAAGAAUCAAAGUCUAUUUUAUACGUAAAGAUAGGGGAUCCCAGUAAAGAUAAUCCAUCAAUGUUCAGUUACAUUCGAGCGUGCUGACUACUUUCAGGAUGAAAGACUUCUAUUGUCCCAAGGAGUUUAAUCGAGUGUUUUUUUAAGUAUUCCACUGACCAACAUGAGAUUAAAUCAAGACUUGGUUCCCUAAGUCAUAAUAGCUGAACGUGAUCUUCACGUUCUUAGUUGGUUGUAUUUCAUUAUGUUUAGAAGUGCAGUAGUUCAUCAUGUUAAGGAGUGUAUUACUUAUUAUCUCCUUCGUUAUUUUCGCUAGCUGUAACGUGUAUAUAUUGUGACACUAUAGCAAUACGACAUGAAGUUCCAUGCAAGUUUAAUAUGGUAUCAGAGCCCUCUUUCUCUCUCUAACAAGAGUAAAUCGAUCCUUCUUUUUUCUUUUCUUUCACCAUGGUCGCCGAACCCUCAGCCAUCUCCUCUACCUCACCAGCCAACCAAAGUCCCCACUCAUCAAAUAACCAAGCUAAUGAUUGUGUUUCAAUCAACGCCGCUGCCCAAUUGCCUAUACGGCUUACACCUGAAAAUUAUAUUACAUGGAGAGCGCAAUUCCUCUCUUUAGCUUUUGGCUACAAUCUGACAUGUUACAUUGAUGGCACAUCUGAGUGCCCUUCUCCGUAUGAAACUGGCAGCAGUAAUGGUCCGCCUACCAUCAACACAGCCUAUACCUUAUGGAAACGCCAAGAUCAGUUGAUCUUUCAUUCCAUCCUAGCCUCCUGCACCGAAAGAGUUGCCCCACUCAUAGCUAGUUCCACAACAUCCAAGCAAGCGUGGGAUAAGCUUGCACGACUAUACUCCAAUCGUAGCCGUAGUCGCGUCAUCUCUCUUAGAGAACGACUUGCACGACCUCGUCGUGAUGGACAACCUGUUGCCGAAUAUUUAAAUAACUUACGUUCUAUUUCUGAUGAAAUUACUUUGAUUGAUGUUCCUGUUACAGAUGAUGAUCUCGUUAUACAAAUUAUUAAUGGCGUAGGAAAAGAUUUCAAAGAAAUUAUUGCUGGUGUUCGGAUCCGUGAGACACCACUUUCUUUUGAUGAGCUGUAUGAAAAGCUUGUAGAUUACGAAGAUAUGUUGAAGCGAGAAGAAAAAUCCAUAGACACGGCUAUCACUGUCAAUGCCGCAGUCAAACAGCAAACAACAAACCGUGGCCCUUAUCAGAACCAGAGAAGAGACAGCAAUCCGGGAUUUAAUAAUGGUUCUAACCGUGGGUAUCCAAAUCAAAAUGGCAACAACAACAGAAAUUACCAGUCUCAGAAUCGCAACCCACAAGGCCAGUAUCGCAACAAUGGAGGAUAUCAAAAGAAGCAGCCCACCGGGUACCAGGGCUACUGUCAACUUUGCGGUACCAAGGGCCAUACAGCACGAGAUUGUCCAGAUUUUACCUCCCACAAAAACAGUCCGACUAUGAACCACACAGCAACCACAGGCACAUCCAACCCCAAUUGGUUAGUCGACAGUGCCGCCUCACAUCAUGUUACAGGAGAUCUCCGAAAUUUGAGCACUCAUAGUCCUUACCAUGGUUCUGAUUCCGUCAUUGUUGGUAAUGGCAUGGGUCUUGGUAUAUCUCACACUGGCUCAACUUCCUUAUGUACCUCUAGCUCAAAAUUUUAUUUGCAAAAUAUUCUUUAUGUUCCGACUAUCAACAGAAAUUUAAUCUCCGUGUCUCAAUUUUGCAAUGUUAAUAAAGCCUCCAUUGAAUUCUUUCAUGAUCAUUUUCAGGUGAAGGAUUUGAGCACGGGGGCGGUCCUCUUGCAAGGCCGGAAUAAUCAGGGUGUCUAUGAGUGGCCGGCAGCUUUUUCUUUCCCCGUACCAGCCUUGCCAACUUCAAAUGCUACAAUAAAAACUAAUGCCGCUCACUGGCAUCAACGUCUUGGCCAUCCGUCUAGGGAUAUUUUGAAAUUUGUUCUUCGUACUUUCAAUUUGUCUUCGCACUUGGAUUUUGAGUCUUGUGAGUCUUGUUUAUGCAAUAAGAGCCAUCGGCUCCCUUUUGGCAAAUCUUCUUUAUGUAGUACUCGUCCCUUGGAUUUAAUAUAUUCUGAUGUUUGGGGUCCUGCCCCUGUUACUUCCUUUGAUAAUUAUAAGUACUACGUGAUUUUCGUUGAUCAUUUUACUAAGUAUGUCUGGUUUUUUCCGUUACGACUAAAAUCUGAUGUUUUCUCUACAUUUGUUCGUUUUAAAACACUUGUUGAAAAUUAUUUUCGUACUACUAUUCGUAAUAUUUACACCGACGGUGGUGGUGAGUUCCUCAAACUCACUUCAUUUUUUCAACAGACGGGCAUUAAUCACUUGCUUACACCACCCUACACACCACAACAUAAUGGAGUCGCCGAACGUCGUCAUCGACAUAUUGUUGAGACGGGGUUGGCGUUACUUCAUCAAGCCUCACUACCUCCUAGCUUUUGGACGUUUGCGUUUCAAACCGCCACCUACUUAAUUAAUCGUCUACCAUCCAAAACUACAUCCAUGACCUGUCCUUUCCAGCUCUUAUUUAAUGCCCAUCCUAAUUAUGACAAUCUACGUGUAUUUGGGUGUCUCUGUUUCCCAUGGUUACGCCCAUAUACGCGCAACAAACUAGAGCCCAAGUCCAAGCCUUGUGUGUUUCUCGGUUAUUGUCUACAACAAAGUGCAUACAAGUGUUUAGAUGUUCAGUCUGGUAAGAUUUAUGUUUCCCGUGAUGUUCAAUUUAUUGAGUCUCAAUUUCCCUAUCAAUCUCUCACAUCCACUGCCUCUCCCUCCUCUGUUUCACUCACCUCCUGGUUUCCAUCCAUUUUUUCGGUCCCGGUUCUGUCGGCUCACUCCUCUUCUCCUGGUGGUUCCCGUCUUGCAACUUCGGAUUCGCUUCCUGCUAGCUCCGAUUCUUCACCGGCCUCUUCCACCUCUACUUCGGGUAUUAUUCAUAACCCUCAUACUUAUGACUCUUUACCUCCCCAUGUCCAUGCACCAGUACUAACUCCCUCAUCUCCCAUUUCUAAUCUUUCAUCACCGGCCCCAUCUACUUUCCCGUUGUCACCAACAGCCCCAUCACCAUCACCACCAACACCUCUACCUCCAUUGCCGACCCGAACCCAUCCAAUGAUAACCCGGUCACGCAAUAAUAUUUAUAAACCAAAACAGCUUGACCACACUACCCUCGCUCCUAUUAUUUCCACACAUCCGCUGCCCUCUACUGUUGAACCAACUAGUAUUAAGGCUGCCCUUGCCGACCCGCAAUGGCUUCAGGCCAUGCGUAUUGAAUAUAAUGCUCUUAUUUCUAAUCAUACUUGGGAUCUUGUUCCUCCUGUACCUUCUCAAAAUUUGGUUGGUUGUAAGUGGGUGUUUCGUGUCAAACGCCACCCCAAUGGUUCUGUUGACAGGUAUAAAGCGCGGCUGGUUGCUAAGGGCUUUACUCAGCGUCCUGGUCUCGACUACCACGAUACUUUCAGCCCUGUUGUCAAGACCACUACUGUUCGUGUUAUUCUUUGUUUAGCCUUGCGAUUUGGUUGGCCGAUUCGUCAGUUGGCUAUCAAUAACGCCUUCCUCAAUGGUUCUCUUGAUGAGGAGGUUUACAUGAAGCAGCCGCCUGGUUUUAUUGACUCUAACCAGCCUUCCUUUGUCUGCAGGUUACGCAAGUCCCUGUAUGGCCUUAAGCAGGCGCCUCGGGCAUGGUUUAUUACUCUGUACAAAUUUUUGCUGUCCUAUGGAUUCCGCCAAAGCAAGACUGAUGCUUCUCUUUUUCUUUAUCACCGUGAUGGUCAUCGUAUUUAUUUCCUUGUCUAUGUGGAUGACUUAAUUAUUACUGGUUCUCAUGGCCGGGUUAUUCAGCACUUCAUUCAUCGUCUUGCUUCCACUUUUGCUCUCAAGGACCUUGGCUCUCUGCAUCAUUUUCUCGGGCUUGAGUUGCUUCGCACCCCUUCUGGUGUGUUUCUCUCUCAGCAUCACUAUGUUCAUUCUCUCUUGGACCGGUUUGGCAUGACUGAUGCUAAACCUAUUGCCACUCCUCUGUCUGCCACCGUUGGUCUUCAACAAACCGAUGGUUCUGUCUCUGCUGAUGGUACGUCUUAUCGUCAGCUUCUUGGUGCCUUGCAAUAUCUCACUCUCACUCGUCCUGACAUCUGCUUUGCGGUCAACAAACUAUCUCAGUUCAUGCAAAGUCCCUCUCAGUUGCAUUGGCAGGCUGCCAAGCGCAUUCUCCGCUACUUGAAAGCUACAAUUUUUCAUGGCCUUUUUCUUCGUCAGUCUUCAUCCUCUACACUUACUGCUUAUAGUGAUUCUGACUGGGGGGACAAUCUUGAUGAUCGCAGCUCUACGAGUGCUUACGCCAUCUUCCUUGGUGGCAAUCUCAUUUCCUGGUCUUCGAAGAAGCAAAAGUCUGUGGCACGUUCCUCUACUGAAGCCGAGUUUCGCGCCAUUGCUGCUACCGUUUCUGAGCUUUGUUGGCUUCGACACUUGUUCUCCGAACUUGGUAUUCGGACUCCUAUGCCCAAGCUGCUCUGUGACAAUCUUGGUGCCACUCAUGUUUGCACAAAUCCUAGAUAUCACUCUCGUAUGAAGCAUGUGGAAAUUGACUUUUACUUUGUUCGUGAUAAGAUUGCGCAAGGUUUGCUGUCUGUUGCUCAUGUUCCUUCUGAGCAUCAGCUCGCUGAUAUCUUAACUAAGCCGCUUCCCCGGCUUCCCCUUGAGCAUGCACGGUCCAAGCUCGGUGUUCUCGACGGUACACCUCUCUUGCGGGGGCGUAAUAGCUGAACGUGAUCUUCACGUUCUUAGUUGGUUGUAUUUCAUUAUGUUUAGAAGUGCAGUAGUUCAUCAUGUUAAGGAGUGUAUUACUUAUUAUCUCCUUCGUUAUUUUCGCUAGCUGUAACGUGUAUAUAUUGUGACACUAUAGCAAUACGACAUGAAGUUCCAUGCAAGUUUAAUAGUAUCGAGGGGUCCACACGCAUUUCCGCGAGACCUCGCUGAGUUUUGCGAGGUCCAUACACACAGCUGCUGACGCGAGAAUGUUUAGAACCUUUGAGGAUGCAAGGCCAGUUACACUCCCCUUAUGAACAAAAAGUAACUAACAUGCUUACAUUCAAAUGGUUAUUUUUAAAAAGUAACUAAUUUCUUACCUCAAACGUUUGCAAAAAGUUGUGUCUUGACAAGUCUUACCCUCAAUGGCAAUCGGUUCGAAGGACAUCCCUGGGGAUGCUGCAAUCACUUUUUGUUACUAAAUAUUUUUAAAUUGGAAUAAUAUAUUAACGGAAUAAAAAUUUUCAUAAUCUAACAAUUGAUUUACAACAACCCGAGUCCUGAUUAAAUUCAAAUAAUAAUUAUAAUUAACAUCUAUAGGAAAAUGGAAGACGAGAAUCAUAUGUAAAAAGAAAUCAUUUCGUAUGCCCAUUACCGUAUUAUUAUUUGUACAUUAGAAAUUAAUAUAAAAUAAUAAUUUAAUAAUUAAUUUAAUAUAAUUAAUAAUAAAGCAGUAAUAAAUUUAAACAAUAUUAAUACAAUUAAUACAAAAUUAAUAAAGUAUAAUCUAACAUUAAAUACUAUACAAUAUUAUUAUAAUAAAAUACUAAUUCAAUACCACAUAAAGUAAUAUACUUGCAUUAUUUGGAACUGGCAUAAAGUAAAAUUAAUAAAGUAUAUCAACGCACAUGGAAAAUGCGACUUUUGAAGAAUGUAGUAAAUGGAAGGUUAAAUAGACUUCAUGCAUGCUGUAAAUUUAAAUGAAUCAUAAUUAAUUUCAAAAGGUAGUAAAUGGAAGGCCGAACAACUUUUUUAACAAACUGAAACAGAAUUAAAGCAGAGGAGGGAAAAUCAAUUGUGCUUUGUGCAUAAUGUAUAUGACUGAUUGACUAACUAACUACGAGUUUAGCUGCCUGCCACAUCAGCAUAAUAUAACACAUAACUAAUAUCAUUCCGCGUCGAGCAUGUCGUCAAGAUCCCCCUCUUGAAAGGAUUCCACUUACCACCUAAAUUCCAAAGCUAGAAGACUUGGUGCUGUAACUCAAUAAAUAUUAUAUUAUUAAUUAAUUAAUUACACACCAUAUUCGACUUCUAUAAAUAAUAGUCAUUAUAUCUCUCUCUCUCUUCUUGUGAUUUCAUCAUCCAGCAAAAGAAAAAGAAAAAGAAAAAGAAAAAGAAAAUGGGUUAUAUCACUCAGCCUUAUCAACUUUUGAUUUACCAACCUAACCCAACUUUCUUAUUUAGACUUGGAAUAUAAUGAACUGAUUGGCUCGAUUCCAAGUUCAAUCUUUGAACUUGUUAAUUUGACAUUUGUCUCUCUUUCUUUUAUCAGCGAGCACCAAAUUAACAGUCAACUCGUCUUUCCCUAAUCUUUUGCAGUUGGAUUUACCGGCUUGCAAUAUAAGUGAGUUUCCAGACAUCCUGAAAACUCAACAUCAGUUAGAGUUUUUGGACCUUUCUAGAAACCAAAUUCAUGGUAGGAUUCCCAGUUGGAUGUGGGAUAUCGGAGUACAUACUUUGUAUUACCUAGAUCUUUCACGAAACUUCCUGACAAGCAUAGACCAUCUUCCGUGGAAAAAUCUCCAAUAUCUUACCCUUGAUUCGAACCUACUUCAAGGAUCACUUCCAGAUCUACCACCUCACAUGGUACAAUUUUCAAUUUCCAACAAUAGUUUGACAGGAGAGAUUCCUUCAUCAUUUUGUAAUUUGAGUUCCAUUCAAUAUCUUGGCUUAUCCAACAGUAGCUUGAGUUGACAAAUUCCAGAGUGUCUUGGAAACUCUACAUUUGAGACUUUGGAUCUCGGAAUGAACAACUUCCAAGGUAGCAUCCCACAGACAUAUGCAAAGGGCUGCAACUUGACUUCUCUUCAGCUGAGUGGCAAUCACUUGGGGGGACACAUACCACCAUCUUUGAUUAACUGUGUCAAUUUGCAAUUUCUUGAUGUUGGGCAUAACAACUUGAGCGGCCCAAUUCCAGAAUGUUUUGGAAACUCAACACGUUUGUCAUUUCUUGAUGUUGGGAAUAACUACUUGAGCGGCCCAAUUCCAGAAUGUCUUGGAAACUCAACACGUUUGUCAUUUCUUGAUGUUGGGAAUAACAGCUUGAGCGGCCCAAUUCCAGAAUGUCUUGGAAACUCAACACUUGAAGUCUUGGAUAUGAGAAUGAACAAGUUCAACGGCAGCCUCCCUCAAACAUUUGGAAAAAGUUGUGUUUUGGAAAGUCUUAACCUUAAUGGCAAUCGGUUGGAAGGACCAUUGCCUCCAUCUUUGGUUAAUUGUCAGUAUUUGGAAGUUUUAGAUGUUGGGAAUAAUCAGAUUGACGACACCUUUCCCUACUGGUUAAACGUUCUUCCUGAAUUGCAAGUUCUUAUAUUGCGUUCUAAUAGAUUUUGGGGUCCUAUUGGUGAUACCAAAACAAGAGUUCCCUUUCCCAAGUUGCGAAUAAUUGAUUGCUCUCACAAUCAACUCAUCGGUGUUUUGCCUCUAUGGUAUUUGGAUAGUUUUAAAGCCAUGAGGCAUGGGAAUAACAAUAGUGUUGAAGUCGAUUAUAUGAGGUUGCAGGAUUCUUCUAAUUACUAUGAGUCAAUAGUUCUGACUAUGAAAGGCAUUGACUUACAAAUGGAGAGGAUUCUAACAACUUUUGCAACUAUUGAUUUGUCCAGCAAUAGAUUUCAAGGGAAAAUUCCAGAAGUAGUGGGAAAGUUGAAUUCACUCAAAAGUCUCAACAUUUCUCACAACAACCUGACAGGUGGCAUUCCAUCAUCGCUGAGAAAUCUGACAGAGCUUGAAUCUCUAGACCUCUCUUCAAACAAGCUUGCUGGACGUAUCCCAACACAACUGGCGAGUCUCAAUUAUCUUUCGGUGUUGAAUCUUUCGAACAACCAGCUCGACGGACCCAUACCACUAGGACCCCAAUUUAAUACUUUUGGAAAUGAUUCCUAUUCUGGUAACUUGGGGCUGUGUGGAUUCCCAUUAUCAAAAAGUUGCAGCAUUGAUGAGGCACCAGAACCAACAACAGCAACAGGAUUUAUCGAAGGAGACGAUGCUUCAAACUGGUUUGAUUGGAAGCUCGCUAAGUUGGGUUACGCAUCUGGAGUGGUGAUCGGCUUGUCCAUCGGAUACAUGGCAUUUGUGACUGGAAGGCCACAAUGGUUUGUAAGAAUGAUCGAAAGGAAGAAAUCCAGGAAGUUGAGAAGGGUGAUCAGACGAGGCACAGCAAGUAGAAGAAGUUUGUAGGUGCAUCUCUAAAGGCCCAGGUGAGUAAUUAUUAGUUUGUCUUAUAGAAUUAUAAGCUGGUUUCUACUGUUCUUUGAGUAGAUGGCAUGAUGAUAUUAUCGUAAUCUAACAGUUGACUUACAAAAACUACAAUAUUAAUUCAUUUCAGAUUAUGUUUAUUAUCAACAUCUAUAGUGAGAAAGAAAAUUUUAACUGAAUUAUUGAUGUGGUUGUUUUCUUCAGGAAUUAUAAACUCCUGGAAGCUAGCAGUGGAAGUCAAAUAAUCCUCCAGGUACUGAAAUUGUUUUUACUUAAAUUUCAAUUUCAUGAAAUUGCUUUUACUUUUAUCUGCCAAUGGGCUUGUACAACGUUGACGGCACUCGCACUCAUACAUCUGAGGGUUUAAAGUAAUUUUCGUAGAUCUUUUAUUGUAAUAUAUGUAUCUAUAUUUCAAAAGGAAGAAACCACCGUCAUCCAAAUUUAAUUAAGAAAAAUCUGCACUUUUUCAUAUAUCAACUUUUUUUCGUUUUGUACAAACAAAAAUAAUUAUGCGUAAAAUGAAACCAAACGGCCAUUAAAUUUAGAGGGGUUUUCUUAGCGAUUACAUACCUUAACAGCAGUCCCCACGUACGGCGCGGCCCAUGAUUCCACUUAUAACACGUUCUCAAGAUAAUUGAUUGGGUGUAAAAAGAAAAUGGUUUGAAUAAUUGAAAAACGUAGGUCCCAAAUCUCUAACCUUUUAGGAUCCUUGUUCAAACGGCCCAGUACGUGCCACGUCAACAUGUGCAAACUGAUCCACGUCACCAGCCUCAGCGCUCUCGCCACAUCAUCACUCGAUGAUCAUUUGGAUUAAGAAAAACAGUUGAUUUGGGCCUCGUCAGUCGUCACAGAGGCUGAGCACAAAAGACAGAGAGAAACCGAAAUGGCGUGAGCUUUGUUUCAUUUGAAUCGCACCGCCACGACCAUAAUAGUUAUGUUGAUUGAUGUGGUUUGACUUUCGUAUGUUAUUAUUUAAAUCCCCUAAUAUGUUAAAAUUUAAAAAAAUGUAAAACUUGUUUAAAGUAACAUAAAUAUAAAAAUUACUCUACUCAACAUCUCAACCAUAAAUUAUAUAAAUAACUAAAUAUAAAUACAAAGUUAAAAGCCAUGUCUCAUUCCUUUAAAAAACAUACAAUUUAAUUCCACAAUCUAAGUAAAGAGUUCAUCAAUUUAACAAAUAAAAUAAAAACACACAACUCAAUACCACAAUUUAGACCAGGAGUUCAUUAGUUCAUUGGUUUAACAAAGAGUUCAUCAAUUUUUUUUUAAAUUGUUAAAUGAGAGAUUCGGGUCACAUAAAGCCUGAACCCUGACCCAAAUUUAAUUAAACUUUUAUUUUUUAAGCCUGAGUUCGAUUUUUGACCCUUAAAUUCGGGUCAAAGCCCUAAAAAUUCGAGUCGGGCUAAUCCGGUCAAAAAUCGGGUCGGGCUUUUUUGCCAUCUUUAUCCAAAAUAUUGUGGAAUUGGGCUGCUCAAGUUGUUAUUCCUGAAAUUAAUAAACAUCAAACCGAUACAAUUAACUAAAUAUGGUGACAAUGGUCCUUCUAGGUGAUUGUCAUUUAGUGUAAGCAUACAAAUUGCAACCUUUUUGCAUAUGAUUGUGGGAUUCUACCAUGAAGAUUGUGCAUUCUAACAUCUAAGUACCCCAUUGUAAAGUUUCCAAGGCACGACUGAAGCUAUUAUUGGACAUAGAGAUGGCCACUUGCCAAUGCGAGUAUGUUUAAGAAGGGCACGUAGCAUGGUGUGCACACAAAUUAACAAAUUAGAUAGGGCUGAGAAAUUUAAGUAUGUGAUCCUUAAAAUCAUGUCCUUCUCUAAAUGCAACAAUGAGAAAUAUCAAAUAAUCGUGACUCAAUUAAUUGUAGCAAUAAUGAUGUAGGAGAUGAUAUGAGUUUAAUUUGGGUGUACAUCUUUGGUUUUAUAAGUUGAAUUUGAAUGUGUAAUAUUCCUGUUCUGAAACUCAAUAAGAUAAUUGAUUGGGUGUAAAAAGAAAAUGGAUUGAAUAAUUGAAAUAACUUCUGUCCAAAAUCUCUGACCUUACAUGAUCCUUGUUCAAAUGACCCAGUACGUGCCACGUAUACAUGUGAAAACUCAUCCACGUCACCAACCUCAAUAUUCUCACCACGUCAUCACUCAACAGGUUACCAUUGACGAUAAUUUGGAUGAGAAAAAUUGUUGAAUUGAGAGCCUUCACACUUCACAGAGAAACCAAAAAAGCGCGAGCUUUGCUUCACUUGAAUAGCAGAGCCACGGCCUUAGUGGCCAGGGCUACAGCCUACAAGUGCUACUACAGAGACAGUUCUUGAUGGAGCUCAGUUUCAAAUGAAGAACCAAAACACCCGCGUUCCUCUCUACAAACUCUGCCCCAACCUUUAGAUUGUAGUUGGCUCUCGAAACAGGUCAAAUCAUCAAUGCCCUUUUCUUUCUUCUAUUUGGUUUCCGAAAUAAAGGAGGGAAAUUUUUAAAGCUUUGUUAUUUUCUGUUAUUUUUAUUUUUACUAUGUUUCUUUGGUUCUUUUAAAAUUUAAAUUCAUGGUGAUGGCUAAGGGUAAACUGCAAUGCUUUUACAUGAUUCCAAAAGCACAUUUCUAAACAGCCACUCAACUACAAGCGAUUGUCAUGUCCUGCAAUUGUCGAUUAAGGCUCCAUUUGGUAGUGGUAUUGUGCGGUCGAGGCCUUUUAAGGCACAUCUACUUUUAAAUGAGAGCUACUGUGAAAUCAAAGUUUUAAUUAUAAAAUAAAAGUUUAUAGUGUUUGGUAAUUUUUUUAAAUAGUAAUUUUGAUAAAAAUAGUAAACCUAACAUAGGUUAGAUAAUUGUGGGUAAAUUUGCUUUAAUUGUCAAACUAUGGUUAUAGUAUUUACCAAAUAUUUUAGGGUUGUGAUUAGAUGGCAAUAAGGAACAUAGCCUAAACAAGCCAUAAUAAAAUUGCCAAUGAUACAAAAAAUUGUAAUUCUCUCUCUUUUUGGUUUUCCUAAGCAUUCGAAAGGCAAUCAUAUCUUUCUUUUUUUUUUAUUGAUAUGCUUUGACCAUGGUAUGUUAUUAUUUUAGAAUGUUGUCAAACAUGUUAGUUCUUGGAUGGAACUAUAGAGUUGUGAAUUCAAAUAGCUAUGGCUGGAAUGUUUCCUAAUUUAGAGUGCUGCUGAGAAAAUUUUGCAUACUGGCAGGGAAAAAGGUGCCGCAAUGGUCUCUACACUGAGGAAGAAUUCUGCAUUUGCUGAAGUUAAUGUUGACAAUAAAGGCUCAUUAUUAAUGGCUUUAAUGUUGUGUUUAAUGACAAUAAAGGCUCAACUAUUAUCAAAUUCUCAUUUUAAAUGGUAAAUGCGUUAUUUAAAUAAUUUCAAAUGAUGUAUUAAAUAAAUAUUUUGAGGAACAAGGCUCAUUAUGUCUCCUCUCAUUAGAUGUAUUUUUAAUUUCUUUUUUAAAAAUUCUCUCAUAUUCAAUUAAAAAAAAAUUCAGCCACCCAAAAAAAAAAAAGAUAUUUAGCUUCACGUUGAAUGGGGCUAAAUUGUGUAUUGUUUGACUGGUGAAACUCUUACCACAUCGGUUAAUAUGCAGCUUUUGGGUCCCUUAUUCUAAUUUUUAUCAUGACAUGGCAGUAAUCGCCCAGUGUGAUUGGCAUUUUUCUCUUAUUUAAGUUUUGGUGAAAGUGAAGCCCAUUCACAUAAAGUAAUAGAAAGGAUCAGGCUAAUUCAAUGCCUAGGGAUGUUACAAUCAUUUUUUAUUACUAAAUAUUUUAAAAUUAGGAUAAUGAAUUAAUGGAAUAAAAAUUUGCAUAGUCUGACAAUUGAUUUACAAAAACCAGAAUCCUGAUUAAAUUCAAAAAAUAAUUAUAAUCAACAUCUAUAAGAAAAAGGAAAACGAGAAUCAUAUGUAAGGAAAAUCAUUUCAUGAUGGAGGAAAAUUUACCUCAACUAUAGGAAUUUUGGUCCCUUGGUGCCGAAACUUAUUUUUGCUUUGAUUUAUUUCUAUAGCUCAUGAGAACUUGCUAUCACAUAACAUAUAUGUUUUGAUGGUAAAUCAAAUUUUUGGGUGAAAAAAGAAAUCAUUUGAAAUAAUACUAUAUUAUUACAGGAAAAAAACAAAAUGUGAGGGUAAUUUUGAUUUGGUAUAUCUUGGGCCAAGUACGUAUUUUGGAUUUGAGCCAGUAUCCGGACAAGGGAAGUGAGGGUAUCAAUAAAAUUAUCAUUAAGAAAUUGUCAUAUUAAUGGCAUCACUGUGUAUGGUGGUGUCAUAUUUGUAGAAUUAAGCCACUUUCAUGGCGUAAACGGUGCAAUUUCUUUCCGUUGCUCUGCUUGCUCCGACCAUAAAAAAUUAUAGUUGGCUCUCGAAAUCAGGUGAAAACAUUAUUAAUACUUUCUUUCUUCUGUUUUGGUUUAUGAGAGAAAAUGCAAUAAAAGCUUUCAAAGUAGUCAAUUAUGUGCUUUCCUUUUGUUAAUUUUGUGUUAUUCGGUCGUAAUAGGGAUUACGCGUGCAUUAUUGUCUACCGAUUUUAAAACGUGUAGUUUACUUAUAAUUUGUAAUAAUAAUGAAACUCUAAUUUGUUUUGGACACAGCUCCUGCUAUCACCGGUUGAUGAUGGGAAAUGAUAAUUGUGACUCUGCUUAAUUAUAACAGUGCGAGUAGAAGAAGUGAUAGAAAAAGUUUUUAUUAAAAAAUUAUAUAUUAUUUAGUUAUGUUGUUUCUUUUAACUAUCCUUAAAUUCUUGUCCGAAUUUAUCAUUAAAGGAGUAAAUAUGUUACUUAUAUAAUUUCAAAUGAUGUAUUAAACAAGGAUUUUGUGGGACAAAAAUCAUGCAUUGAAUUAGAGAAAAAGAAAAAAGAAAAAAGAAAUUCAACCGAACACAACUAUAAGAAAUUCAAAUUGUUCAUGCUUAACAAAUAAAAAAUAUUAAGGAACAACUGCACCUGGUAGAACGUAAAAACUAGAUGCUCUCCCCCCUCUCCUCCCUCCCCCCCCCCCCCCCCCCCCCCCCCCCCCCCCCCCCCCCCCCCCCCAAAAGCCUUAAACGGCCUUAAUGGCCUCUCCGGCCUCCGGUGAUGGCAACCAGUCAUCACCGGUCAACACCCUCUCCGCCGAAGAACGAAUUAUUAGGAGUUUGAACCCUCCUCCGCCGAAGAACGAAUUAUUAGGAGUUUGAACCCUCCUAAGAAAUCAUUUAGACGACCCCCAAAAUUCACCAAUGAUCCACCGCCUGACGUCUAACUGUCACCACCGCGAAUCAAAUCGCUCCAGCGGCAAAAUGACCUCAAUCCAUCCACACAACCAAAUCAUUUCUCUCCAAACCACUCCCAUGCAGACCCCUCCAUCUCCAAUCCACCAUCAUGCUGACCAACCACCGACAUCCACUGCCUCUAUCCUCUCGACACUUCGGCAACCCUUAACCACCUCUGUUGUCGUAAGUGAACAAGAAGAAACGUCUCAUGAAGGCUGCCAUGAUGCAGCAAAUCAACCAUCCCUUCACGAGCCGGCUAUCACCGGCUGGUGGUAAUGGCAGCCAGCCACCACCGAUUCCCCCCCUCACUUCCAAAAACGAAUUUCCUUUUCUUAGGAUAUCUCAAAGGCAAACUCGUUCAAAAUAUAAAAGCCAAUCGCCAGCCAUCCAACCCCAACAGCCACCAACUUCCACAAACACAGCCAAUCAACCACCAUCGCCAUCGUCAUCCCUUCAACAGCAAACUCCAACCUUAACUAGCCAUGACCACCUUCCAACCGUCGAGCCAUCAUCACCUUCAAAUCGAACCAAGCCUUCACAAGCUAACACAAACCAGCUUCCAGCAUCUAGUCCGCAGCCAACACAAGCCAUACAUGAUCACUCGGGAGAUGAUCAGCCAGCCGUUACAGCCCCUAUGCAUUCUCAAAACCAGCCCGUGCUUCAUGGCCAAUUGAAUCAAGAACCUCUUCAAGAUGCAACCACCGUGGUUAAAUCCAGUCAGCCACAACCAUAUCCUACACAAACAACCCCCACGAGCCAAAAAGUCUCACACACAUGCACUCGGAACAGUGUUCACAGCCAGCUGCAGCUGCUGACCGCCGAUUGUCAGCUCCCCAUGCAAGCAAACACCACCGAAUCCAGUGAAGAUCAGCAAACAUCCCAGCCCAAAAGUCUCCACGCGUGCAGCAGCCAUGAGCAAACAUCCCAGCCCAAAAGUCUCCACGCGUGCAGCAGCCAUGAGCAAACAUCCCAGCCCAAAAGUCUUCACGCGUGCAGCAGCUAUGUUGCACGCACAUGAACCACUUUCGGCUGCACAUGAUUUGUGUCCCCCAUGUGUGUUUCCCACUAGCCUUCCCCUUGUCCCAUUAGCCUUUCCCACUAAUCAAUCCCAAGCCCAAUCCAUUUCUGACCCCAACAACCAGCCCUCCCGAAUGCCCUCAACACUCAUUUCUAAUAAUCCCCAAUUUACCCCGUUGACUCAAAAUGCUACACCGCCCACAUCCGCACUAUCUUAUGCCUCAAUUUUGAAUUCCGUCCCCAAUUCGAAUCAAAAGAGAACCAAUAAAAAAUCGUUUAUGGAUAUUAUGAUCGGCCCAACUAGCUCGAUGGCUCAAAAUCAAGACCGUUACUUUUUUCGGGGGAGAGCCUAACGUGCAAUUCUCCGUUGCGGAAAUUGAAGCGAUGGCCAUUCCCUUCAAGUUGACAUUGGUUGGUAAAUUUUCUUAUAAUAGACCUAGUAUGGAAUUAAUUCAUAAAUUUUUUACUUCUUUGAGAUUGAAGGGAACUUUUAAGGUGUCUUUACUAGAUAAUCGACAUGUGUUAAUUCAAUUGGAUGUUGAGGAUGACUAUUCCCGCCUAUGGGUUAGGCAGACAUGGCACAUUAAUGGGAGUGCCAUGAGAAUUUUUAAAUGGACCACCGAUUUUCGACUUCAUGCACUAUAGGGAAGCAUUAUUUUCUAUUGCAUCAGCUAUUGGCAAGCCAUUGCGAAUUGACCAAGCUACUGCCUCUUUAGCUUGCCCUUCUGUAGCUAGGGUUUUAGUGGAGUAUGAUGUUACCCAACCUCCUUUGCCAAGGAUACGAAUCGGGGUGGGAGAUUCUGGAUUUUGGCAAAAUGUAAUUUUUGAGGAAAAUCCUACUCUACUGUGCUUCUUGCAAGCACCUUGGCCAUACCAUUGAGACGUGUUACGUGGCCAAUCCGGGGCUCCGUCCCCAGCGACCCAGUGGGAAUCAGCAGACCAGAGUAGAAGAUGGUAAGAAGUCAGAAGUUCUACUGUCAAAUACUCCACAACCCUCAAAUACUCCUCGACCUGAGCCUUCCAUCACUAAGCAGAAUGCAGACACGGGGUCCCCGAUCACCAAACCUUCGGAGAACUGGCCUAACGUUACAAAUUCUACAUCCGUUCAGGAGCCGAUUGCCCAAGAUGACACAACUCAUGAUUCUAAGGAACCUCGUGAUCAAAGCUUGUCUCCCCUGCGGAGUAUUGGUGAGUAUAAUCCACAUCUUCAGCGAGCAUCCAGCACAAAUUUUAGGCAUUACAAUUCUCAUACUGAUAAUGAUGAUAGUUCUGACGAGCACCUGGCAAAUAACGAAUACUUUUUAUCUGCUCCUGAGAAUUCUGAGAGAAAAGACUUAAGUCUCGAUUUUAGCAUUGUUGGUCAAUCAAAAAAGGGAUUUAAAGUACUUACCGACUGUAAGUAUCGUAAGACAUAUUAUCACCGUCUUCAUUAGUCAUUUUAUUAUGAUUCUCAUGUUAGGCUAUGCCUUAAUCUUUUCUUUUUCUGUUGUAUUUUUUUUUUCUUGAUUGGAGGUUUUGGUUUUUGUCCUCCUUCUUGUAUCUUUCAUUAUCUUUUAUAAAUGACAAGUAUGAGUCCCGCCUAACCCCCACCUUAGAGUGGUAUGUUUAUUUUAAAAAAAAACUUAUUACCAAAAAAAAAAAAACUAUAAGAAAUUCAAUCCUAAUAAGACAAACUGCCAGUACUGCUCAAUUCAUAAUGUUGGCAAUUUGUCAUCAACAAAAACGUGCGAUGGUAAUAUCGAAAUGGUAAAAAAAAAUGUGCAUUCCACUUUUUUGACCCUUCCCAUGAGUUUCCGGGUGUUUAAAAUUUUACAAACUGCUGGAAAAUGGAAGGUCUAACAUCUUUCUUAACAAUCUGAAAUAGACUUCGUGCAUGCUGUAAAUUUAAAUGAAUCAUAAUUAAUGGAAACUGAAACAGAAUUAAAGCAGAGGAGGGAAAAUCAAUUGUACUUUGUGCAUAAUGUAUAUGACUGACUAACUAACUACGAGUUUGGCUGCCUCCCACAUCACCAUAAAUAACACAUAACUAAUAUCAUUCCGCGUCGAGCAUGUCGUCAAGAUCCCCCUCUUGAAAGGAUUCCACUUACCACCUAAAUUCCAAAGCAAGACUUGGUGCUGUAAUUCAAUAAAUAUUAUAUUAUUAAUUAAUUACACACCAUUCAACUUCUAUAAAUAGUCAUUAUAUCUCUCUCUCUUCUUGUGAUUUCAUCAUCUAGAAAAGAAAAAGAAAAAGAAAAUGGGUUAUAUCACUCAGCCUUAUCAACUUUUUAUUUGCCUCCAGUUAUUCCUCUUCUAUUCUCAGUGUUCAGCAAUACUUUGCUCUCACCACCAAAGUUCUGCUUUACUCCAAUUUAAACAGCUCUUUUCCUUUGAAAAAGAUUCUUCAUUCGAUUGUGAUAUAUCUCGUCCAAAGAUGAUGACUUGGAAAGAGGACGCUGAUUGCUGCUCCUGGGAUGGAGUAACAUGUGAUUCGGCGACGGGUCACGUGAUUGGCCUCGACCUCAGUUGCAGUUGGCUUCACGGCAACAUCCCUUCCAACACUAGCCUUUUCUUUCUUCCUCGCCUGCGAAAGCUCAACCUAGCCUUCAAUGAUUUCAAUUACUCUAAAAUUUCUUUUGGUUUUACUGAUCAAUUUCCGAGUUUGACAGUCCUUAACCUCUCUUGCAGCAAUUUCAUGGGCUCAAUUCCUGCGUUACUAGGUAACAAUAUUACACAACUUGCUUAUUUGGAUCUUUCGUAUAACAGUUUUAGUGGACACAUUCCAUCAUCUUUUUCAAAUCUUCAGCAGCUUCGUCAUUUAGAUCUUUGGGAGAAUCAGUUUGUUUGUAAAAUUCCACCCUCACUAAUUAACAAUACUACACAACUUGCUUAUUUGGAUCUAUCAUUUAACAGUUUUAGUGGUCAGAUUCCAUCAUCUUUUUCAAAUCUUCAGCAGCUUCGUCAUUUAGGUCUUGGGGGCAAUAAAUUUGUUGGUCAAAUUCCGGAUAUGUUUACCAACCUAACCCAACUUUCUUCUUUAAACUUAGCAAAUAAUCAACUGAUUGGCUCGAUUCCAAGUUCAAUCUUUGAACUUGUUAAUUUGACAUUUUUCGCUCUUUCUUUUAACAAUUUCAGUGGCAGCGUUGAGCUUUACGAUUUUGCAAAGCUCAAAAAUCUUAAAGUUCUUGCUCUUUCUAAUAUUAGUUUAUCAGUUAGCACCAAAUUAACAGUCAACUCGUCUUUCCCUAAUCUUUUUUUCUUGGUUUUACCGGCUUGUAAUAUAAGUGAGUUUCCAGACGUCUUGAGAACUCAACAUCAGUUAGAGUGGUUGGACCUUUCUGAAAACCAAAUCCGUGGUAGGAUUCCCAGUUGGAUGUGGGAUAUAGGAGUACAUACUUUGUUUCGCCUAUAUCUUUCACGAAACUUCCUGACAAGCAUAGACCAUCUUCCGUGGAAAAAUCUCCAAUAUCUUACCCUUGAUUCGAACCUACUUCAAGGAUCACUUCCAGAUCUACCACCUCACAUGGUACAAUUUUCAAUUUCCAGCAAUAGUUUGACCGGAGAGAUUCCUUCAUCAUUUUGUAAUUUGAAUUCCAUUCAAUCUUUUGACGUAUCCAACAAUAGCUUGAGUGGACAAAUUCCACAGUGUCUUGGAAACUCUACACUUGAAACUGUGGAUCUCCGAAUGAACAACUUCCAAGGUACCAUCCCACAGACAUAUGCAAAGGGCUGCAACUUGACUUAUCUUCGGCUGAGUGGCAAUCACUUGGAGGGACCAUUACCACCAUCUUUGAUUAACUGUGUCAAUUUGCAAUUUCUUGAUGUUGGGAAUAACAGCUUGAGCGGCCCAAUUCCAGAAUAUCUUGGAAACUCAACACUUGAAGUCUUGGAUAUGAGAAUGAACAAGUUCAACGGCAGCCUCCCUCAAACAUUUGGAAAAAGUUGUGUUUUGGAAAGUCUUAAACUUAAUGGCAAUCGGUUGAAAGGACCAUUGCCUCCAUCUUUGGUUAAUUGUCAGUAUUUGGAAGUUUUAGAUGUUGGGAAUAAUCAGAUUGACGACACCUUUCCCUACUGGUUAGACGUUCUUCUUGAAUUGCAAGUUCUUAUAUUGCGUUCUAAUAGAUUUUGGGGUCCUAUUGGUGAUACCAAAACAAGAGUUCCCUUUCCCAAGUUGCGAAUAAUUGAUUGCUCUCACAAUCAACUCAUCGGUGUUUUGCCUCUAUGGUAUUUGGAUAGUUUUAAAGCCAUGAUGCAUGGGAAUAACAAUACUGUUGAAGUCGAUUAUAUGAGGUUGCAGGAUUCUUCUAAUUACUAUGAGUCAAUAGUUCUGACUAUGAAAGGCAUUGACUUACAAAUGGAGAGGAUUCUAACAACUUUUGCAACUAUUGAUUUGUCCAGCAAUAGAUUUCAAGGGAAAAUUCCAGAAGUAGUGGGAAAGUUGAAUUCACUCAAAAGUCUCAACAUUUCUCACAACAACCUGACUGGUGGUAUUCCUUCAUCGCUGAGAAAUCUGACAGAGCUUGAAUCUCUAGACCUCUCUUCAAACAAGCUUGCUGGACGUAUCCCAACGCAACUGGCGGAUCUGAAUUAUCUUUCGGUGUUGAAUCUUUCGAACAACCAGCUCAACGGACCCAUACCACUAGGACCCCAAUUUAAUACUUUUGGAAAUGAUUCCUAUUCUGGUAACUCAGGGUUGUGUGGAUUCCCAUUAUCAGAGAGCUGCAGCGUUGAUGAGGCACCAGAACCAACAACACCAUCAAGAUUUCUCGAAGGAGAUUAUGCUUCUAGGUGGUUUGAUUGGAAGUUUGCUAAGUUGGGUUACGCAUCUGGAGUGGUGAUCGGCUUGUCCAUCGGAUACAUGGCAUUUGUGACUGGAAGGCCACAAUGGUUUGUAAGAAUGAUCGAAAGGAAGAAAUCCAGGAAGCUGAGAAGGGUGAUCAGACGAGGCAGAGCAAGUAGAAGAAGUUUGUAGAUGCAUCUCUAAAGGCCCAUGUGAGUAAUUAUUAGUUUGUCUUAUAGAAUUAUAAGCUGGUUUCUACUGUUCUUUGAGUAGAUGGCAUGCUGAUAUUAUCGUAAUCUAACAGUUGACUUACAAAAACCACAAUACUAAUUAAUUUCGGAUUAUGUUUAUUAUCAACAUCUAUAGUGAGAAAGAAAAUUUUAACUGAAUUAUUGAUGUGGUUGUUUUCUUCAGGAAUUAUAAACUCCUGGAAGCUAGCAGUGGAAGUCAAAUAAUCCUCCAGGUACUGAAAUUGUUUUUACCUAAAUUUCAAUUUCAUGAAAUCAUUUUUACUUUUAUUGUCAUUUCAUUAGAACAUGUUAUCACGGACGUAUUUCUUGAUGGUAAAAAGAUUUGAAGUAAUAUUGUUGCAGGAAAUCAUGUGGGGGGUAACUUUGGUUUGUUUUAUCUCGGAACACGUAUUUCAAAUUUGGGCGUAGAACGUACUAUAUCAAAGUUUGAGAGCAGAAAACAUUCUUAUUAAGUGGGUGCAUUGCUCUUCUUGGAGAAAAUGUAUUAAAUGAAAUCCCACACAUCUGCCAAUGGGCUUGUUCAGCGUUGACAGCACUCAUGCUCUCAAAUCUUGAGAGCAAUACGUCGGAGGGUUGAAAUUGAGAUGUGUGAUGAUAAAUUUAAUUUAAAGUAAUUUUCGUAGAUCUUUUAUUGUAAUAUAUGUAUCUGUAUUUCAAAAGGAAGAAAUCACCUGCAUCCAAAUUUAAUUAAGAAAAAUCUGCACUUUUUCAUAUAUCAACUUUUUUCAUUUUGCAGAAAAAAAAUAAUUAUGCGUAAAUGAAACCAAACGGCCAUUAAAUUAAAUGAGGUUUUCAUAGCACUGCCAAGAUUAGGAUCUUCCAUACUUCAUAGCACUCCACGUACGGUGCGGCCCAUGAUUCCACUUAUAACAAGUUCUCAAGAUUAGGAUCUUGUUUACUCCUCAAACUUCCAACAUUCUCCAUGGAUCUUCUCCAUCAGUAGAUUUGAUGUUUCAUGUCAUCAAGUGAUGUGAAAUUGUUUGCUUUUAUUGUCGUGACAUGGCUGCACUUGAGAACGAAACAGUUGAUAAUGAGUAAUAAUGUUUGGAAUGACGCCGCAGGAAAUAAAGUAGGGAGAGCUUUCAAAUUAUGUACUUUCUUUUCUAUUAUUUUUUCUGUUAUUUAGUUGCUUUUUUAAAUAUUUCUUUUAAAUUCAAGGUUACGCAAAUUAAGAAUGAAAUUAAAAACAGUGGGAAAAAAAAUUAAUGUCCAAUUCUGUUGCGAAAUUAAAUUUUUGUUGAUUGAUAAAUUCUCUUCUCUUCCAGUUAGGGAUGGCAAAAUCCGGGUCCGGGUCCGGGUUUAGCCUUUCCGGUUCCGGACCCGGAUGGUAAUUUGAAAAUACCGGACCCGGAUAUAAACCCGGAUAUUUAUACUCCGGGUCCGGUCCGGGUUCAACCCGGAAAAAUCCGGGUUCCCGGAUUCCGGAUUUAGAACCCGGAUGCUUGUUAAAGAAAAACGAUUUUCUCUCUCCUCUGCUAUAAAUUCCUCCAAACAUCUUUAACCUAUUACCAACAACAAUGGAAAAUAAUGCAAAAUCAAAUAACUAAAAAUAAAUUCAAAGGCAAUAGAGCAUAUACAAAAUUCAAUUUUCAAACAUAAUGAUGACAAAUUUGGCGAUGAUGAUGACAAAGUGGGCUUUGUGGGGUUAAGCUAAGAAAAGCCGAAAAUGGGAGAAAUGAGCUUUGGUCUUCAAAAUCAUGUAUGCUUUUCAAACCAUUGCUCUCAUCUCCACCCUUGCUUUCUCCUUCCUUUGCUGCAGAUGCACUUCUAAUCUCCUUUUCUUCUUCCUUUGCUGUUUGGUUUUUUAUUUUGUAUUCUUUAAUUAAUUUUUUAUUCUUUCUUCAUCAAUCUUCUUCGCCUCGGAUGAUGAUGAACAUGAACACAACAAAGUAGCGAAGUAAUGGUGAGUGGCGACGAUGAUUUGAUGAAGAGAAGGGCUGAACGAAGAGAAAAUGGUUUGGUUUGAUGAUGAUUUGAUGAAGAGAAGGGAGAGAGUGGAAAUGUUUGGCAGCGGCAGCGAAUUAGGGCAAGACUAAUUUUUUUUUUCAAUUUAUAUUAAAUAAAGAUGUCCGGGUCCGGGUUCCGGAUUUACGGGUUCACCCAAACCCGGAACCGGACCCGGAUAGGUCCGGGUUGGUAAAAUUCAAUCCGGAUUCCGGAUUUAAUUUAUUCCGGUACGGGUUGAACCCGGACCGGAUUUUCCGGGUUCAUCCGGGUCCGAUCCAGGUCCGGGUUAAAUUGCCAUCCCUACUUCCAGUCAACUCAUGGCAGCUUCAAUUGAGCAAGCUUACAAAUUCAGCAUAUAUAAUCCAUAAUUAUGUAGAUUACACAUUUUAAUUUGUAGUAAAAUAAUUAAUCAAAUUUAUUCUUAAUCAGGUAUUUAUUUUUCCUAAUCAAAUUUAUCAGAAAACAAUGACCUUGGGAUUUGGUUCUACAAUAAAUGUAACUUAUGUAAUAUGAUCAUAGCAUUAGGAUUUGGUUAUUGUAACUUAUCCGAUGUGGUCUAAUUGGGUUUUGUAGAAGGUUUUGAGAGAAAAUUAAGAGAAAAUAUGAUGCUAACUUUUAAGUAUCUACUUGGAAUAUAUUAAAAAAUUUCGAAUUUUGGUAUCGAUCAACAUUCAAUUUUCUACAAAUGCUGUAUGUGUCAUUUGUUUUUUAUGAUCGUAUAUGUUCCAUAUUACAACAAUAAAAUUGGUAUGCUAGAUGACAAAUAUGAUCAUGAAAUAAAAUUAUAAUAUUAGUAGUUCAAAUAAAAUUAGGUGUAAUUGUUAUUUUAGGAUUGUAAUUUUAUUUUUUAUUAAUCGAAAUUAUUAUUAUUAUUAUUAUUAGGCUGCGGGCCGUGCUGGACUCUUAUAAAAAAAAGGUGGGCACGACCCACCAAUUUGGUGGGCCAUGCCGUGCCGGCCCACGGAUUUUAGUGGGCUGAUGGUUGAUGCUGGCACGGCCCGUUGGCCAUCAUUAAGUACGUUGGACUGAGAAUUUUAAGCAUGUGGUCCUUAAAAUCGCGUCCUUCUCUAUAUGCAACGAUGGGAGAUAUCAAAUAAUCCUGACUCAAUUAAUUGCAGCAAUAAUGAUGUAGGAGACGAUGUGGGCUUAAUUUGGGUGUACAUCUUCGGUUUUGUAAGUUGAAUUUGAAUGUGUAAUAUUACUGUUCUGAAAAUAAGAAAAUCGAUUGGGUGUAACAAGAAAAUGGAUUGAAUAAUUGAAAUAACUUAGGUCCAAAAUCUCUGACCUUAGAUGAUCCUUGUUCAAAUGGCCCACUACGCGCCACGUCAACAUGUGGAAACUCAUCCACAUCACCAGCCUCAAUAUUCUCGCCACGUCAUCACUCAACAGUUUAUCACUGACGAUAAUUUGGAUAGGAAAAACAUUUGAAGUGAGAGCCUUCACUCUUCACUGAGAAACCAAAAUGGCGCGAGCUUUGCUUCAUUUGAAUAGCACGGCCACGGGCAUAAUGGCCAGGGCUACAAGUGCUACUACAGAGACAGUUCUUGACAGAGCUCAGUUUCAAAUGAAGAACCAAAACGGCCGCGUUUUGGUACUUGGAGGUACGGGUCGGGUCGGUGGAUCCACUGCUGUUGCUCUCUACAGCAGGAAAGGAGCUGCAACUGGAUGCAAAUGCUGCAGAGGAGUCAUCUGUUGACCCAGCUGACAAUUCUAAUUACUCAGAGACUGAAUCAGAAUCUGAAACAGAUGAAGGCGAAGAAAAUUCAGAUGAAGAAAAGGAUUCUUCACCUGAAACUGAUACAAAGGAUUCUUCACCUGAAAAUUCAGAUGAAGAAAAUUCAGAUGAAUAAAGUCCCUAAAGCUGUGAAGAAGAGAAAGAAAAAAUUGGCCAAAGCUCACAAGACUAGGUAGGUGUACUGGAAAAACAAUUUUGCAGCUUCUACCAUUCAAUUUGUUCUCUGGAGGACAAAAAAUUUUGAUAGCUCUACUACAGUCUCUGUUUAUUUAUCUUAUUCUGUUAUGUUCAAUAUAGAGAUGUAAGGAUAUGAAUUGAUAAAUAUUUAUUUGUAUAGUCGCUGUGUUGUACAUCUUGUGAACCUUUUCAAAAUCUGCUGCCGUUUUGAGGCUGCCUCUUUACUGUUUCCUUUACCUUUUUUUUCCUUCAAGUUUAAUUUUUUUUAUUGAUUUAUAAUUAUGAAUGAAAAAAAAAAAUGAAUUGAGGGAACUAAAGAAAAUAAAUUUCUUUUUUUUUAAGUAAUGUCGCUUCUUAUGGUUUUAAGGCGAAGAAAAAUGUGCCUAAAUUUAUUUUAAAAAAAAAAAGCGAUUGCUUCUGGGCAUGGAAGGCGAGCUUUUAAAGAACGGUCUUUUCUUGAAAAUAAUUGAGCAAUCGAAACGGCGUCGUUAGUCUGCUCGAACUGAGUGGACCAAACGGUGGCGUCUCAUAUAUUUUCUGUAAGUUCGAAAGACGACAAAAUCCAAAACGGCCGUGUUUUUUUAUUUUUUAUUUCCUAAAAUCAUUAAUUUUAAAAGCUAAUUAAAAUUAUUUUAAAAAGGGAUAUUAUUAUUUUACUACUAAAGUUUUACUGACAUAUCAUGUCAGUACUAAGGUUUGCCGAAAAGUACAUUUUACUAUUAAAGUUUUACGCCGUUAUCAAUUCACUACCAUUUCGUUAACAACGUUAAAAAUUUGCUGAUGUCAUAAGGGCAUCAAAGACAUUUCUAGCUGUAAGAGUAAAAUUGUCUAUUAAUUUGAUAGAUAAAUUAUUAUUUUACUACCAAAAUUUUAGGGGAAUUAUCAUUUUACUACCAAACUCUUGAGGAUAAAAUCGACUUUUAACUCAAUUUUCGUUAAACAUUAACUUUUUCUUAAUGGAAUGGUAGUGAAUUGAUAACGGCGCAAAAUUUUGGUAGUAAAAUGAGCUUUUCGGCAAACUUUGGUACUGACAUGAUAUGUCAGUAAAACUUUAGUAGUAAAAUGAUAAUUUCCCUUUAAAAAAAUUUGAAAAAACAAUUGCAGCUUAGUCCGUCGCAUGAACCUUCGUCACUUCACUUCAGUGAAGCAAAUUAUCGAACACAACACGAACAUGAUUACAGAACUGCAGCGAAAACCGAAAAUCUAAAUUGGCCAUCCUCUGUUCCCUAAUUUUUCUUCUCAUACCUCCAAAAGAGAUCUUACCAUCCAUCAAUGGUCAGAACUUAACCAAGACCUUGUAGUCGAAAUCGCUGAGCAGAUAAAAUUCUACCAAGACUUUGUGGCCUUUCAUUGGGUUUGCACUUCUUGGCGAUCAGCGACAAAUAUCAAGAAUUUUAUAUACAAGUCUGAUCAAAUGCCUCGCCUGCGCCGUUUUUUCAAUCCGUUAAAUGCAAUGACUCGUCAAUUUUGCUUACCAGAAGCAGCGGUAGCAGAUGACAAUAAGAGAUGCCUGUCUUCAAAAGGUUGGCUUCUAAGCAUGACUCGAGAUUUGAGCUUAACUCUUGUGCAUCCUUUUUCACGUGCUGAGAUUGAACUUCCGAAUGUAAAGGCGUUUGAAGAUUGGUACGUUAAUCUUUUUACAAUUGUUUGUUUAUUACAUUUUUCAUUUUUAAUUUUAUAAAAUUAAAAUUUUUUAAAAUUGUGUUGGAUUAAAUGGAUAUUCAUUGGGUAAAAUUAAUUAUCCAUAUCUAUCCAUAUCCAACUGAAUAUAAUUUUAAAAAUAUCCAUUUUAAGAUCCAAAAAAUUUUAGAUGGGUAUUAUGGAUAUUGAGCGAUCCAAUUGCCAUCCCUAGCUGCCAAACUUGCCUUGCUCUAUUUCCAUAUCUUUAGAAUGUUUCACCACUUAUAUUUUAUUGGUUUAAAAAUGAUUCGAAAAAUUAUUGAUGUGGGAAAUGGCAUGGGCUGACUUUGAUUUAGUGCAUCUCUGGGCUAUGAAAUGUUGAAUUUGGUUAACGUACAAAUUGUUCUUUGUAUGCGCCAUGGGGAAAAUCAAAUAAGCUUGACUCUUUAUCUGAAAAAAUAAUAUUUAUAGGCUAACGUCAAUGCCUUCUUGCAUAUAUAUACUUCAAUGCCUUCUUGCAUAUAAUUGUAAGAUUUGGGCAUUUAAAUUCCAAUGACUUCUUGCAUUAAAAGUGGGACACAUUGUUUUGGAUUAAAACGAAUUUGCCAGUUUAACACAUUGUUUUCUUGUACUAAUCAAAUAACUUUAUUUGAUUCGCUAUUCAAUCAUAAGGGAGGAAUGUGUCAUAACAUAUAAAUGGAUACCGUCUAUUCCUCUACCUUCUAUAAAACAAUAAUAACACCAACUCGAGUCUAGGCGGCUGCCACAUCACCAUAUACGACAGACAAUUAACAUUUCUCUUAUCUAUAUAUCGUUUGAGCUUUAAUUUGGACUGGUUAGUGGAAAUUGAAUAAUCAAAGUCUACUAAAGACGUCAAGAAAGGAAACGAGUAAAAUACAAACAUAGUCUAUCAAUGUUUAAUAGAAAUCCUCCGCAUCUGCCAAUAGGCUCGUAGCCCGUUGACAGCACUCAUGCUCUCAAAUCUUGAGAGCAAUUAAUUUGUGGGACUCACUUUUUUCUGUCAGUAUAAUUAGAUAUGGGUAGAUUUUUUCUACUAAAUAAAUAGAGCAUAUAUCCCUAACAAAUUUACGAAAUUAUCCGUCUGACUUUUAGGAAAUUAUACCAUUUUAGGACCCAAAAUUUCAUUUGAAUUUAUUUUAAAUUACAGCCCUGAGGAAACUUCUAAGAUUUGUACUUUUAUUUUCAUAACAAAUUCUUAACCUAUUUCCGUUUGUUGCGUUUUUAAUUAAUUUCAGUUUACACCUUAAUCUUCUCUGAAUGUCUUUUUAUUUUUAUUUUUUUCAGCUUAGGAGAACGCCUACAUAAUAGAAGCUACAUACCAUUACAAAAUUAAUUCAAACCUUAAUGUGGAAUGCUCAAUGUUGACUUAGGAAAAGGGUUUAAGAUCCAUAUUGAGUAUUGAUCAAGCAAUUUCAGCAUAGAGAUUACACACAUAUAUAGUAAACAAUUAAGAGUAAAUGGAAGGUCUAGCAAAUAAUUGGAAUUUUACAAAACUAGAGACAAAUGUACCAAUAAACGAGACUCCAGAAUAAGAAGUGUAUAAUCGAAUUAGAAAAGAUAAUAAAGAAGUGUACAAAUUAGAAAUAAUUAACCCAAGUAUAACAACAAAAACACAAAAUUUAGUUUAUAGUUUAGAAGAUAGAGGUGAAGACUUGGUGCUCUGACUCUAAAGGUGUUCUAUUUAAUUAGAUUCCCCUCUAGUGGUGUGAUUAAAAGAGAUGGAUAAAAAAAGUUAUUUUAACUUAUGAGGUAGACUUGACUAAAGUGUUCAUUAAUGACAUGACGUUGAGAAAGAAAGACUUAUUCUAUGUGUAACUCUUAAUUUGGGCAAUCGUCAAUAACUUUCAACUUUUUUUAUUCCUCCCACGGGUUUCAAUGUUUCAUUAUCAUAGUUUUGGAAAAAAAGUUGAAGUUGUUUGGAGUUUUGCAAAAUUGGCCACAAAUUCAUGCACCAACUAGAUUCCGGAACAAUAUAAUGAGGCUCAGUAUAACAAAAGGCUUGGUGCAUGCUCUAAAAGUCCAAAUGAAUUAUAACUAAUUACACAUAUUAAUUUGUAGUAAACUAAUUAAGAAGUAAAUGGAUGGUCUAACAACCUACUUCACUGAUCGAAGCAGAAUCAAAACAGAGGAGGGAAAAUGGAUUGAGCUUGUGUAUACGACAAAUUAAGUCUACUUUUUACAUACAUUAAUUGGAUUUAGCUUCAGCUUUGGUACUGGUUUGUGAAAAUUGGAAAAACUGGAAAAUGCUCCUUUUAAAGAAUCAAAGUCUACUUUAAACAAUAAUCUCCAUCAACAUUUAAUGCUUGUUAUUGGCUUUCAACCAGCGGCCGCUUUCAGAAAGGAAGACUUCAAUUGUCCCCAAGGGUCGAAAAGUAAAUAUAUAAAUGGUUAUUAAUUGGAUACAGCUUCAGCUUUUGGACUGGUUUGUGGAAAUUGAAAAAAUUUGAAAAGUGUUCCUCUUGAAGAAUCAAAGUCUACUUUAUACGUAAAGAAAGGGGAUCUCAGUAAAGAUACAUUUUGGAGAACAUACAACUGAAAUCAUUUUUACCUAAUAACCUAGCAAAAAGCUACUACAUCUCACAACGUUGACCUCUGGGCUAAUCAAGCAUUUGACUUUCCUAAUACAAUUUAUCACAAAACGAUUAUCCCUUUUCAUAUUUUAAGUUCAGUAAUAAGAAAGAGGAGGCACCUUCCAAAUGUAUGCACCUUUUUUAGUUUUAUCCCACAAAACUUUAUCACAAAACAAUGGCCUUUUCAUAUUUUCAGUUAUUGCUCAAUCCCUUCACAAAAUAUUAUGCACAUUUACAAGGGAUAGAAGAUUUUGGUUUGGCUUUGAUUUUGAUAUGACUAUAAAUACUAUUGAAAUUACAAACUCUAGAGGCUCACGAAAUAAAUAUUGUAAAUUUAAGGGGGCUAAAUCAUAAGCUUUACAAAUAAGUGGAUUCAAUUUUAGUUUGUACCUUUAUCAGCGAAUCCAAUUUUCAAACCAAAAUGUAGUUUUAAUUUUUUGAUUAAAUUUCUUUUGAAAAUGCUCAACUAAAUACUAUUUAUGGUUACAUGUUAGUUUGAAUGAACACGUUCAUAGAUGAUUGUGUAAGCAAUUUAUUUGGUUAAUUAACAGUUGUACUCUUUAAAAAUGCGAAUUACUAAUUUUAAAAAAUUUCAGUGGUUAGUGUAUUAAAAGUGUGUUUGGAGCAUAGCAAUGCAUGUUAUUGUAAUACUAUUCACAUUAAUUUAUUACUAACCCAUGAUUGGUAAUUUAGAAACUACAUUGUGGUGCAUACGCAUCAUAAUGCGCCAACUUUUGCCUCAAUUGAGGCAUUAAAUAUAUUUUAAUUAUAAUAAAUUAAAUAUAAAAUAAGUUAUAUUAUAAUAUUUUUAUUCAAUAGCACAAUAUCACAUUAUAUUUAUACAUUAGUAGUUAAUAUAAAAUAAUAAUUUAAUAACUAAUUUUAUAUAAUUAACAAUAAAAUAAUAAUAAAUUUAAAUAAUAUUAAUUUAAUAUUAAUACAAAAUUAAUAAAGUACAAUCCAACACUAAAUAUUAUACAAUAUUAUUAUAAUCCAAUGCUAAUUCAAUACUGCAUAAAGUGAUAUACUUGCAUUAAAUGACAUAAUACGGUGUAAGUAAAGAGUAAUGGAUUUUAGUUGGCAAUAACGUAUGCCCAUUACUAUAAAGCAAUGGCCCAACACUUGGCAUGUCAAAAACAAAAAUUGUCACAUAAUCAAAAUUUUUUAUAAGAAAACAGUUGAAUAAUCGAAAAUUUUUUAUACACUGGCGCCACGUCAUCACUCACUGUAAACUGAAAAGAAAAUUUUUGAUAAGAAAACAGUUGAAUAAUCGAAUUUCGAGUCUUUGGUGGACGUUAUUCUUUUAUGCUAAUUGCUAAAUAUAUCUUUGAGUUAAACAGUUAUUAAAACAUUGGGGCUAGUUUUUCAUUUAACUACAAAAUUACUUUUUUUGAAACCCAUAAAACCAUUUUUAAGUGGUAAAUUAGUUCUAUCACGUCUUCAACUAUUACCAAAUUUUAUUCGAGUUCACCAUUUUAGUAGUAAAUGCAUUAUCUAAAUAAUUUUAAUGAUGUAUUAAAUAAAUAUUUUGAGGAACAAGGCUCAUUAUGUCUCCUCUCAUUAGUUGUAUUUUUAAUUUCUUUUUUAAAAAAUCUCACAUAAUCAAUUAAAAAAAAUUAAGCCACCCAAAAAAAAAAAAAAGUAUUUAGCUUCGCGGUUGAAUGGGGCUAAAUUGUGUAUUAUUUGGCUGGUGAAACUCUUACCACAUCGGCUAAUAUGCUACUUUUGGAUCCCUCAUUUUAACUUUUAUCAUGACAUGGCAGUGGUGGUAGCAGAGCUUGCUCAUAUUGGUAGAAGUGAAAUGAUUGCAAGUAAUCUCCCACCAUGACUGGCAUUUUUAUCUUAUUUAAGUUUCGGUGAAGCCCAUCCACAUAAAAUAAUUGGCAGGAAGUGUUAAGGAGAGGGAUGCUGCAAUCACUUUUUGUUAACGGAAUAAAAAUUUUCAUAAUCUAACAAUUGAUUUACAACAACCCGAGUCCUGAUCAAAUUCAAAUAAUAAUUAUAAUCAACAUCUAUAGUCCUGAUCAAAUUCAAAUAAUAAUUAUAAUCAACAUCUAUAGGAAAAUGGAAGACGAGAAUCAUAUGUCAAAAGAAAUCAUUUCGUAUGCCCAUUACCGUAUUAUUAUUUGUACAUUAGAAAUUAAUAUAAAAUAAUAAUUUAAUACAAUUAAUAAUAAAGCAGCAAUAAAUUUAAACAAUAUUAAUGCAAAAUUAAUAAAGUAUAAUCUAACAUUAAAUACUAUACAAUAUAAUUAUAAUAAAAUACUAAUUCAAUACCACAUAAAGUAAUAUACUUGCAUUAUUUGGAACUGGCAUAAAGUAAAAUUAAUAAAGUAUAAUCUAACACUGUUACAGAUAUUAAUACUAUAUCAACACACAUGGAAAAACCCUUCCCAUGAGUUGUUUCACGGGUGUUUGAAAUUUUACAAACUGCUGGAUAAUGCGCCUUUUGAAGAAUGCAGUAAAUGGAAGGUCUAACAUGUUUCUUAACAAUCUGAAAUAGACUUUGUGCUGCUGUAAAUUUAACAAGUAGAUUACACAUAUAUAUUAUCAAGAAGUAAAUGGAAGGCCGAACAACUUUUUUAAUAAACUGAAACAGAAUUAAAGCAGAGGAGGGAAAAUCAAUUGUGCUUUGUGCAUAAUGUAUAUGACUGACUAACUAACUAACUACGAGUUUAGCUGCCUGCCACAUCAGCAUAAUAUAACACAUAACUAAUAUCAUUACUGAUCAAUUUCCAAGUUUGACACUCCUUAACCUCUCUUUCAGCAAUUUCACGGGGUCAAUUCCUGCCUCACUAGGUAACAAUAUUAACAGUCAACUCGUCUUUCCCUAAUCUUUCGGAUUUGGAUUUAUCGGCUUGUAAUAUAAGUGAGUUUCCAGACCUCUUGAGAACUCAACAUCAAUUAGAGUGGUUGGACCUUUCUAAAAACCAAAUCCGUGGUAGGGUUCCCAGUUGGAUGUGGGAUAUCGGAGUACAUACUUUGUAUUACCUAGACCUUUCACGAAACUUCCUGACAAGCAUAGACCAUCUUCCGUGGAAAAAUCUGGAAUCUCUUCGCCUUGAUUCGAACCUACUUCAAGGAUCACUUCCAGAUCUACCACCUCACAUGGUAUCCUUUUCAAUUUCCAACAAUAGUUUGACUGGAGAGAUUCCUUCAUCAUUCUGUAAUUUGAGUUCCAUUGAAUAUCUUUUCUUAUCCAACAAUAGCUUGAGUGGACAAAUUCCACAGUGUCUUGGAAACUCUACACUUGAAACUUUGGAUCUCAAAAUGAACAACUUCCAAGGCACCAUCCCACAGACAUAUGCAAAGGGCUGCAACUUGACUUCUCUUUGGCUGAGUGGCAAUCACUUGGAGGGACCAUUACCACCAUCUUUGAUUAACUGUGUCGAUUUGUCAGUCCUUGAUGUUGGGAAUAACAACUUGAGCGGCCCAAUUCCAGAAUAUCUUGGAAACUCAACACUUGAAGUCUUGGAUAUGAGAAUGAACAAGUUCAACGGCGGCCUCCCUCAAACAUUUGCAAAAAGUUGUCUUUUGGUAAGUCUUAACCUUAAUGGCAAUCGGUUGAAAGGACCAUUGCCUCCAUCUUUGGUUAAUUGUCAGUAUUUGGAAGUUUUAGAUGUUGGGAAUAAUCAGAUUGAUGAUACGUUUCCCUACCGGUUAGACUUUCUUCCUGAAUUGCAAGUUCUUAUAUUGCGUUCUAAUAGAUUUUGGGGUCCUAUCGGUGAUACCAAAACAAGAGUUCCCUUUCCCAAGUUGCGAAUAAUUGAUUGCUCUCACAAUCAACUCACCGGUGUUUUGCCACUAUGGUAUUUGCAUAGUUUUAAAGCCAUGAUGCAUGGGAAUAACAAUAGUGUUGAAGUCGGUUAUAUGAGGUUGCCGGGUUCUUCUAAUUACUAUGAAUCAAUAUCUUUGACUGUGAAAGGCAAUGACUUACAAAUGGAGAGGAUUUUAACAACUUUUGUAACUAUUGAUUUGUCCAGCAACAGAUUUCAAGGGAAAUAUCAGAAGUGUUGGGAAAGCUGAAUUCACUCGAAAGUCUCAACAUUUCUCACAACAACCUGAAAGGUGGUAUUCCUUCAUCGCUGAGAAAUCUGACAGAGCUUGAAUCUCUAGACCUCUCUUCAAACAAGCUUGCUGGAUGUAUCCCAACACAACUGGCGAGUCUCAAUUAUCUUUCGGUGUUGAAUCUUUCGAACAACCAGCUCGAGGGACCCAUACCAGGAGGACCCCAGUUUAAUACAUUUGGAAAUGAUUCCUAUUCUGGUAACUCGGGUCUGUGUGGAUUCCCAUUAUCAAAAAGCUGCAGCAUUGAUGAGGCACCAGAACCAACAACACCAACAGGAUUUAUCGAAGGAGACGAUGCUUCAAGCUGGUUUGAUUGGAAGCUCGCUAAGUUGGGUUAUGCAUCUGGAGUGGUGAUCGGCUUGUCCAUCGGAUACAUGGCAUUUGUGACUGUAAGAAUGAUCGAAAGGAAGCAAUCCAAGAAGCUGAGAAGGGUGAUCAGACGAGGCAGAGCAAGUAGAAGAAGUUUGUAGAUGCAUCUCUAAAGGCCCAGGUGAGUAAUUAUUAAGUGGGUGCAUUGCUCUUCUUGGAGAAAAUGUAUUAAAUGAAAUCCCACACACCUGCCAAUGGGCUUGUACAACGUUGACGGCACUGAUACUCACACAUCUGAGGGUUUAAAGUAAUUUUCGUAGAUCUUUUAUUGUAAUAUAUGUAUCUAUAUUUCAAAAGGAAGAAACCACCGUCAUCGAAAUUUAAUUAAGAAAAAUCUGCACUUUUUCAUAUAUCAACUUUUUUUCGUUUUGUAGAAACAAAAAUAAUUAUGCGUAAAAUGAAACCAAACGGCCAUUAAAUUUAGAGGGGUUUUCUUAGCGAUGCCAUACCUUAACAGCAGUCCCCACGUACGGCGCGGCCCAUGAUUCCACUUAUAACACGUUCUCAAGAUAAUUGAUUGGGUGUAAAAAGAAAAUGGUUUGAAUAAUUGAAAAAACAUAGGUCCCAAAUCUCUAACCUUUUAUGAUCCUUGUUCAAACGGCCCAGUACGUGCCACCUCAACAUGUGCAAACUCAUCCACGUCACCAGCCUCAGCGCUCUCGCCACGUCAUCACUCGAUGAUCAUUUGGAUGAUCAUUUGGAUUAAGAAAAACAGUUGAAUUGGGUCUCGUCGGUCGUCACAGUGGCCGAGCACAAAAGACAAAGAGAAACCGAAAUGGCGCGAGCUUUGCUCCAUUUGAAUCGCACGGCCACGGCCAUAAUAGUUAUGUUGAUUGAUGUGGUUUGACUUUCAUAUGUUAUUAUUUAAAUCCCCUAAUAUGUUAAAAUUUAAAAAAACUAUAAAACUUGUUUAAAGUAAUAUAAAUAUAAAAAUUACUCUACUCACCAUCUCAACCAUAAAUUAUAUAAAUAACUAAAUUAAAUACAAAGUUAAAAAUCAUGUCUCAUUCCUUUAAAAAAUACACAUUGUGGAAUUGGGCUGCUUAAGUUGUUAUUCCUGAAAUUAAUAAACAUCAAACCGAUACAAUUAACUAAAUAUGGUGAGAAUGGUCUUUCUAGGUGAUUGUCAUUCAGCGUAAGCAUACAAAUUGCAACCUUUUUGCAUAUGAUUGUGGGAUUCUACCACAAAGAUUGUUCAUUCUAACAUCUAAGUACCCCAUUGUAAAGUUUCCAAAGCACGACUGAAGCUAUUAUUGGACAUAGAGAUGGCCACUCGCCAAUGCGAGUAUGUUUUAGAAGGGCACGUAGCAUGGUGGCACACAAAUUAACAAACUAGAUAGGGCUGAGAAUUUUAAGUAUGUGGUCCUUAAAAUCAUGUCCUUCUCUAUAUGCAACAAUGGGAAAUAUCAAAUAAUCGUGACUCAAUUAAUUGUAGCAAUAAUGAUGUAGGAGAUUAUAUGGGCUUAAUUUGGGUGUACAUCUUUGGUUUUAUAAGUUGAAUUUGAAUGUGUAAUAUAACUGUCCUGAAACUCAAUAAGAUAAUUGAUUGGGUCUAAAAAGAAAAUGGAUUGAAUAAUUGAAAUAACUUCUGUCCAAAAUCUCUGACCUUACAUGAUCCUUGUUCAAUUUAGAGUGCCUAAAGAAGCCAUUAUAAAAUUACCAAUUAUACAAAAAAAAUUUAAUUCUCUCUCUUUUUGGUUUUCAUAAGCAUUCGAAAGGCAAUCAUAUCUUUUUUUUUUUUUGAUUGAUAUGCUUUGACCACGGUAUGUUAUUAUUGUAGAAUGUCGUCAAACAUGUUAGUUCUUGGAUGCAACUAUAGAGUUGUGAAUUCAAAUAGUUAAGGCUGGAAUGCUUCCUAAUUUAGAGUGUUGCUGAGAAAAUUCUGCAUACUGGCAGGGAAAAUGGUGCCACAAUGGUCUCUACACUGAGGAAGAAUUCUUGUUUGUUUAUAAUUAAACAUAUCAUUGUUUGUCUUGGGCCAGUAUGUUGGAUUUGGAAAUAUUGGAAGCUUGCAACGAUACAAGAAUUAUUCACCGCCUGCAGACAGCUAUGAUCCAUAUAUGCGACUUUUGCAAUGUUUAUUUUUCAUAAGAAAUUCAAAUGCUACUUCAGAUUCUAUUAAUAAAUCCCGAAUCCUUGUACAUCCAAAUUUCAUUGUUUCAUGAUUCAUCAUAGUCCAAUAAAGUCUUGAGUGCUUGUACCAAUUCAAAGGUUAGUUGUGGAUCAACAAAAAGAAAUAAAAUGUAUGGGGGCUAGCCACAGGUCCUAUAUAUAUACCAGUUAAUUUUUUUGCCAAGUUAUCUCCACUGUUGGUUAUCUGCUUGAGUCUGAAGCAAUAACAUACAAAAAAUAGAAAAAAAAAUGACUAAUAUGACUAGUUAUUAUUAAAUUAGUUGUUAAAUAUUUAUUUAUUCUUAUUACGAUAAUUGAGGUAAUACAUUGCAUAUUCUUGUUUAAUUUUUAGUUAUUCCUUGAUAACGUUCAAUUUGUAUUUUUCAUUUGAAUUUUUUUCCAAAUUUUUGGGGGGAGAAAAGGUAAAGAAUGAGAGAUUAUUUAAUAAAUUGAAUUUAGAGCACAAGCACAGAAGCAUUAAGCUCCUGCUAAACUGUUGUUCGACUUGCAAGUUUUUAGAUCAAAUAAUAAAGUUUGUGCCUUGAGAAGUUAGUUCAUGGCUGGAAUGUUAUUUCUGAUCUAGAGCUAGCGUCCUGAGAAAAUUUUGCAAUGGGAAAAAGGUGCUGCAAUUGCGUCUACAUUGUUGAAGUUUUCUGAAUUUUCUGAAGUUAACAUUGACAAUAGAAGACUCAUUGGUAGGCAUUAUUCUUUUAUACUAAAUAUAUAAUUGAGUUCACAGCUAUCCAUAAAAUGGGACAGUUUUUUUUUAUUUAAUUAAGUUUUUUUUUAUUUAAUUACAAAAUUAUCUUUAUUGAAACCCAUAUAAGAAUAUUUAUACUAAUUAAUUAUAUUACUUCUUCAACUAUCAUCAAAUUCUUAUUCGAGUUCAUUAUUUAAAGAAUAAGUAUGUUAUCUAAAUAAUCUCAAAUAAUGUACUAAACAAAUAUUUUGAGGAACAAGACUCAUUUUGGCUCCUUUUUAUUAGUUAUAUCUUUAAUUUCUUAUUCAUAAAAUUCUCUCGCAUUGAACUAAAAAAGAAAAGGAGAAAUUCAGCCCACCCAAAAAAAAAAAAAAUGUUGUUAGCGUCACCAUUGAAAGGGGCUAAAUUAUGUACUGUCUGACUAGUGAAACUCUUAUCAUGUCUGCUAAUAUGCUGCUUCUGGAUCCCUUAUUCUGAUUUCCAUGGCAGUGAUGGCAGCAGAGCUUGUUCAUAUUGGUAGAAGUGAAAGCAAAUUAAGGAGAGAUAGAGAGACUAAGGUAACCAAAUAGAAUGUCCACUAAGUUUAAUAUGGUGAAGUCCUGGAUCAGUCGCUUUGCUGAAAUGAUUUCAAGUAAUCGCCCACUGUGAUUGGCAUUUUUCUCUUAUUUAAGUUUUGGUGAAAGUGACAGGAAGUGUUAAGGAGAAAAGAUCAGCCUAAUUCAAUGCCUCACUUGCUGAUCCUAUGAGUUUCAUGGCUGCGGAAAAUGUAGAAGUACUAGUUUGAAAUUUUAUAAAUUGUUCAAAAAACCUCUGUCCAAUAAAUUAUUAGGCUAAGCAACAAGACUUGGUGCUCAAAGCCUAAAAGUAAUAUAAAGACUUGGUAACUCCCUUAUUCACCGGCAUGGCAUAUCUGUUCUUGUGACUUCAAUAAGAAAGAAAGAUAAUAUGGAUUAUUUAACUCAGCUCUUAUAUUUUCAGUGGGCUUGACUGAAAUGCUCAUUAAUGACUAGAAAAAGUUAUCUUAACUUAUAAGGUGGACUUGACUGAAAUGCUAAUUAAUGACUUUGAGAAAGAAAGACUUGUUCAGGUGUUCUAUACAUACCUCUUAAUUUGGACAUAUCUUACAUCAGUAACUUUCAACUUCUCUGAUCCUUCCCAAUGUUCCCAUGAGUUUCACUAUCAUAGCCGUGGAAAAGAAGUUUGGAGUUUUACAAAAUUCGAAAAAAAAAAAAAUUAAUUAAGAUUACUGCUCCGCAAUUCAUACAGUUGACCAGGAGAAAAGAUCACUUUAGAGCCUUAUAGGGGGAAGGGAUUGAAGGAAAGAUGAUGUCUUUCUAUUUAGAGCAGGCAACUUGGCAUAAGUUUUCAGCUUAAAUUCAUACGGUUGACCAGUUACAUACAUAUAUGAUAACUUAAAAUAUCUGAGAGUUCGGGUUUCUUAUAGUAUAAACGCAUCUGCUUUUGGACAGGUUCGUGGAAAAACUAGAAUAUGUUUUCGAUUUAGUAUUGGAAUUCUAACUUUUCGCUUUUUGACCUUUCCCAUGAGUUUCGUGGCUGUUGAAAAAGUAAAAGUACGGCUUCAAUAUUUUACAAACUGUCGGAAAACAAACAACAUACCAAUAGCACCUAUGGGCCUUUGGUCCAAUGGGAGAAGCCUUACACUUACAAUGUUGAGUGCAAGAGUUCGAGUCUCCAUAAGAGUUUUAUGGGGGCUAAUUUUAGUACUCUCUCAAUUAUCAACAUAAUUGAGUGGAGACAGUCUUUCCCUUAUGAAAUGUGAGUGGAGUAGGCACCCCUCGAAUAUUAGAGAGGGUUUAAAAUAUCUGGACAACUGCUUCAGUGUGUCAAUGUAUGGCGGUGGUCCCAGUUAUAUGGUAUGAUUGUAAAUAUUAAUUGUAAUGUCUGAUGUAAUGUCAGUACCAUCUGUGUAUAACAGAUUUCAAAAAAAAAAAAAAAAAACAUACCAAUAGCAGUUUUCUGCAAAUGAACCUUUUGAAGAAUUACAGUCUGCUUUAGACCAAAGUAAAGGGUAUGAAUAAAGAAAACAGCCAGAUUUCUGAUUUGGAAUUGGAAUUGUAACUUUCACUUUUUGAUCCUUCCCACGAGUUUCAUGGCUGUGGAAAAUGCGAAAGUACCGGUUUGAAAUUUUAUAAAUUGUUCAAAAAAACCACAGUCCAAUAGAUUCCAAAACUAAAUUAUAAGGCUAAGCAAUAAGACUUGUUGCUCAAAGUCUAAAAGUAUUACAAAGACUUGGUGCCUCCCUUAAAUUCACUUCAUACUUGCACAUCAUUUUUCUUCUACUUUUAGUCAUAUCCGUUCUUGCACAUCAUUUUUCUUCUACUUUUAUUGAAACCUAUAAAACAAUUUUUAAGUGGUAAAUUAGCUAUAUCACGUCUUCAACUAUUAUCAAAUUCUCAUUUUAAAUGAUAAAUGCGUUCUUUAAAUAAUUUCAAAUGAUGUAUUAAACAAAUAUUUUGAGGAACAAGGCUCAUUAUGUCUCCUCUCAUUAGUUGUAUUUUUAAUUUCUUUUUAAAAAACUCUCUCAUAUUCAAUUAAAAAAAAAAUUCGGCCACCCAAAAAAAAAAGGUCUUUAGCUGCGCGGCUGAAUGGGGCUAAAUUGUGUAUUAUUUGACUGGUGAAACUCUUACCACAUCGGCUAAUAUGCUGCUUUUGGGUCCCUUAUUCUAACUUUUAUCAUGACAUGGCAGUAAUCGCCCAGUGUGAUUGACAUUUUUCUCUUAUUUAAGUUUUGGUGAAAGUGAAGUUCAUCCACAUAAAGUAAUAGAAAGGAUCAGGCUAAUUCAAUGCCUAGGGAUGUUACAAUCAUUUUUUAUUACUAAAUAUUUUUAAAUUAGGAUAAUGAAUUAAUGGAAUAAAAGUUUGCAUAGUCUAACAAUUGAUUUACAACAACCAGAAUCCUGAUUAAAUUCAAAAAAUAAUUAUAAUCAACAUCUAUAAGAAAAAGGAAAACGAGAAUCAUAUGUACGGAAAAUCAUUUCAUGAUGGAGGAAAAUUUACCUCAACUAUAGGAAUUUUUGUUUCUUUUAUUUUAGUUGAAACAAAAGUAGGCCCAUAAUUAUAAAGAAAAAUGGCCCACUGUCCUAUACACAUCAUUAACAAAAACUCGAAACAAAACGCGUGUAUUUUGUUUUUAUAUGCAGCAAAAGUGCUUAUCUUCCAAAUAUACAUCCCUUCCUUUCCAUUUAUUCACUUAUAUACGACAAAUCCACCUGCAUUUGUGAAUUACAAGUUCCUCAAUUUUCAAGUAUUAAAGGAGUAAAUAUGUUACUUAUAUAAUUUCAAAUGAUGUAUUAAACAAGUAUUUUGUGGGACAAAAAUCAUGCAUUGAAUUAGAGAAAAAGAAAAAAAAGAAAUUCAACCGAACACAACUAUAAGAAAUUCAAUCCUAAUAAGACAAACUGCCAGUACUGCUCAAUUCAUAAUGUUGGCAAUUUGUCAUCAACAAAAACGCGCGAUGGUAAUAUCGAAAUGGCAAAAAAAAUGUGCAUUCCACUUUUUUGACCCUUCCCAUGAGUUUCACGGGUGUUGAAAAAGUAAAAAGUAGUAGCUUGAAAUUUCACAAACUGCUGGAAAAUGCACCUUUUGAAGAAUGCAGACAAUGUUCUUUAGACCAAAAGAUACUGAUAUGGAAUUGCAAUUGAAACUCUUCCCAUGAGUUUCUGAUCCUUCCCAUGAGUUUCAUGGCUGUGGAAAAUGUGCAAGUACUUGUUUGAAAUUUUACAAAAGUAUUACAAAGAGUCGGUACCUUCCCAUGAGUUUCACGGCUGUUGAAAAAGUAAAAAGAAUGCGGAUUACACAUAUUAUCAAUAAGUAAAUGGAAGGCCGAACAACUUUUUAAACAAACUGAAACAGAAUUAAAGCAGAGGAGGGAAAAUCAAAAUGAGUAGGAUUCCACUUACCACCUAAAUUCCAAAGCAAGCAAGAAAACAGAAUUACAUACCAUAUUCAACUUCUAUAAAUAUUCAUUAUAUCUCUCUCUCUUCUUGUGAUUUCAUCAUCCAGAAAAGAAAAAGAAAAAGAAAAUGGGUUAUAUCACUCAGCCUUAUCAACUUUUUAUUUGCCUCCAGUUAUUGCUCUUCUAUUCUCAGUGUUCAGCAAUACUUUGCUCUCACCACCAAAGUUCUUCUUUACUCCAAUUUAAGCAGCUCUUUUCCUUUCAAAAAGAUUCUUCGCACUAUUGUGAAAUAUUUCAACAAAUAUCUCGUCCAAAGAUGAUGUCUUGGAAAGAGGACGCUGAUUGCUGCUCCUGGGAUGGAGUAACAUGUGAUUCGGCGACGGGUCACGUGGUUGGCCUCGACCUCAGUUGCAGUUGGCUUCACGGCAGCAUCCCUUCCAACAGUAGCCUUUUCUUUCUUCCUCGCCUGCGAAAGCUCAACCUAGCCUUCAAUGAUUUCAAUUACUCUAAAAUUUCUUCUGGUUUUACUGAUCAAUUUCCAAGUUUGACACUCCUUAACCUCUCUUUCAGCAAUUUCACGGGGUCAAUUCCUGCCUCACUAGGUAACAAUAUUACACAAGUUGCUGAUUUGGAUCUCUCAUAUAAUAGUUUUACUGGUCAGAUUCCAUCAUCUUUUUCAAAUCUCCACCAGCUUCGUCAUUUAGAUCUUCAGUCCAAUAACUUUGUUGGUAAAAUUCCUGCAUCACUAGGUAACAAUAUUACACAACUUGCUUAUUUGGAUCUCUCAUAUAACAGUUUUACUGGUCAGAUUCCAUCAUCUUUUUCAAAUCUUCAGCAACUUCAUCAUUUAGAUCUUCGGUACAAUAAGUUUGUUGGUAAAAUUCCGGAUAUGUUUACCAAGCUAACCCGACUAUCUUUUUUAGGCUUGGCAUAUAAUGAACUGAUAGGCUCGAUUCCAAGUUCAAUCUUUGAACUUUUGAAUUUGACAGAUGUCCGUCUUUCUUUUAACAAUAUCAGUGGCAGCGUUGAGCUUUACGAUUUUGCAAAGCUCAAAAAUCUUAAAGUUCUUUCUCUUUCUAAUAUUAGUUUAUCAGUGAGCGCCAAAUUAACAGUCAACUCGUCUUUCCCUAAUCUUUCGGAUUUGGAUUUAUCGGCUUGUAAUAUAAGUGAGUUUCCAGACAUCUUGAGAACUCAACAUCAGUUAGAGUGGUUGGACCUUUCUAAAAACCAAAUCCGUGGUAGGAUUCCCAAUUGGAUGUGGGAUAUUGGAGUACAUACUUUGCAAUUGCUAAUUCUUUCACAAAACUUCCUGACAAGCAUAGACCAUCUUCCGUGGAAAAAUCUCCAAUAUCUUGCCCUUGAUUCGAACCUACUUCAAGGAUCACUUCCAGAUCUACCACCUCACAUGGCACUGCUUUUAAUUUCCAACAAUAGUUUGACUGGAGAGAUUCCUUCGUCAUUUUGUAAUUUGAAUUCCAUUCAAUAUCUUGACUUAUCCAACAAUAGCUUGACUGGACAAAUUCCACAGUGUCUUGGAUACUCUAAACUUAAAAAUUUAGAUCUCGGAAUGAACAAAUUCCUAGGUAGCAUCCCACAGACAUAUGCAAAGGGCUGCAACUUGACUUAUCUUCGGCUGAGUGGCAAUCACUUGGAGGGACCAUUACCACCAUCUUUGAUUAACUGUGUCAAUUUGCAAUUCCUUGAUGUUGGCAAUAACAGCUUGAGCGGCCCAAUUCCAGAAUAUCUUGGAAACUCAACACUUGAAGUCUUGGAUAUGAGAAUGAACAAGUUCAGCGGCAGCCUCCCUCAAACAUUUGGAAAAAGUUGUGUUUUGGAAAGUCUUAAACUUAAUGGCAAUCGGUUGGAAGGACCAUUGCCUCCAUCUUUGGUUAAUUGUCGACAUUUGGAAGUUAUAGAUGUUGGGAACAAUCAGAUUAAUGAUACCUUUCCCCACUGGUUAGACAUUCUUCCCGAAUUGCAAGUACUUACAUUGCGUUCUAAUAGAUUUCGUGGUCCCAUUGGUGAUACCAAAACAAGAGUUCCUUUCCCCAAGUUGCAAAUAAUUGAUCUCUCUUACAAUCGAUUCACUGGUGUUUUGCCAAUAUGGUAUCUGAAUGGUUUUAAAGCCAUGAUGCACGGGGAUGACAAUAGUAUUAAUGUCAAUUAUAUGAGGUCGGCGAAUUAUUCUUACUAUGAAUCAAUAUCUUUGACUAUGAAAGGCAACAACAUACAAAUGGAGAGGAUUCUAACAACUUUUGCAACUAUUGAUUUGUCGAGCAACAGAUUUCAAGGGGGAAUAUCAGAAGUGUUAGGAAAACUUAAUUCACUCAAAGGUCUCAACAUUUCUCACAACAACCUGACAGGUGGUAUUCCAUCGUCGCUAAGAAAUCUGACAGAGCUUGAAUCUCUAGACCUCUCUUCAAACAAGCUUGUUGGACAUAUCCCAACGCAACUGGCGAGUCUCAAUUAUCUUUCGGUGUUGAAUCUUUCGAACAACCAGCUCGACGGACCCAUACCACUAGGACCCCAAUUUAAUACUUUUGGAAAUGAUUCCUAUUCUGGUAACUCAGGGUUGUGUGGAUUCCCAUUAUCAGAGAGCUGCAGCAUUGAUGAGGCACCAGAACCAACAACACCAUCAAGAUUUCUCGAAGGAGAUUAUGCUUCUAGGUGGUUUGAUUGGAAGUUUGCUAAGUUGGGUUACGCAUCUGGAGUGGUGAUCGGCUUGUCCAUCGGAUACAUGGCAUUUGUGACUGGAAGGCCACAAUGGUUUGUAAGAAUGAUCGAAAGGAAGCAAUCCAGGAAGCUGAGAAGGGUGAUCAGACGAGGCAGAGCAAGUAGAAGAAGUUUGUAGAUGCAUCUCUAAAGGCCCAGGUGAGUAAUUAUUAGUUUGUCUUUUAGAAUUAUAAGCUAGUUUCUACUGUUCUUUGAGUAGAUGGCAUGCUGAUAUUAUCGUAACCUAACAGUUGACUUACAAAAACCACAAUACUAAUUAAUUUCGGAUUAUGUUUAUUAUCAACAUCUAUAGUGAGAAAGGAAAUUUUAACUGAUUUAUUGAUGUGGUUGUUUUCUUCAGGAAUUAUAAACUCCUGGAAGCUAGCAGUGGAAGUCAAAUAAUCCUCCAGGUACUGAAAUUGUUUUUACUUAAAUUUCAAUUUCAUGAAAUUGUUUUUACUUUUAUUGCCAUUUCAUUAGAACAUGCUAUCACGGACGUAUUUCUUGAUGGUAAAAUGAUUUGAAGUAAUAUUGUUGCAGGAAAUCUUGUGGGGGGUAACUUUGGUUUGUUUUAUCUCGGAACACGUAUUUCAAAUUUGGGCGUAGAACGUACUAUAUCAAAGUUUGAGAGCAGAAAACAUUCUUAUUAAGUGGGUGCAUUGCUCUUCUUGGAGAAAAUGUAUUAAAUGAAAUCCCACACAUCUGCCAAUGAUGUAUUAAACAAGUAUUUUGUGGGACAAAAAUCAUGCAUUGAAUUAGAGAAAAAGAAAAAAAAAGAAAUUCAACCGAACAGAAUCUCGUUGUCACAAACUGCCAGUACUGCUCAAUUCAUAAUGUUGGCAAUUUGUCAUCAACAAAAACGUGCGAUGGUAAUAUCGAAAUGGUAAAAAAAAUGUGCAUUUCACUUUUUUUACCCUUCCCAUGAGUUUCACGGGUGUUGGAAAAAGUUAAAAAGUAGUAGCUUGAAAUUUCACAAACUGCUGGAAAAAUGCACCUUUUGAAGAAUGCAGACAGUGUUCUUUAGACCAAAAGAUAAUAGCCAGCUAGAUUUCUGAUCUGGAAUUGGAAUUGCAACUCUUCACUUUUUGAUCCUUCCCAUCCCAUGAGUUUCAUGGCUGUGGAAAAUGUGCAAGUACUUGUUUGAAAUUUUACAAAUUGUUGAAAAAACGGCUCAGUGCUCAAAUUCUAAAAGUAUUACAAAGACUUGGUACCUUCCUUAAAAAAGAACAAUAAGACUUGGUAUCUUCCUUAAAUUCAUAAAUUCACAUUAUACUUAAAUUCACAUUAUAAACUACCUUCCUUCCCAUGAGUUUCACGGGUGUUGAAAAAAGUAAAAAAUACAAACUGCUCAAUUUAUAAUGUCGGCAAUUUGUCAUCAACAAAUUAAAACUUGCGAUAGUAAUAGUUUUAAUAAUUCAAUUAUUUUUUCCACUUUUUUGACCCUUCCCAUGAGUUUCACGGGUGUUUGAAAUUUUACAAACUGCUGGAAAAUGGAAGGUCUAACAUCUUUCUGAACAAUCUGAAAUAGACUUCGUGCAGACUUGGUGCUCUGACUCUAAAGGUGUUCUAUUUAAUUAGAUUCCCCUCUAGUGGUGUGAUUAAAAGAGAUGGAUAAAAAAGGUUAUUUUAACUUAUGAGGUGGACUUGACUAAAGUGUUCAUUAAUGACAUGACGUUGAGAAGGAAAGACUUAUUCUCUACGUACCUCUUAAUUUGGGCAAUCGUAUAUCAAUAAUUUUCAAUUUUUUUGAUUCAUCCCAUGGGUUUCAUUAUCAUAGCCGUGGAAAAAAAGUUGAAGUUGUUUGGAGUUUUGCAAAAUUAGCCACAAAUUCAUGCAUCAACUAGAUUCCAAAACAAUAUCAUCAGGCUCAGUAUAACAAAGGACCUGGUGCAUGCUCCAACUCCAAAUGAAUUAUAACUUAGGGAGUGAUCUUAGAGGAAAGCUCAAUUUCCUAACAGAAUCUAACUUAGGGAUGCGAAAAAAAUGUGAGUCUAGCUGGCUGUUACAUCUCUUUUCACAUACAUAAAUAAAUAUCAACAUUGUUAUUAAUUAGAUACAGCUUCAGCUUUGGUACUGGUUUCUGAAAAUUGGAAAAAUUGGAAAAAAGCUCCUUUUGAAGAAUCAAAGUCCACUGUAAAUAAUAAUCCCCAUCAAUAUUUAAUGCUUGUUACUGACUCUCAACCAGCGGCUGCUUUCAGAAAGAAAGACUUCAAUUGUCCCCAAGGGUCGAAAAGUAUUACAUGAUUGAUUAGGUUGCCCACUUUACUUCCACUUCAUGGUAGUUUCUCUUCUUGUGAUUUCAUCAGGAAAAAAAAAAAGGAAGAAAAGAAAAGAAAAGAAAUGGGUUAUAUCACUCAGCCUCAUCAACUUUUGAUUUGCCUCCAGUUAUUGAUCUUGUAUUAACGAGUCUAUAUAUCAUUCAAUUAACUAAACACACUUUGGAGAACAUACAACUGAAAUCAUUUUCACCCAAUGACCUAGCAAAAAGCUACUAUUCAGCAUAGAGAUUACACACAUAUAUGGUAAACAAUUAAGAGUAAAUGGAAGGUCUAACAACUAAUUGGAAUUUUGCAAAACUAGCGACAAAGGCACCAAUAAAUUAGACUCCAGAACAAGAUUAUGAGGAAAAAAGUAGAGAAGUUAGGAAAGUUAGAGAUAAUAGGUAAUAAUCCAAUUAGAAAAGAUAAUUAAAAAUAGAUAAAUUGGAAAUAAUUAAUCCAGACAAAACAAUAAAAACACAAGACUUAGAUUAUAAUUUAGAAGAUAGAAAUGAAGACUUGGUGCUCGGACUCUAAAUGUGUUCUAUUUAAUUAGAUUCCCCUAUAGUGCUGUGAGUAAAAGAGAUGGAUAGAAAAAGUUAUUUUAACUUAUAAGGUGGACUUGACUAAAGUGUUCAUUAAUGACGUGACGUUGAGAAGGAAAGACUUAUUCUCUGCAUACCUCUUAAUUUGGGCAAUCGUAUAUCAAUAAUUUUCAAUUUUUUUGAGUCAUCCCAUGAGUUUCAUUAUCAUAGCCGUGGAAAAAAAGUUGUUGUUUGGAGUUUUGCAAAAUUGGCCACAAAUUCAUGCAUCGACUAGAUUCCAAAACAAUAUCAGGAGGCUCAGUAUAACAAAGGACUUGGUGCAUGCUCUAAAAGUCCAAAUGAAUUAUAACUAAUUAGAUUAUUUCAUCAUCAAAUCAAGACUUGGGACAAUAGAAGUAAAUAUCUAAAUGGUUAUUAAUUGGAUACAGCUUCAGCUUUUGGACUGGUUUGUGGAAAUUGAAAAAAUUUGAAAAGUGUUCCUCUUGAAGAAUCAAAGUCUACUUUAUACGUGAAGAAAGGGGAUGUCAGUAAAGAUUGUUUGAGGAAAAUACUCCGACGAGACCAGACGUGAUGAGCAGAUGUUUGGUGGCAGAAGUCUGCGAGCAGGUGUGUCCUGUAAGAGCCAGGUAGCAGGGAAACAAGGGCAGGAAUAUCCUGCUCAUCCACGAGCACGUCAUCCGCGAGGCUAAUUUCCUGUAAGAAGCAUAAAGCCAUUCCUGCUGUAUUCUUGCUAAGGGUUGAUUCGAGGAGACCCGGUCAACGACAGUUGGCGAGGCAUGCUCUCCAGCCCGAGAAUCUAGGCACGAAGGCCACGCAACCACCCACGACUACGGAAAUGGGGAAUCCACGUUCGAGAGGUGGGAGGAUAACGGACGUAGACUGCGGAAAACUAGGAUUCAGAGGAAGCCUAUAAAAAGGUAGCCAACGAAUGUAAAAUGGUUAGCAAUUUUUAGAUUAGAAGAGAGAUAAAAGAAAUUCUAAAGAAGAGAAAAAUACCCAAAAGCCAUAAGAUCUGUGGCAAGCGUUCCCCGAACCUUCAUAUCUGACUUGAGCGUCGGAGGGUUUGCGCCGGGAAAACAACCGACGUACUCUGACCUGUCUGUGUGCGCAGGAACCUCUGGAGAAGAAGCUUUACGAGGAGAGAUCCUGGUCGUGGUGAAGUUGAUCGAGCAGAGACCCUGGUCAUAGAACGAGGACAACCAGAAUCUCGCAUCAACAUUUUGGCGCCGUCUGUGGGGACUCGAUCAAAAAGCUUCUGUUGAUAGUAAGAAGAGGAGUGAAGCAAGUGAAAAGCGAUGGAAACAGGGGAAGCAAUGCAGAUAACAUCCCUCGAUACCCGAGUGGAAAACAAGAAUGGCAGACAAGAACCUGUAGAGGAUCAGGAAACUGUAAACCUGGGACCAGAGAAUCCGAGAAAGACAAUCAGAAUCGGGUCGAGACUUAAGGGAGAGCAAAAGCAGGAGUUGGUGAAAUGCUUACAGGCUCAUGCAGAUGUGUUUGCUUGGACACAUGAAGACAUGCCAGGGAUUGACCCUGAGGUAGCAUGUCAUAAGCUGGCAAUAAAGAAAUGUGCUCGGGCAGUAAGGCAGAAGAGGAGGUGCUUCAACCAGGAGAGGUAUGAGGCUAUAAAUGGCGAGGUGGAGAAGCUCUUGAGAGCAGGGUUCAUUCGGGAAGUCAAUUACCCUGAAUGGAUAUCAAAUGUGGUGUUGGUAAAGAAAGCGAAUGGCAAGUGGAGGAUGUGUGUGGAUUUCACAGACCUCAAUAAGGCGUGCCCAAAGGACAACUUCCCUUUACCAAAGAUCGAUCAGCUAGUAGAUUCAACGGCUGGACACGCUCUGCUUAGCUUCAUGGACGCGUUCUCGGGAUACAACCAGAUCCCCAUGUACGAGCAGGACGAGGAGAGCACGGCUUUCAUCACUAACCAGGGUUUGUUCUGUUACAGGGUAAUGCCAUUUAGUCUCAAAAAUGCUGGGGCCACCUAUCAGAGGCUGGUGAACAAAGUCUUUAAGCCGUUGAUUGGGAAAAUCAUGGAGGUGUACAUGGAUGACAUGAUCACCAAGUCCAAAAUCCCGAAGGAACAUGUCAGACACCUCGAGGAGACAUUCGAGCUUUUAAGAAAGUAUAAGAUGAAGCUCAACCCAGAGAAAUGUGCUUUUGGGGUCGAGUCGGGGAAGUUCCUUGGAUUCAUGGUGAGUCAUCGGGGGAUUGAAGCAAAUCCCGAGAAGAUCCAGGCGAUCGUGCAGAUGAGGUCUCCUCGUAGCCUGAAGGAAAUACAAAGCCUUACGAGGAGAUUGGCGGCAUUGAGCCGGUUCAUAUCCAAGGCUACAGAUAAGUGUCAACCAUUCUUUCAAGUGAUAAGGAGGGGAAAGAAAACAGAGUGGACCCCGGAAUGCGAGGAAGCCUUUCAGAACUUGAAGCAGUAUUUACAGCAAGCCCUUCUGCUAUCCACACCAAGGGAUGGGGACAAGUUAUUUUUGUAUCUGGCGGUAUCGGAUCGGGCCGCCAGCUCUGUUCUGGUGAGAGAGGAAGAAGGAGUUCAGUAUCCAAUAUACUACACCAGCAAGGCCCUGCUCGACGCUGAGACCAGAUACCCACCAUUGGAGAAAUAGGCACUUGCCCUUGUGGUUGCUGCUCGGAAGUUGAGGCUAUAUUUUCAGGCAUUCCCAGUCUCGGUUAUAAAAAACCAGCCAUUGCGUCAAACUCUGCACAAGCCUGAUGCUUCUGGUUGGCUCGUCAAGUGGGCUAUAGAGCUGAGCGAGUUCGACAUAGACUACAAACUCCGAGCAGCGAUAAGGGCUCAAGCAAUGGCCGAUUUCGUAGCAGAAUUCACAGAGCCUGGAGUAUGUUUAGACCAACAAGAUGUAGUUGCAGACAGUGGCGAAGCUCAAGUAUGGCAAAUGUCUGUAGAUGGGUCAUCAGGGGAGCAGGGAUUGUAUUGGAAGGCCCGAAGGGGGAGGAGAUCUCUUAUGCUGUAAAGUUAGAAUUCGCAGCAACAAAUAACCAGGCAGAGUAUGAAGCCUUGAUAGCAGGAUUGGAACUGGCUAAGGCCGUGAGAGCAGAUAGAGUGAAGAUCAGAACUGAUUCCCAGCUGGUUGCGAAUCAUGUCAGUGAAAGAUUCCAACCAAGAGAGGAGAAGAUGGAGCAGUACUUGAAGAUAGUCAGGCAGAUGAUGGGAAAAUUCGAAGCGGUGGAGGUAGUUGUUGUGCAAAUUUUAAUGUACUCGCAAGCGCACGAAUCUAUUGUAGUAUAGACUAAUGGUGACGAGUGUCGAUCCCACGAGGAGGUGGAUUUUAAUUAUGUGUAGAAUUAAUUUUGUAAAUGGGUAGUUGGAUUUAUGGUGGAAGUGAUUUGAAUUAUCCUAAAAUUGGAAUUGAAAUUGCGAUAAUAAAUUCUAAAAUUAGAAUUGUAAUUGCGGGAAUAAGUUGAAGCGAAAUCUAUUGAAAUGACGUACUUGGGUAUUUGGAUCCGUAUCAACAUGCAUCAUGGGCUAAAUAAUCCGUAUUAAUGCCAAUUAAAUCAUGAGGGGGGAAUCCACACCUCAUGAACCACGCUCUAAUCAAUAUGGUGCUAAGGGCUUAUCGUGCCAAAUAAUAAUAACCUUAUACUAGAGAGCCGGUGUAACCAAGGCGGUAUCUAGACAAGAUCAGUAUUAUUUGUCGACGAUAAGUCAAAUCAUCCACAAAAACUAGAGGGGAAAAGAAAAUAAAUUUACCAAUAAAGCCCAUGACACAUGUUGAGACUUCACCUUCAACCCAAGCUUGAAAAGAAAUUAGCUACUCAUAAUUGAACUAGGGGCAAAAUGGGAAUUUAUUAAAAUAUAAAGAAAAUACAAGAUGGAGAGGGAAUUACAGAAAAUGGAUCCCAAAAAUGGAUUCAGAGAUAUUAAAUUAGGGGGGGGAGGCCCCCUUUUUAUAGAUACAUGGAGUAAAUCAUGGCCAUCGGAUUAAAAAUAGUUUGGACGCUCAGGAUUGCGCCACGUCAUCAGUCAACAGUCCACGGUUUGACCACGCGGAUGAACAGUAACACGGUUUGACCCGGAUGAACAGUAACGCGGUUUGGUUGAAAAUAAUCCUGUGUGAUGCAUGCACCGUACGCGAGAUUUUUCGUCCACUGAUAUGCUGCCACGUCACCAUCAACAGUACAUAAGAAUUUUAGUCCAACAGGAUCGUGACACCUCAUCAGUCAAUGCCACAUCAUCGGUCAAUGCCACGUCAUCGAUCCGUCUAUGUGAACAGUGCCGUGAACAGUAACAUAUACAGUACCGUAUACGUGAAUAGUACCGUACAUGUGAAUAGUGUCAUUUUUCCUUUUAUGCCCCUCCUAAGGUUUUCGAUCGUCCUGAGUUCAAAAGUGAUGUCCGUUUUGCCAUCUGAUCUCUCCUUUAUUGUGAAAUGACUAUAAUGCCCCUAAAAUACAUAAAAUACUUAAUUAAAAUAAAAGACAUGUAAUUAAAUCACAAGAAGGUUAAAUACAUAAAAGUAAGGGUUGUUAAUAAGACUUGAAAUGUAAAAUGACGGUUUUCUCCUUUAUAAAUAUGUAUUUUCUAACACUCAACACACCCCCCAACCAGCUUAUUGCUAGUCCCUAGCAAAUAAAGCGAAAACAAAAUUCAAAUUCAAAAUGAUUUUUUUUUUUUUUUUUUUAGAAACACUCGUGUUUAUUCAAUCAGAUUAAUGAUAGCAAUCAAAUAAAAGUAUAAGCAUUAUCUCCAGUCUAAAGCAACAUCACACCCACAUCAACCAUCCACAUGAAUUAGCCCAGUAGACUUUGUUAUAGCUACUUUCAAGAAUGACAUGUCAAACCCCAAAAUCUCACUGGAAGUAGUGACACUCUCACAAAGAAAUUAAAACCCAAUAAACAUAGUCACUCCAAUGAAUGGUAAUUGAGAGAGAAAAUAAUAAAGAAAUGAUAUCACAUGCUCUCACCAAGAUGAAAUAAAUAUGCUCUCAGCUUAGAAAUAAUACGAUCUCAAGUCAAAUAAAAUGUUAGUCAACCCACUUUAUUUAUCUUUUUUUUUUUAUUAUGCAUCACUACAUCUUUUUAGCCCAUAUAACUAGCUUCUACUUCAAACUAUAGUUCCCUAAAAUCAAGAAGGACUUUUAUUAGGACGUAACGUAGGCUAGGGAUAUGGCUAACAAAGAAAGGAAAUAAGGAAAACAAAGUGUAUGUUUGAGAAAAAUGCAGAAAUUUUUUUUUUUUUUUUUUGGAACUUGCAAGGUGGAUUUCACCUAUUAUUGUUAUUUUUAUUCUUUUGAAACAACAACUUUUGUUUUUGUUUUUUUUUUCUUUUUGCUUUUAUUUGGCAUAACUUCACUGAACAACAUAAUUAUUUACAUUUUCUCAAACAUAAAUAGGUGAUGGAACUUAUAAGACAUCGGGUAAUACUCCAAAUCGGAGUGGGUCAAGAUGAUAAGUUGACAAAGAAAAUGUUUUUGUUCUUUUUUUUUUUUUUUUUUUUUUUUAAAGGCUCAAAAGGGGUAACUAUGGAUAUUUAAUAAAAGGGAUGGCUAGAAAGGCUCAAACGGAUCAAAGAUGGCCUUUCCAUCGUUUUUUAGGGCUCUAAAUAAUUAUCCAUAUCUACUAGUUAGAUGGGCCUUCCAAUGUAGCAACACACAUUUUUUUCUUUUUUCUUUUUUUUUUUAAUUUUACCAUAUUUUUUUUUUUAAAGGGUUAACUUAAAAGAAAUCUAGAGAUCGUGUAUAAAAUAAUAAACUGCUAAGCUGUAUAGAGAAUGGGCAAAAGGGUUACUCUCCAAGAAAAUGAUAGGCUCAACAACUCACUUGGCACUUAUUUAUGACAUGUUCAUUCCUUCAAGCAACUCAUAUUUGUCUCCGACAUCAACAUGUAAAGUAGCAAACAUAGCGUAACAUCACUUAAGACCAAAGAUAAUACAAAUACUAAAAUUUGAAAUUAAUCAUGUCAUCCAAUGUUAAAACAAAUAACACAAAUUUUUUUUUUUUAAACAACAUUCUACCCCCCAACCUAUUCUAAACAUGAAAGGAAAAUAUGCAUGCAGAAAUGUGAAAAUGAUGUAGAAAAAUUAAUUAGAAAAAGAAUUUUUUUUUUUUUUAAACUAAGAAGAUGCGUUUCUAGAGGCACUACACUCCAUAUUCAGCCAUCUUCGACUCAAAAAUUUGAAACUACAUAUUUAUAAAGGAGAAAGAAGAAGAAAACGGUUUUUUUUUUUUUUUUUUUUUUAAACGAUGAAGAUGCGUUUCUAGAGUAACUACACUCCAUAUUCAGCCAUCUUCAACAUAAAAUGUUAGCAACAGUUAGUUUCUACAACAAAAAAUCAGUAAAAACUUAACCAAGAUUCCACAAUUGUCGACUAUUCCCUCCUCCCAACCAGAACGAAACAUUGUCCUCAAUGUUUUAAAGGAAAGAAGUAGAGUUUAGAAGACAUCACCUGGGUGGUGCAACACAGAAGAAAAUAUUUACAGGCGGAGAGUUAAAUCUAAUUUGUACUUCUUACUGCGGCUACUGUUACCAUCAUUAUUUGGUCGCUCCAACACAAAGGUCCAGGGGUCUGGCUCCGGUUUAUAAGCUUGUAACAUAUCAAGUAGCUCAUUAGCAGUGUGAGCACAAAUAAAGAGUUUUUUCACAUUAGAAGGAAUGAAAUAGUUUUUUAUUGCAUGGUUAAGAAAUGCGAUAAAGCCAUCAUAAAAGUUAUUGACAUUUAACAAACCGAUGGGUUUCUGGUGGAUGUGCAGAUGGGCCCAAGAUGCUAGUGUCAUAAGUGCCUCUAGUGUUGCAAGAUCUCCUGGAAGGAAAAUAAAAGCAUCAGCAUGAUUAAGCAUUUCAGUUAUUCUUUCUUGCAUACCUGAGACGACUAACUCUUCUCCAGUUGAUGAGUCAGACGAACUGCCCAAUGGUUUGAGGACUCUUGGGAUGAUGCCUAACACUUGACUUCCUCUGAUAAAAGCUGCUUCUGAGACCAUUUUUGAUAACCCUCGGUUACCUCCUCCAUACACCAAAUGUAAUUUUCUCGCUGCUAUGCUUCGACCAAGAUCUAUGGCUGCCUCCACGAACUCUUUAUGUUUGCCAUAGGUAAAUCCAGAAAGCACACAAAUGUUCUUGAAUUGUCUAUUGGGAGUAGCUGCCAUUGGAAUAUUUCUCAAAAAUAAUUUGUGAGUGCUUAACAAAAAGUCAUAUUUAAAAGUCUUGGUGACAGUGGGUCACAGUUGUGUAUGAGGUAACAUGUCAGUGUCAAAUAACGCAUAAAGCGCGUGGCUCGCGAGUCAAAAAGGAAACAGUAAAAAGGAAAAACAAACAGUAAUAAAAUUAUUAAAGGCAAUAAUGCAAUAAAACAAAAGUGAAAUGAAAUAAAAUAACAGUAAAGUAAAAGGAUAUUUACACGUAGUUGCGACUGUGGCUCACAUCUUCCUCUGGUUUUACGUCCAGAAACGGCUUGAACGCCCUCUAUGGGUCGAGGAUGGGCUUCCCAUCCAGUUUUCUUAUAAACUGGCAAACAGGGUCGUUUAUAGUCAGAUUCCCGAGACUAUAUCGUGCAUGCUCUUUUUGGAAUAAUGGCCAUAACUGGAGAAUCGCUCCUUGCACAUAUCCACUGGGAUGCGUUUCAAGAGACAAAAGGAUAUCAUCCAAUGACUCCUUAUUCAAGCCAUCCCUAAUGAAUUGAAUCUUAUCUUCCCUGUUAUCAGACACCAUUCCUAAAGAACAUGGGUUUUUAUCGCAACUCAUUCUGGCACACUUAUGACAAGCAACAGAAAUUCUUCGAGCUCGUCGUUUUCUUGCAUAAUUUCCUUUACCACAACCAGGCAUGUAUGCAAUAAAUUUAGGAGGUAACUCACCUGCCAAUCGUACUUUAGCCUCGAUUAACCAACGGAUGUCUGCAGGUAUGUUAUUCUUCAUGAGCAAUCGCAUGCGUUCAGACCGGGCUUUAUAGAUCGUAAGGAGGGCAUUCUGAGGAAGUGAAGGGAAUCGCUUGUGAAGCUUCGCUAGAAUCUCAUUUCUGUCCAUACCUUCGCCUCAGAAUAUCAGUUAUUAUGGGAAACUGAAGUUAACCGACUUGAUUGUCACGGAGUACCGUUAUCCGCCACUUCACCGGGGUAACAAACUAAAGCACACAAACAGAAAAACAAAUUAAAACACACAAAGAAAAUUAAAAUCGUCCUCUUAUUGAUUUUACCUCAAGCUCCAACUGGAUGUCGUAAACACUUCUCUCAAUGUCUCUGAGUUGGCGUUCUAAACCCUCAACAUAGGCCACUAACUCUGGUGGUUGUAGAGCCCAAAUGCGUUGUGUUUUACAAAAUAGAAUCUGCCUUUUGAGAUGAGUUUUGACACGUUGAAGUGGUUUAAGAAUGUUCAGGAGGAACGGUCUAAGUAUGAGACUCAUGAUUAAAAAUGAUAAGAGAAAACUUAAUGGUAAAAUAAACACACUUAUGCAAAAACAAUUUCAAUUAGCAAAAGAAUAAUAAUAAAAAGAAAUAAAGAAAAAUCAAAUCAACGAAAAGAAAAAAAAAUCAAUUCAAAUUUGGUGGGUCACUCAAAUUUAUUUCGAUGUUUUCUCCAUGUGGUUGGUACUCUAGAUAUGGCUUUAAUCUUUGACCAUUAACUUUAAACGUGACACCGUUCUUUGGGUCCUUAAUUUCAAUUGCCCCAUGUGGAAAAACAGUAUGUACAAUAAAUGGGCCAGACCAACGAGAGCGUAACUUACCUGGGAAUAGGUGCAAGCGAGAAUUGAAUAAAAGCACUUUCUGACCUGGAGUGAACGAUUUUCUCAUAAUUUGCUUAUCAUGGAAGACUUUCAUUCGUUGCUUGUAAAUCUUGGCAUUUUCGUAUGCAUCAUUGCGAAUUUCUUCAAGUUCUGCCAGCUGUAAUCUUCUUUCUGAGCUGGCUUGCUGCAUGUCAAAGUUGAAUUUCUUGAUGGCCCAAUAUGCACGAUGCUCGAGUUCCACAGGUAGGUGGCAAGCUUUUCCAUACACUAGCCUGUAGGGUGACAUCCCAAUCGGGGUCUUGAAAGCCGUUCUAUAUGCCCAUAAUGCAUCAUCAAGUCGUAAUGACCAAUCUUUCCUGUCUGGCCUCACCGUCUUUUCUAAUAUGUGCUUUAUUUCUCAAUUGGAGAUCUCAACUUGGCCACUGGUUUGCGGAUGAUACGGGGUCGCCACUUUGUGUGUGAUUGAAUACUUUGUCAAAAGAGCCUUGAAUGCUUUGUUACAAAAGUGGGCACCACCAUCACUGAUUAUCGCUCGAGGGAAUCCAAAGCGUGAAACAAUGUUGCUUUUCAAAAAUCCUAUCACCACUUUGUGAUCAUUGGUUCUGCAUGGAAUUGCUUCCACCCAUUUCGAUACGUAGUCAACAGCAACCAAUAUGUAUUGAUGACCAAAAGACGGAGGAAAGGGUCCCAUGAAGUCGAUACCCCAUACGUCAAAAAUCUCAACCACUAAAAUUGGAUUUAGUGGCAUCAUGUUCCUUCGUGUAAUGAUCCCCAUUCGUUGACACCUAUCACAUGAAGAACAGAAAGUGUAAGCAUCUUGAAAUAUAGUUGGCCAAUAAAAACCACAUUGUAAAACUUUAGUCGCGGUUUUCUUAGCACUGAAGUGGCCUCCACAAGCUUGUGCAUGGCAGAAUGAAAGAAUAUUCUGAAUUUCAUUUUCAGGGACACAUCGUCUAACAAUUUGGUCUGCACAAUAUUUGAACAAAUAUGGGUCAUCCCAAAAGAAAUUCUUUAUUUCCGCAAAGAAUUUAGCCUUGUCUUGCUUGGUCCAAUGCUCUGGAAGUUUACCUGUAACAAGAUAAUUAACUAUAUCAGCAUACCAAGGUAAUACUUCCACAUUCAUUAAUUGUUCAUCUGGAAAUGACUCAUUUAAUAUUAAUGGCUCUGUAAUUGUGUCAAAAUGGAGACGAGAGAGGUGGUCCGCCACAACAUUUUCUGUGCCUUUCUUAUCCUUGAAUUCCAAGUCGAAUUCCUGCAAAAGUAACACCCAACGAAUUAGUCUAGCUUUUGCAUCUUUCUUUGUGAGAAGAUAUUUAAGAGCAGCAUGAUCUGUGAAUAUAAUUAUUUUACAACCAAUGAGAUAAGAUCGAAAUUUCUCUAAUGCAAACACUACUGCUAGCAUUUCUUUUUCAGUAGUUGAAUAAUUCAACUGUGCAUCAUUCAAUGUCAUACUAGCAUAGUAAAUAACGUGGGGAAUUCGAUCAACUCUUUGUCCUAAUACUGCUCCUACUGCAUAAUCAGAUGCAUCACACAUGAGCUCAAAUGGUAAGCUCCAGUUUGGGGCCUGAAUGAUGGGUGAUGAUGUCAACAACUGCUUUAAUUUUUCAAACGCCAUUAGACAUGAAUCAUUAAAGAUAAAAGAUACAUCCUUAGCAAGUAGAUUGCAUAAGGGUCUAGAAACUUUGCUAAAAUCUUUAAUGAAACGUCUAUAGAAACCAGCAUGCCCAAGGAAAGAUCUUACUUCUCUGACUGUUUUAGGUGGAGGAAGAUUAGAAAUGAGAUCCACCUUGGCUUUGUCAACCUCAAUACCUUUGCUCGAAAUGAUGUGACCGAGAACAAUACCUUGUUUUACCAUAAAAUGGCACUUCUCCCAAUUCAAGACUAAGUUCUUCUCGGUACAUCUCUGCAGAACUAGCGUUAGAUGAUGUAAACAUUGAUCAAACGAGUCACCAAAGACAGAAAAAUCAUCCAUAAAGACUUCAAGGAAUCGUUCAACCAUAUCAGAAAAAAUGCUCAACAUGCAUCGUUGGAAUGUAGCAGGUGCAUUACAUAAUCCAAAUGGCAUUCUCCUAUAUGCAAAAGUGCCAAAAGGGCAAGUGAAAGUAGUUUUCUCCUGAUCUUUUGGUGCUAUGGGAAUCUGAUUAUAUCCUGAGUAGCCAUCUAGAAAGCAAUAAAAUUCGUGGCCUGCUAAUCUAUCAAGCAUUUGAUCGAUAAAUGGUAAAGGAAAAUGGUCUUUACGUGUGACAGAAUUCAACUUUCUAUAAUCAAUGCAUACACGCCAUCCUGUAGUUACUCUAGUUGGUAUCAAUUCAUUAUCAGCAUUGGUAACUACUGUGACUCCUGACUUUUUGGGGACAACUUGUACAGGACUGACCCAUGAACUAUCAGAAAUUGGGUAAAUGAUACCUGCGUCUAAUAGCUUAAGGACUUCUGUUCUAACAACUUCUUUCAUAUUAGGAUUUAACCGACGUUGCAUUUCCCUAGUAGAUUUAGCAUUUUCAUCAAGGUGAAUAUAAUGCAUGCAGUCUACUGGGUUUAUACCUUUUAUGUCCGCUAUGGUCCAUCCUAAUGCUCCUUUGUGCUCUUUUAAAACAUCCAACAACUUACCUUUUUGUUCGUCAUUUAGGGAUGAUGAGAUGAUUACCGGCAGAGUACUUUCUUCUCCCAAAAAUGCAUAUUCCAGAGUGUUGGGUAAUGGUUUGAGCUCGAGUUUCGGUGGUGAUUCUGAUGAUGGAAUGAGUUUCUUCUCUGAUGGUGCUAGUUGUUCAACUCUUGACUUCCAUUUAUUAGUGUCCAUGGAUGGUGCUGAGUCAAGUAGAGCGUUGACCUCAUCAACCGAUCUGUCAAUAUCAAAAUCCAAACCAAAGUGAGUUAAACAUGUUUGUAAAGGAUCAUCACUAAGGUUUGAAAGAAAAGUAUUAUCAACUAUUGUUUCUAUUAAAUCCACAUCAACAAUUCCAUCAUCUGCACUGUGAGGUUGUUUGGCAAUGUUGAAGAUGUUUAGCUCCAUAGUCAUGUUGCCGAAGGACAAUUGCAUAUUUCCGGUCCUACAUUGAAUAUGAGCAUCUGCAGUUGCCAAGAAAGGUCGGCCUAGAAUAAUGGGGAUGUGCUUCCUUGAGUCCUGUAUUGGUUGAGUGUCAAUUACAAUGAAAUCAACAGGAAAAUAAAACUUGUCUACCUGGAUAAGCACGUCCUCCACAAUACCACGAGGUAUUUUUGUGGACCGAUCUGCAAGUUGUAACACCACUGGAGUUGGGUGUAAUUCUCCCAGUCCAAGUUUCACGAAUACAGAGUAAGGCAACAAAUUUACACUAGCUCCUAAAUCCAACAAAGCAUUCUCAAUUGUGUGGUUCCCUAUACUACAUGAGAUAGUGGGGGAGCCUGGGUCUUUGCAUUUUAAAGGAAUUUUAUGUUGGAGUAUAGAACUAACGUUUUCUGUUAAAAAUGCCUUCUUUUGAACAUGCAUAUUUCUCUUUUUAGUACAAAGGUCUUUAAGAAACUUGGCAUAAGAUGGAACUUGCUUUAUAGCAUCAAGUAAAGGGAUGUUAACACUUACCUGUUUGAAGAUUUCGAGAAUCUCACCUGUAGAUUUUCCCUUCUUUCCUUUCACUAACCUCUGAGGAAAUGGAGCUUUGGGAACGUAUUCUCGUGGGUUGGUUUCUUCUUUUUCCUCCGGUGGUGAGUCCUCAGCAUUUACAGGUACAAUUUGAUUUUCUUUUGUCACCGGCAUCUCCACUUUAUUGUCGACUUCUUUUCCUUUUCGCAAGGUCAUGAUUGCUUUGACCUCUCCAUGCUGUUGUGGUGAACUGGUACUUGCUUCAUGUACUCCUUUAGGAUUAGGCACUGGUUGACUUGGAAAUUUUCCUUUCUCAACAGUCAUUGCCAAGGUCUGAACUGAAGAAGCAAGUUGUCCCACCAUCUUCUCGAGACUUGAAACUGAUUGGGCUUGUGAGUUAAAGCCCGCUCUCAAUUCAUUUCGUAGUCCAUCAAUAGUGCGGUUCUGUUGCUCAAUCGUGGAGUGAGUAACAUUCUUGAAAUUCUGGAAUGCAUUCUCCCAUGGUCUGGGUUGAGAAUAGUUUUGGUUCUGAUUGUAUGGUCUAAAUGGUGGCUGAGAGGCUUGAGGAUUUUGAGGAAUUGGUUGCAGUGGUGGAGCUGCUGGUCCAUUCUGUUGAAAUCCUUGAGACCAUGAAAAAUUGGGGUGGUCUCUCCAUCCAGGGUUAUAUGUGUUGGAGUAUGGGUUGUAAUUAGAUGGCUUUCUCAUUACACCUAUGGCAUUAGCUUGAUCUGAGUAUGAGUCAUGGUCAUGUGGCUCUGUUGAUUUAGCAGUCGACAAUGAUGCUAUUUGUCGAGCAAGACCUUCAACCAUCUCCUUGACUUCUUUGAUUCCCGAAGUUGACUCGCCAAUUUGAACCUCAUUUACUCCCUUAAUUCUUCUAGUAUUCCUGAGUGAUCGACUCCGUUGUUGGGAAUUAUCCGCUUGUCGCUGGAAGAAUUCCCAAAUCUCUGUUGCACUUUUUGACAUUAGCUCUCCUCCACUUGUUGCCAUUAGCCAUUCUUGCACAUUCGGCAAUAAUCCCUCCAAAAAGUAUUGGCAUUGGUGCCAUUUUUCGUACCCAUGAUGUGGACACUUCAAGAGUAGCCCAUUGAAUCGCUCCCACAUUUCGAAAAAUUGCUCGUCAUCUCUUUGGGUAAACUCUGAAAUUUCCCUGCGAAUAGCAUUUGUUUUAUGCACUGGGAAAUAUUUAUUCAAAAAUUUUGUUACCAUUUGUUCCCAUGAUGAAAUGCUAUUGGCAGGCAAUAUAUUAAGCCAUGAACGAGCUCUAUCCUUUAAAGAAAAUGGGAAUAAUCUGAGUUUAACAUCAUCGUCUGAAAAAUUCUCAUAUUUAAAAGUUUGACAAAUGGCAUGACAAUCAUUCAGAUGAUUAUAUGGGUCCUCAUUUUCUAAGCCAUAAAAUGUGGGGAGACAAUUUAGCACACUAGGUUUUAAUUCAAAACUCCUAGCAGCUGCAUUUGGGUAUCUUAUGCAUGAUGUGCUCAAAUUAGCUAAGGGACUAAAAUAGUCCUUAAAUGGCCUCUCCUGUGGUGCUUGUAAAUCCAUUCCAAAUUUAUUUUUAAUGUGCUUUUGUGUGCGAAGUGUUUUUUCUAAUUCAAGGUCUAUAGGUUCAAGAUUAGGUAAUAAUGACCUACGACCAUGCAUGCAAAACAAAUAAAAUAAAAAUAAAGAUGGGAACAAAACAAAUAAAAAUAAAGAAGAGGGAGAAAUUACGAUACUAACCUUAUUGCGCUAUUACAACCUUUCUAUAAAAAUACACAAAAACAAAUACGUGAAAUAAAUUAACUAAAAAUUAAAUUAAUAAGAUAAAGAAAAAAAAUUAUAAAGAAAAAUAAAUUGAAAAUUAAAUUACAGAAUUUUAAAGAAGAGAAAAAGAAAAGAAAUACUAACCUUUAAAUGUAGAUUAACUUUUUUAUUUCUUUUUUUAUUAUUUUUUUUUAAAGAACAAAAAAAAAAUACAAGAAAACAAUUAAAUGAAAUUAUUCACAAAAAUUAAAUCUAUGAAUUAAAAUUACUUACCUCCCCGGCAACGGCGCCAAAAACUUGUUGUGCAAAUUUUUGUGCAAACUUGUUGUGCAAACUUAUUACACCAGCAAGGCCCUGCUCGACGCUGAGACCAGAUACCCACCAUUGGAGAAAUAGGCACUUGCCCUUGUGGUUGCUGCUCGGAAGUUGAGGCUAUAUUUUCAGGCAUUCCCAGUCUCGGUUAUAAAAAACCAGCCAUUGCGUCAAACUCUGCACAAGCCUGAUGCUUCUGGUUGGCUCGUCAAGUGGGCUAUAGAGCUGAGCGAGUUCGACAUAGACUACAAACUCCGAGCAGCGAUAAGGGCUCAAGCAAUGGCCGAUUUCGUAGCAGAAUUCACAGAGCCUGGAGUAUGUUUAGACCAACAAGAUGUAGUUGCAGACAGUGGCGAAGCUCAAGUAUGGCAAAUGUCUGUAGAUGGGUCAUCAGGGGAGCAGGGAUCUGGAGCAGGGAUUGUAUUGGAAGGCCCGAAGGGGGAGGAGAUCUCUUAUGCUGUAAAGUUAGAAUUCGCAGCAACAAAUAACCAGGCAGAGUAUGAAGCCUUGAUAGCAGGAUUGGAACUGGCUAAGGCCGUGAGAGCAGAUAGAGUGAAGAUCAGAACUGAUUCCCAGCUGGUUGCGAAUCAUGUCAGUGAAAGAUUCCAACCAAGAGAGGAGAAGAUGGAGCAGUACUUGAAGAUAGUCAGGCAGAUGAUGGGAAAAUUCGAAGCGGUGGAGGUAGUUGUUGUGCAAAUUUUAAUGUACUCGCAAGCGCACGAAUCUAUUGUAGUAUAGACUAAUGGUGACGAGUGUCGAUCCCACGAGGAGGUGGAUUUUAAUUAUGUGUAGAAUUAAUUUUGUAAAUGGGUAGUUGGAUUUAUGGUGGAAGUGAUUUGAAUUAUCCUAAAAUUGGAAUUGAAAUUGCGAUAAUAAAUUCUAAAAUUAGAAUUGUAAUUGCGGGAAUAAGUUGAAGCGAAAUCUAUUGAAAUGACGUACUUGGGUAUUUGGAUCCGUAUCAACAUGCAUCAUGGGCUAAAUAAUCCGUAUUAAUGCCAAUUAAAUCAUGAGGGGGGAAUCCACACCUCAUGAACCACGCUCUAAUCAAUAUGGUGCUAAGGGCUUAUCGUGCCAAAUAAUAAUAACCUUAUACUAGAGAGCCGGUGUAACCAAGGCGGUAUCUAGACAAGAUCAGUAUUAUUUGUCGACGAUAAGUCAAAUCAUCCACAAAAACUAGAGGGGAAAAGAAAAUAAAUUUACCAAUAAAGCCCAUGACACAUGUUGAGACUUCACCUUCAACCCAAGCUUGAAAAGAAAUUAGCUACUCAUAAUUGAACUAGGGGCAAAAUGGGAAUUUAUUAAAAUAUAAAGAAAAUACAAGAUGGAGAGGGAAUUACAGAAAAUGGAUCCCAAAAAUGGAUUCAGAGAUAUUAAAUUAGGGGGGGAGGCCCCCUUUUUAUAGAUACAUGGAGUAAAUCAUGGCCAUCGGAUUAAAAAUAGUUUGGACGCUCAGGAUUGCGCCACGUCAUCAGUCAACAGUCCACGGUUUGACCACGCGGAUGAACAGUAACACGGUUUGACCCGGAUGAACAGUAACGCGGUUUGGUUGAAAAUAAUCCUGUGUGAUGCAUGCACCGUACGCGAGAUUUUUCGUCCACUGAUAUGCUGCCACGUCACCAUCAACAGUACAUAAGAAUUUUAGUCCAACAGGAUCGUGACACCUCAUCAGUCAAUGCCACAUCAUCGGUCAAUGCCACGUCAUCGAUCCGUCUAUGUGAACAGUGCCGUGAACAGUAACAUAUACAGUACCGUAUACGUGAAUAGUACCGUACAUGUGAAUAGUGUCAUUUUUCCUUUUAUGCCCCUCCUAAGGUUUUCGAUCGUCCUGAGUUCAAAAGUGAUGUCCGUUUUGCCAUCUGAUCUCUCCUUUAUUGUGAAAUGACUAUAAUGCCCCUAAAAUACAUAAAAUACUUAAUUAAAAUAAAAGACAUGUAAUUAAAUCACAAGAAGGUUAAAUACAUAAAAGUAAGGGUUGUUAAUAAGACUUGAAAUGUAAAAUGACGGUUUUCUCCUUUAUAAAUAUGUAUUUUCUAACACUCAACAGUAGUACAAAUCCCAAGGGAGCAGAAUAGUCGAGCAGAUAUUUUGGCCAAGAUGGCAGCGGUAACAGACCCAAAAAUGCCAAAGUUGAUCCCUCUGGAGGUGAAGUCCAGCCCGAGCAUCGAGCUGAAUUCGGGGGUGCUGCGGAUAGAACAAAAAUGCUCGUGGAUGGACCCUAUAGUUUCAUACCUUAGAGACGGGGUAUUACCACCAGGUAAGCUGCGAGCUCGGAAGAUUAGAGCCCAGGCCUCGAGAUACACGAUGAUUGAUGGGAUACUGUAUCGGCGAGGAUAUACACUACCUUUCCUUCGAUGUUUGGAUGAGGACGACGCAGAUUACGUACUGAGAGAAGUACAAGAAGGAAUUUGCGGGAAUCAUUCUGGUGGGAGAUCCCUGGCCCACAAGGUUCUAAGGCAGGGAUAUUUCUGGCCGACAAUGCACUAGGAUGCACAUGAGAAGACCAGGAGCUGUGUAAGCUGCCAGAGUUUUGCAAGUUUCCCCAACCAACCACCAGAAAAGCUCACCUCUAUGGCCUCCCCUUGGCCAUUUUCUCAAUGGGGAAUUAAUCUGAUCGGCCCGCUGCCAAAGGGACGAGGAGCAGCAACGCAUGCAAUAGUUGCUAUAGAUUACUUCACGAAGUGGAUAGAGGUCGAAGCCCUUAGCAGGAUUACAGAGAAGAAAACGACAGACUUUGUGUGGAGAAACCUGGUCUGUCGAUACGGGAUCCCUUAUGCCUUGGUAACGGAUAAUGGCAGGCAGUUCGAUAAUCACAGCUUCAAGGAUUUCUGCCAGAACCUCGGGAUAGAGCUGAAGUAUUGCUCGCAUGCUCACCCUCAAUCGAAUGGACAAGUAGAAGCAGCCAACAAGACCAUCAAAAGACUUUUGAAAACCAGGCUUGGAGCAAAAAAAGGUACAUGGGUUGAUGAGCUGUCAGGUGUCCUAUGGGCAUACAGGACAACCCACAAAACAGCAACUGGGGAGACACCGUUCGCCCUAGCUUUCGGACAUGAAGCGGUCGUACCAGCUGAGAUAGGAACGACCACGCACCGGACAGACCAUUUCAAUCAGCAGGAGAACGACGAGCAGAUGUGUUUGAAUCUUGAUCUGCUAACGGAGAAGAGGGAGCAAGCAGCUGGUCGAUCAGCCAUUUACCAGCAAAGGGUUGCUCGUUAUUAUAACCAGAAGGUGAAUGUACGGCAAUUCAGGGUCGGAGACUGGGUACUGAGAAGAGUGAAUCAGAGCACCAAAGAUUCGACUCAAGGAGUGCUGGGACCGAAUUGGGAAGGGCCAUACAGAGUCAAGCAGGUAAUGGGACCCGGAGCUUACAAGCUGGUUCGCACGGACGGCCACGAGGUGAAACGCCCAUGGAACGCAGCACACCUCCGAAAAUAUUUCCAGUAAGACUUGUUCACAUUUGAAAGCUAUUUCUGCUCGUGUUCAUUAUCGUUUAUCUUUUAUGUUUUAUGUCCAAACAAUUUCAUGAAAGUUGAAUCCUGCCAUUAAUGGAACGUCGAGGAAUUUCAUUCGCUUGAAACUGUGAAAAUUUCCUCAGGCAUGCAAAGGCUCACUAAGUCUCAAACCCUGUUUUAUGGCGAGACAGAAGCCAAGCGUGCCAGGAUCUGCUCGACCACGAGAAGGCGAGCAGAAUCCCAAUCCUUGAAGAAUUGAAGGCAUGCAAAGGCUCAGCAAGUCUCAAAGCCUGUUUUAUGGCGAGACAGAAGCCAAGCGUGCCAGGAUAUGCUCGACCACGAGAAGGCGAGCAGACUCCAAAGCAUUCAAGAAAUUAUCAAAGGCAUACAAAGGCUCACCAAGUCUCAAAGCCUGUUUUAUGGCGAGACAGAAGCCAAGCGUGCCAGGAUAUGCUCGACCACGAGAAGGCGAGCAGAAUCCCAAUCCUUGAAGAAUUGAAGGCAUGCAAAGGCUCAGCAAGUCUCAAAGCAUGUUUUAUGGCGAGACAGAAGCCAAGCGUGCCAGGAUAUGCUCGACCACGAGAAGGCGAGCAGACUCCAAAGCAUUCAAGAAAUUAUCAAAGGCAUGCAAAGGCUCAGCAAGUCUCAAAGCCUGUUUUAUGGCGAGACAGAAGCCAAGCGUGCCAGGAUAUGCUCGACCACGAGAAGGCGAGCAGACUCCAAAGCAUUCAAGAAAUUAUCAAAGGCAUGCAAAGGCUCAGCAAGUCUCAAAGCCUGUUUUAUGGCGAGACAGAAGCCAAGCGUGCCAGGAUCUGCUCGACCACGAGAAGGCGAGCAGAAUCCCAAUCCUUGAAGAAUUGAAGGCAUGCAAAGGCUCAGCAAGUCUCAAAGUCUGUUUUAUGGCGAGACAGAAGCCAAGCGUGCCAGGAUCUGCUCGACCACGAGAAGGCGAGCAGAAUCCCAAUCCUUGAAGAAUUGAAGGCAUGCAAAGGCUCGAAAAAGUCUCAAAGCCUGUUUAUGGCGAGACCAGAAGCCAAGCGUGCCAGGAUCUGCUCGGCCACGAGAAGGCAAACAGAAUCCCAAGCUUUGAAGAAACUACCUAAGGCAUGCAAAGGCUCGACAAAGUCUCAAAGCCUGUUUAUGGCGAGACCAGAAGCCAAGCGUGCCAGGAUCUGCUCGGCCACGAGAAGGCGAGUAGAAUCCCAAGCUUUGAAGAAAUUACCUAAGGCAUGCAAAGGCUCGACAAAGUCUCAAAGCCUGUUUAUGGCGAGACCAGAAGCCAAGCGUGCCAGGAUCUGCUCGGCCACGAGAAGGCGAGCAGAAUCCCAAGCUUUGAAGAAAUUACCUAAGGCAUGCAAAGGCUCGACAAAGUCUCAAAGCCUGUUUAUGGCGAGACCAGAAGCCAAGCGUGCCAGGAUCUGCUCGGCCAUGAGAAGGCGAGCAGAAUCCCAAGCUUUGAAGAAAUUACCUAAGGCAUGCAAAGGCUCGACAAAGUCUCAAAGCCUGUUUAUGGCGAGACCAGAAGCCAAGCGUGCCAGGAUCUGCUCGGCCACGAGAAGGCGAGCAGAAUCCCAAAAUUUUGAAGAAAUUACCUAAGGCAUGCAAAGGCUCGACAAAGUCUCAAAGCCUGUUUAUGGCGAGACCAGAAGCCAAGCAUGCCAGGAUCUACUCGGCCACGAGAAGGCGAGCAGAAUCCCAAGCAUUGAAGAAUUUUUAAAGGCAUGUGGCAAAACCAUGUGCCAAGCCAGAACCUGCUCGACCAGACAAAGACGAGCAGAUUCUCAAACGAAAAAUAACUCAUGAUUACAACACAAGAAAGUAAUCAAAAACAUCUUUAUUAAUUUGUUAAUAAUUAACAGAGGAGAUAAUCUUCACAAACAUUGUUCAUUACAAUACAAGAAAUAUAUCAAGAAGAUGGUGGAUCAGUAAGCCGAGCAGCAUCGGUUGGCUGGACCUCCUCAGGUGCAGGGGGGUAUCACCAGUUGCGUCUGGGGGGGUGCUCGCCUCGCCAACAUCAGCAGGUACUGCACGAGGAGGAGAGUUUUCCUCCUCAAUCACGAUCGGCUCUACCCCUUCAGCGUCUUCCUUGGCCGCCUCCUCGUCCAUAUGUUGAGCAACACCAGCUGCAAGGUCAUCCAUCUUCAGAUCAGGGUGUUGCUUCCCGAGGACGGCCAUGAUGCAACGAUAAGAAUGCCGAAGUCCCUGGUCGUACUGGUUGUCAGCCUCUUUCUCUAAGUUCUCGACCUGAACCCGGUGGGAAUCACGGAGAGAUUCGAGCUGAGCCUCAUACAUAGCCUUCUGCCUUUGAAGAUCCUCCUUGACCUUGGUCAGCUCCUCCUCGAGGCCUUUUCCAGUCCCACGCGACCAAGAACCGCUAAGUUUCUACUGCUGGUCCAUUACAUUACCCAACACCAGAAACUGGGGGACCGGUGUUUAAGGGAAAUACUCCGACGAGACCAGACGUGAUAAGCAGAUGUUUGGUAGCAGAAGUCUGCGAGCAGGUGUGUCCUGUAAGAGCCAGGUAGCAGGGAAACAGGGGCAGGAAUAUCCUGCUCAUCCACGAGCACGUCAUCCGCGAGGCCAAUUUCCUGUAAGAAGCAUAAAGCCAUUCCUGCUGUAUUCUUGCUAAGGGUUGAUUCGAGGAGACCCGGUCAACGACAGUUGGCGAGGCAUGCUCUCCGGCCCGAGAAUCUAGGCACGAAGGCCACAUAACCACCCACGACUAUGGAAAUGGGGAAUCCACGUUCGAGAGGUGGGAGGAUAACGGACGUAGACUGCGGAAAAUUGGGAUUCAGAGGAAGCCUAUAAAAAGGUAGCCAACGAAGGUAAAAGGGUUAGCAAUUUUGAGAUUAGAAGAGAGAUAAAAGAAAUUCUAAAGAAGAGAAAACUACCCAAAAGCCAUAAGAUCUGUGGUAAGCGUUCCCCGAACCUUCAUAUCUGACUUGAGCGUCGGAGGGUUUGCGCCGGGAAAACAACCGGCGUACUCUGACCUGUCUGUGUGCGCAGGAACCUCUGGAGAAGAAGCUUUACGAGGAGAGAUCCUGGUCGUGGUGAAGUUGAUCGAGCAGAGACCCUGGUCGUAGAACGAGGACAACCAGAAUCUCGCAUCAACAAAGAUAAUCCAUCAAUAUUCAGUUACAUUCGAGCGUGUUGACUACUUUCAGGAUGAAAGACUUCUAUUGUCCCAAGGAGUUUAAUCCACUGACCAACAUGAGAUUCCAAAUCAAGACUUGGUUCCCUAAGUCAAUAAGUAUCGAGAGGUCACACACGCAUUUCCGUGAGACCUCGCUGAGUUUUGCGAAGUCCAUACACACAGCUGCAAACAGCGUAAGUUGAUGUAAAAUGUUUAUACAACUUUCAAAUGAAAUCAAUACAAUCAUGCAAGUGAAAUCAAUACAUGCUGAAUAGCUUACCUCAGAAUCUUCACCUACUUACGCGAGAAUGUUUAGAACCUUUGAGGAUGCAAGGCCAGUUACACUCCCCUUAUGAACAAAUUCAGUGGCAGCCUUCCUCAAACGUUUGCAAAAAGUUGUGUUUUGACAAGUCUUAACUUUAAUCGCAAUCGUUUGCAAGGACUGAUGCCUCCAUCUUUGGUUAACUGUCGGCAUUAUAAGCUGGUUUAUGUAUUGUUCAUGGAGUAGAUAACCAACUGAUAUGUUUCAUAUUCUAACUGUUGAUUUACAAAAAUCACAGCCCUGAUUAAAUUCAAAUUAUGCUUAUAAUCAGCAUCUAUAGUCUAUAGAGAGAAAGAAAAUGAGGGUCAUAUAUAAGAAAUCACUGAUAGGAUGUGUUCUCUUGAUCAGGAAUUUUAGACUUUUGGAAGCUAGUAGUGGAAGCCAAAUAUUCUCCAGGUACCAAAAUAUGUUUUGCUUUCAUUUCCAUUGCAUCAGAACGUGAUACCACACACUUACAUUUUGAUGGUUAACUUGAUCAAAAUUUUCAGGAAAAAAAAUUAUUUUUAAAAAUAAUUUUGAUGUAAGGAAAUGAUUUGGGAUGACAUUCAUUUGGUGCCAUUUAGGCCACAUUUUUUCAAUUGGGCGUAUGGUAUAUACUUUUUCAAAGCUGGUAACAAGAUGAACAAUGUUGCCCAUUUGCCUUUGACUCUGAUGUCCGUGGGGCUUUUACAAAAUUGUACCAUUUCAGGACUCUAAAUCGCAUUUGAAGUUAGUUCAGAUUCCAGCACUCCGGGAAACUUCUAAGAUUUGUACUUUACUACUUUUAUUUUCAUAACCAAUACUUCCGUUUGUAUUUUUAAUUAAUUUCAGUUUAAACCUUAACCUUCUCCCAAUUUGUUUUCGGCUUAGCAGAGCAUAUUAACAGCCUAAAUAGACGAAAUUAUAUAUAUUCAAUUAACUAAAACACUUAUUUAGCGAACAUUCAACUGAAAGAAUUUUCAACAAUAUUAGCCACUAGUUUUUUAACUUCUCAGAGAGGAAGUUGCUGCUUUCAAUAAAUUAAAGAUAGUCAUUUCACAGGCUGCUUAUUUGAAUUGGUAAACUAAGAUACGUAUUAUGCCUAACCAUUACAAACAUAGUCUAUCAAUGUUUUGGCUGUAUUAAUAGAAAUCCUCCACACUCAUGCUCUCAAACCUAGAGAGCAAUUAAUUUGUGGGACUCACAUUUUUCUGUCAAUAUAAUUAGAUAUGGGUAGAUUUUUUCUAUUAAUAUAAAUAGAGCAUAUAUCCCUAACAAAUUUACGAAAUUAUCCAUCUGACUUUUAGGAAAUUAUACCAUUUCAGGACCCAAAAUUGCAUUUGAAUUUAUUUUAAAUUACAUCCCUGAGGAAACUUCUAAGAUUUGUACUUUUAUUUUCAUAACAAAUUCUUAAGCAACUUCCGUUUGUUGCGUUUUUAAUUAAUUUCAAUUUAAUCCUUAAUCUUCUCUGAAUUUCUUUUCUUUUUUUUUUCAGCUUAGGAAAGCAUAUUAACGCCUACAUAACAGAAGCUAUGUACCAUUAUAAAUAGAGUAAUAUUAGUACAAAAUUAAUUCAAACUAGAGAAAAAUAUCACAUAUUUAUAGAGCCUUACUGUAGAAAGCUCAAUGUUGACUUAGGAGAAGGUUUAAGAUCUAUAUAGAGUAUUGAUCAAGCAAUUUCAGCAUAGAGAUUACACGCAUAAAUAGUAAACAAUUAAGAGUAAAUGGAAGGUCUAGCAACUAAUUGGAAUUUUACAAAAUUAGCGACAAAUGCACCAAUAAACUAGACUCCAGAACAAGAUUACGAGGAAAAAAGUAGAAAGUUAGAAAAAUUAGAGAUAAUAGGUAAUAAUCCAAAUAGAAAAGAUAAUAAAGAAGUAUAUAAAUUAAAAAUAAUUAACCCAAAUAUAACAACAAAAACACAAAAUUUAGUUUAUAGUUUAGAAGACUUGGUGCUCUGACUCUAAAGGUGUUCUAUUUAAUUAGAUUCCCCCCUAGUGGUGUGAUUGAAAGAGAUGGAUAGAAAAGGUUAUUUUAACUUAUGAGGUGGACUUGACUAAAGUGUUCAUUAAUGACAUGACGUUGAGAAAGAAAGACUUAUUCUCUACAUACCUCUUAAUUUGGGCAAUGCUACAUCAGUAACUUUCAACUUUUUUGAUUCUUCCCCUGGGUUUCAUUAUCAUAGCUGUGGAAAAGAAGUUGAAGUUGUUUGGAGUUUUGCAAAAUUGGCCACAAAUUCAUGGAUCAACUAGAUUCCAAAACAAUAUCAUCAGGCUCAGUAUAACAAAGGACUUGGCGCAUGCUCUAAAAGUCCAAAUGAAUUAUAAUUAAUUAGAUUAUUUCAACCUCAAUUUUAAACGUUAGUAUUGAUCAAUCUUAUAAGUAGAUUACACAUAUUAAGUUGCAGUAAACAAAUUAAGAACAACCUGCUUAACAAAUCGAAACAGAAUCAAAACAGAGGAGGGAAAAAUAUGAGUCUAGCUGGCUGUUACAUCUCUUUUUACAUAAAUAAAUAAAUAUCAAAAUUGUUAUUAAACAAAUAAUUUGAGGAACAAAGUUCAUUAUGUCUCCUCUUAGUAGAUGUAUCUUUAAUUUGUUAUUAAAAAAAUCUCUCAUAUUCAAUUAAAAAAUAAAUUCAGUCACCAAAAGAAAAAAAAAAAAAAAAAAGUUGUUAGUUUUGCGGCAGAACGGGGCUAAAAAAGAACGAAAGCUCGAAACAGAGCUCAAUUUCAAACGCCAGCAUUUUGGUGCAGCCAUUGCUCAAGAGUUGUUUUGAUUUCAUAUGCCACAAUACUUGCCUAAUUUCCAAAUAUAUCCCCUCCCUUCCAUUUAUUCACUUAUAUGACAAAUUCACCUGCAUAAAGAUUGAAAUACUCACAUUUGUGAAUUCCAAGUUGCACAAUUUUUAUUUUAUCUUCAAAAUACUUCAUAAGCACUUAUACACAACAUCGCUCACUUGCACCGCCGAGGCCUGCAGUGAUCAGUUUCGUCGUCGUCGUCAUCAUUGGCUACACUCUAAUUACUAACAUAAGCACACUUCAAUAUCAAGUUCAUUUACCUGUUCUUUACCAUCUCCAAAAUUUUCCUCUCAUUGUUAUUUCACUUUCUCACCUUCAAAAUUCGCCUGCAUAAAGAUUUCUGAUUUGGAAUUGAAAUUGUAGCUCUAUACCUCUUAACCUCUCCCAUGAGUUUCGCGGCUGCGGAAAAUGUAGAAGUACUAGUUUGAAAUUUUAUAAAUUUAUUAAAAAAAAACCACAGUCCAAUCGAUUCCAAAACUAGAUUAUAAGGCCAACCAAUAAGACUUGGUGCUCAAAGCCUAAAAGUAUUACAAAGACUUGGUGCCUCCCUUAAAUUCACUUCAUACUUGCACAUCAUUUUUCUUCUACAUUUAGUCAUAUCUGUUCUUGUGAUUUCAUUGAGAAAAAAGAUAAUAUGGACUAUUUAACUCAUCCUUUUCAACUUUUUAUCUGCCUCCGGUUAUUGCUCUAUUAUUUUCAGUUUUCUGCAAAUUAAUUAGCAACAUACCAGUAAUAUACUCUAAUUUGGACACAGCUUGCUUCUUCUAGAUAAUUAAACAUGGAAUUGGACACAGCUUCUGCUGAUUCCUUUUGGACAGGGUUUGUGGAAUAGAAAAAAAUAUUUGUUUGUUCCUUGUAAGAGGGACUUGAGUAAAGCGCUCAUUAAUUAUUAAUGUUAUUUGAGAAAGAAAGACUUGUUCCGCGUAUACCUAUUAAUUUGGGCAAUUUCACAUCAGUAGCUUUCAACUUUUUGAUCAUUCCAUAUGUUUCAUAACUGUGGAAAAGAAAUUCAAGUAGUUUGGACUUUUACAAAACAAUAUCGUGAGGCUCAGUAUAACAAAAUUAACCCGAUUUGGUGCAUGCUCUAAGUCUAAAUGAAUUAUAAUUAAUUAAGACUAUUCCUUCUGAUGCCUAACAAUUAUUUUUUUUUUUUAUAUUAAUCACGAAGUAUCCUGGGGAGGGCCCCAACUGUGGGAGGCACUUUUAAGCCCGUACCACAACCCAGACUAGAAGUCCCCGCUCGAACCGAGAGGCACAAGUUCUCCCAACAAAGGCGACUUCCCUGCGACUCGAACUGGGGAGCAAACCCAGUCAAGCCACUUAAGGGGACUCCAUCGCCAGUGGAGCCAACACUUUGUUGGUGAUGCCUAACAAUUAUAAGUAGAGUAACAAUAGUACAAAAUUAUCUCAAACUAGAGAAAAAGAUAACAUAUUAACAGAGCCUAACUGUGGAAUGCUCAAUGUUGAUUUGGGGUAAGGGUUUGAGAUCUAUAUUGAGUAUUGAUCAAGUAAUGAGAUUACCUACACAUAUAUUCUAAACAAUUAAGAGUAAAUGGAAGGUCUAACAAGUAAUUGGAAUUUUACAAAACUGACGACAAAUGAACCAAUAAACUAGACUUCAGAACAAGAUUAUGAGGAAAAAAGUAGAAAAGUUAGAAAAAUUAGAGAUAAUAGGUAAUAAUCCAAUUAGAAAAGAUAAUUAAAAAAUACAUAAAUUAGAAAUAAUUAAUUCAGACAUAACAAUAAAAACAGAAGACUUAGCUUAUAAUUUAGAAGAUAUAAAUGAAGACUUGAUUCUCUGACUCUAAAGGUGUUCUAUGUAAUUAGACUCCCUUCUAGUGGUGUGAGUAAAAGAGAUGGAUAGAAAAGUUAGGGUUUAACAGAUCGAAACAGAAUCAAAACAGAGGAGGGAAAAUGAAUUGAGUUUGUGUAUUCGACAAAUUAAGCCUACUUUUUACAUACAUUAAUUGGAUAUAGCUUCAGCUUUGGUACUGGUUUGUGAAAAUUGGAAAAACUGGAAAAUGCUCCUUUUGAAGAAUCAAAGUCUACUUUAAACAAUAAUCUCCAUCAACAUUUAAUGCUUGUUAUUGGCUUUCAACCAGCGGCCGCUUUCAGAAAGGAAGACUUCAAUUGUCGCCAAGCGUCGAAAAGUAAAUAUCUAAAUGGUUAUUAAAUUGACCACAAAUUCAUGCACCUACUAGAUUCCAAAACCAUAUCGUGAGGCUCCCAGUUUAACAAGACUUGGUGCAUGCUCUAAGCCUAAAUGAAUUAUAAUUAAUUAAGAUACUCCUCCUCAAAAAGUAGUAUUGAUGAAGCUUACAGUUAGAUUACACAUAUUAAUUUAUAGUCAACUAAUGGAAGGUCUAACAACUUAGCUUAACAAACUGUAACAGAGUCAAAACAGGGGAGGGAAGAUGAAUUGUGUUUGUGUAAAAGACUGUCAGUCUAGCAAAUAUGAUAGAUAACUAACAUCUCGCUGAACUUUAAGUAAAUAUCUAAAUGGUUAUUAAUUGGAUACAGCUUCAGCUUUUGGACUGGUUUGUGGAAAUUGAAAAUGUUUGAAAAGUGUUCCUCUUGAAGAAUCAAAGUCUACUUUAUACGUAAAGAAAGGGGAUGUCAGUAAAGAUAAUCCAUCAAUGUUCAAUUACGUUCGAGCGUGUUGACUACUUUCAGGAUGAAAGACUUCUAUUGUCCCAAGGAGUUUAAUCGAGUGAUUUGCAUCCUAACUAUUUCAUGAAGAACUCAUGUCGAUAGUUAUAGAGCAACCUUCUACAUAGAGAAAUUCUACUAAAAAUAAACAACUAUUUACUAUCAUGACAAGUGCAAAAUUAUUUUAAUCUCAAAUCAAUGCACACAAGUCAAUAUGUGAUUUACUUGUGCCGUAGUACCUAUGAUAUUAUUCUAAAAUUAAGUUGGUACAAACUAUAAUCUCACUGCUCAUAAAUAAUUUCUCUAUAUUUCCUCGUAUAUUAUUUACAUACCCCAAAAUUUUCAAUAUUUUCAUCUCAAGUCUCUUGUUACAUAUCCUUUUUUUUUUUAAUUGCAUUUCUCAAUUUAUUCAUAGUAUUUACUUUAAGAUAACUUAAUAAGUAAGUUGAUAAAUUUUUAGCAGAGAAUUUGAGAAAUUUAACAUCGUAAUGACCAUUUAAUCCAUGUGUGUGGAAUCUACGUACAUAUAUUAAUACUAUAUCAACGCACAUGGAAAAUGCGCCUUUUGAAGAAUGCAGUAAAUGGAAGGUCUAACAUCUUUCUUAACAAUCUAAAAUAGACUUCGUGCAUGCUGUAAAUUUAAAUGAAUCAUAAUUAAUUUCAAAAGGUAGUAAAUGGAAGGCCGAACAACUUUUUUAACAAACUGAAACAGAAUUAAAGCAGAGGAGGGAAAAUCAAUUGUGCUUUGUGCAUAAUGUAUAUGACUGACUGACUAACUAACUACGAGUUUAGCUGCCUGCCACAUCAGCAUUAUAUAACACAUAACUAAUAUCAUUCCGCGUCGAUCGUGUCGUCAAGAUCCCCCUCUUGAAAGGAUUCCACUUACCACCUAAAUUCCAAAGCAAGAAGACUUGGUGCUGUAACUCAAUAAAUAUUAUAUUAUUAAUUAAUUACACACCAUAUUCAACUUCUAUAAAUAAUAGUCAUUAUAUCUCUCUCUCUUCUUGUGAUUUCAUCAUCCAGAAAAGAAAAAAGAAAAAGAAAAUGGGUUAUAUCACUCAGCCUUAUCAACUUUUUAUUUGCCUCCAGUUAUUCCUCUUCUAUUCUCAGUGUUCAGCAAUACUUUGCUCUCACGACCAAAGUUCUGCUUUACUCCAAUUUAAGCAGCUCUUUUCCUUUGAAAAAGAUUUUUUUCAAUACCGUUGUGAAAUAUUUCAACAAAUAUCUCGUCCAAAGAUGAUGUCUUGGAAAGAGGACUCUGAUUGCUGCUCCUGGGAUGGCGUAACAUGUGAUUCGACGACGGGUCACGUGAUUGGCCUCGACCUCAGUUGCAGUUGGCUUCACGGCAACAUCCCUUCCAACACUAGCCAUUCCUUGCUUCCUCGCCUCCGAAAGCUCAACCUGGCUUCCAAUGAUUUCAAUUACUCUAAGAUUUCUUCUGGUUUUACUGAUCAAUUUCCAAGUUUGACACUCCUUAACCUCUCUUUCAGCAAUUUCACGGGGUCAAUUCCUGCCUCACUAGGUAACAAUAUUACA